GCAUGAAAAACAUCCGCAUAAGGGACCUGCCGAGCUUUGUUCGAACAACGGAUCCAAAUGAUAUAAUGUUGAACUUCGCUGCGACAGAGAGUGAGAGAUCUGCAAAAGCUUCCGCCAUUAUCGUAAAUACCUUCGAUGAAUUGGAACAUGAUGUCGUCAAAGCUCUCUCCUCCAUCUUCCCUAAACUCUACACCAUUGGACCCCUUCACUUGCUACUCAACCACAUCCCACAGUCAUCGCCUUUAAGCUCCAUCAGCUCCAAUCUGUGGAAAGAAGAGCCUCAAUGUCUUCAAUGGCUGGAUUCUAAGGAACCCAAAUCGGUUGUUUACGUUAAUUUCGGGAGCAUCACGGUGAUGACGGCCAAUCAACUGGUUGAGUUUGCUUGGGGUUUGGCUAAUAGCAAGCAACCCUUUUUUUGGAUCAUUAGGCCCGAUUUGGUGAGGGGAGAUUCAGCUGUGUUGCCCCCAGAGUUCACUGAAGAAACCAAAGAGCGUAGCUUAAUGGCGAGCUGGUGCCUGCAAGAGAGCGUUUUGAACCACACAGCGAUUGGAGGUUUCUUAACGCACAGUGGAUGGAACUCCACCAUCGAAAGCAUUUCGAGUGGGGUGCCGAUGAUUUCUUGGCCGUUCUUCGCCGAGCAACAAACAAAUUGUCGAUUCGCUUGCACCCAAUGGGGCAUCGGCAUGGAGAUCGACAAUGAUGUGAAGAGGGAUGAAGUGGAGAAACUGGUGAGGGAGUUGAUGGAAGGAGUUAAAGGCAUGGAGAUGAGGGAAAAGGCCAUGGAGUUUAAGAAAAAGGCUGAGGAAGCUACCAUGUUGAAUGGCCCAUCGUUCGUGAAUUUGGAAAACUUGAUUAAGGAAGUGUUGCUUUAAGGUAACUUAUGAUAUUCCAUUUAGAAUUACUUUUCCUUGAAGCGUGAUUCUCAUUGUAAAAUGUGAAAAGUUAAAAAAAUAAAAACAAUGAUUGUCUCUUUUCUUGAUUUUCUCUACUAUUUCAAUAGAUUUUUAAAAGUAAGUUUUUUUUCCCUUUAUUUUAUUUUUUUAGUUGCAUAUUUAAACAUUUAUAUAUUAUAUCAUUUACAUUUUUUUCUUUUCGAUAUAUUAAUUGAAAAUUUAAUUUUAUUAUAGUAUUUUUGAUUCUUCAUAAGCAAAAAGGAAAAAAAAAGUUUAGGUUGAGCUCUAAAAUUGAUUUGAUCACAAUCUUUUUAUAUGACUUACAUUUAAAUUAUGGUUUGUUGUAUAUAAUUGAGAAUUCUACUAGAAUGAUUGUCGGGAAUGAAAUGAUUUUCAACUCAUUUAGAAGUAGAGUAGUUAUCACAAGUGAUCAAUCAAAUUUUAAAGCAGUUAUAUAUUAUAUUCAAGUAUAUUAUGUUGUUUUGCUCACAUUAAUGUCUUUCUCCUUUAGAGACACUUGAUAAAGUGAUAUGCUCACACUACAGUAAAACAGGUUUUUAGCGGCGUUUUAAUAGAAAAUGCCACUAAAGGUUGAGCAUUAGCGGUGUUUUAAAGAAAACACCGCUAAAAGAUUCAGCAGAAUUGAGUUUCCACGGAAUUAGCGACGCUUAGGCAAAAACGCCACAAAAGAUCAGCAUUAGCUGCGUUUUUAGAAAAGCGCCGCUAAAAUAUUAAGGUGAACGAUGUCGUUUAAAUUAAGCUUAUGUGGAAUUAGCGGCGCUUUCAGGAAAACGCCGUUAUAUGUUGAGUAGUAGUGACGCUUAUUCAAAAACGCUGCAAAAGUGAUGAGAAAGACGACAUCGUUUUGCAGUUGAGCUAUGCUGGCAUUAGCGGCGUUUAUUGAAAAACGCCGCAAUAUAUCUGCCUUUAGCGGCAUUUUCCUCUAAAACGCCGCAAAUAUGUUUAAGAUUGACCAAAAACGUUAGCGUUUUUAUAUAUGCGUAUUAGUGGCGUUUUGGGUUAUAAACCCCGCAAUUAUGUCAAAAUUUUAAAUUUUUAAUAUAUAUAUUUUUUAUCAAAAUAGAAAAAAUAACUUAUAAGUACGUUAUGAUGUAUUUUAAUUUUUUAUAUUUUAAUCAAAAUACAACAAAUAUUUUUAAAAUUUUAUUAUAUUUUUAACAAUAUCAUUAAUCAUUUUAUAAUUAUAACAUUAUGCUAGAGAAAAUAAUGAUAUGAAUUUUAUCAUCAUAUAUUUUAAACUAAUAUUAGAUAUAAAAGUAUUUUGGUAAUUAUAUUAGAAAGGCAAAUUUUAUUUAAAUCAAUCUCGACUAGACCCAAAUAAUAUUGAAAUUAGACCACUUAAAAAACUCAAUUUAAAAAAAAAACUAAAACACUACAUUAUUUGCCCAUUUUAUGGUUUAAGGUGUAUAAUUUAGGGUUAAAGGUUUAAGAUUUACUAUUUAAAGGUUUAUGGAUUAUGUGUUUAGGGAUUAUGUUUAUGGCUUAUGGUUUAAGGGUUGGGGUUUAAGGGUUAUGGGUUAGUGGUUAGGGGUUUAUAGGUUAUGGGUUAAUGGUUUAAGGGUUAAGGCUUAAUGGUUAUUAUUUUGUGGUUUAGGGUUUAGGGGAUAUAGUUUAGGGUACUUUAGUAGGGGAUAUAGUUUAAUGGUUUAAGGUUUAGAGUAUUGAUUAAUUAGUGUUAUUAUUUUGUAGUUUAAAGAUCAGGGGAUAUAGUUUAGGGUUAUGAUUAAUUCAUACAUUUUGUGGUUAAGGCUUAGGGGUUAUUGUUUUGUGGUUUAUGGUUAGGGGAUAUAGUUUAGGGUUUAGGGGAUAUAGUUUAGAGUUUAAAGUUAUGGGGAUAUAGUUUAAUGGUUUAAGGUUUAGAGUUUUAAUUAAUUAGUGUUAAUAAUAUUAAGUAUUUUGAUUAAUUAAUAAUAUUAUAAAAAUAUAAAGACUAAAUGAUAUUAAAAAUUACUGGCGUUUUAUAGAAAAACGCCACAAAUAUCCAUGGACAGCAAAACGCCGUUGUUUGAAACUUUGUUGUUAGUGGCGCUUUUAGUAAAAACGCCACAAAAGGCAUGAAUUACUGGCGUUUUCCAAAAACGCCACAAAGUUCUGUCAAUUGAAACGUCGUCGUUUUCAUCUUUUUUUAGUGGCGAAUCCUAUAAAACUCCACAAAUAUCUGUCAAGAGACAGCAGACGAUGUCAUUUUGUGUUUUGUUAUUACGGCGAUUUAUUUCAAACGCCGCAAAAAGUUAGAAUUACCGGCGUUUUUGAAGGAAACGCCAUGAUAUCUUUUAGGGGAUUGGUGGAAAACGUCGUCGUUUUUUGUUCUUUUUAUUAGUGGCGGUUUUCUAAAAUGCCGCAGAAGGCUUGUAUUAGUGGCGUUUGCUGAAAGCGCCGCAAACUUUUACUUUUUUUAACUUAAACGACGUCAUUUUUGUGAGGCCCGAAUUUGUUUUACUCUCUGCCAAAGUGGAUUUCCCUGAUUUCUCCCCAAUUUCCCCCAACUUCUCCCCCAAAUUUGUUACCCUAGUUUCCCAACAUCCAGUCUUCUCUUCUCGGUUUUAGAAGGAAACUCUUUUCCUCUUCUCUCCUCCGCCGCCGCUGGAAAUUCGAUUUGUAGAGGUAUUUUACUCUUAAAAGCUACAAAGUUAUUAAGUUUGAUUUCAUUUUAUGAUUUAGAUUGCAUUUUAUUUUGUUAGUCUUAGAAUUGCUUAUGGAAAGAAGAUGCAAACCAAAUGACUUUAUAUAUUCUGUUCACGAAAACAAGAAGUUUGAAAAAUGUAGAAAAGAAAAUAUUAGGUCUAAAAACCAAAUAAAAAAAACCAAUAUGAACCUUUUGAUUAAAACCCAAAGCUUUGAUCUGCCGGAUAAUGAUACGGCCACCAUAGUUUGGAAUGUGAACUGAAUUGAAAUGUGUGUGUUUAUGUGAGAUUAUUAAAAAUGGAAAGUCGAAGAAAAACUGGGCUGGCUCUUAGAGGGGGAGUAAACGUAUUGUUAAAGCUAAUAGAAACCUUUUAGUUCACAUUAACGAAUUAAAGGCGCCUUAAUAUUAAACCUCUUCACAAACUUCCAAAGUCAGUAUGGUGUUUGAAUUCAGAAUUGUAAUGUUAUUAUGUCAUGAAAUUGAACUGGUAAAUUAAAAAAAGUUGGUAUUAAACCUCUACUUAGUUGAUAAAUAGAAACAAUUUUAAUAAUCUUUGUAAAUCAUUUCAAAAAUAAGCUUUUUAUUGGGUUUUCAUCUGUUUUUUUAUUUUUCUGAACUGGCCGAUUAGCUUCUGAUAGUGGGGGAGUGAAUAGUUUCAUUUCAUCUUUUAAUUUUACUUGGGACAGAGAUGCCAACAUUUAUCGCUUUAUAAAAAUUUAAGUGCUAUUUCGCGAUUACUUUAAAAAAAUUUCGAUUCAUUGAUCACUCCAAUUGUUUUCGUGGAUGAUAAAUAAAUUUAAAUUAAGUUUAAUUAAAAAUAAUUACUUUUAUGAUUAUUAUAUAUUUAUAUAUACUUUUUCUAUUUUAAAGUUAUAUUAUUUAUAUGAAUCUUUAAAAUUAUAUAUUUUUAUAUUUAGAAAAUUCUAAUAAUAAAUUUUAAUGGCUGCUUCCAUUUUAAUGGCUGCUUUUUCAAUUUUUUCCGUUGAUUACAAGUAAAUUUCAGCAGCCCUCUGCAUUGCCUUCAGUAGCCCUCUGCAUCGCUGUUGGCAGCCCUCUGCUGCAUCUCCAUCGGCAACCCACUGCUGCUACUCCAUUUUCUGCCAUCCACUUUUCUGUUAUCUGCCAUACUGUGAGUUCUUUUUUCUAAAAAGUCAGUGAAUAAAUGUUGGUUGAUUUUAUUUUUUUUGAAAUUAAAGUUGUUAGAAUGCAUGGUUAAUUGGAAGGUUGAAGCUGUCCAAAGCAGGACAUGUUUCCUAUGAUUACCAAAUAUUGUUAAUGCUUGUUUAACUGGAGUGUAAAUGCUGUCCAAAAGAGGGUUGGUUACGUAUGUUUUAUUGUAUUUAAUUGCUUCUGCAAAUAUCUUAAAUUCACUGCCCAAAUGUGAAUUCAAUAUCUAUAUGCAGGUCUUAUAUGAUUAAGUGUGUGAUAAUUAUUAAUUAGGGUAAGUUGUCGACACAAUAUAUCAUUAAUCUAUUCUAUUAUCUUGGUGGAGCUAUUGAUCAAUUAAUGAAUUGAUAUGGUUUAUUCAAAAUAGGGCUUCAUAAUGAAUUUGUAGUACCAAAUCCUUGAAUAAUCUAUAGUUAAUUUUGUGUUUGGUACUCCAAUUUUUUUAUUUUUUAUUUUGUAAUUUAGUCUACUCACUACAAUGAAGUUAACUAUUGCUGUUUAUAAUCAUUUAUUUUGUUAGUUUCUAUUUGUUUCUCAAGUGAAUGUCAGGAAUGGAUUAAACUUUUGAACUUUUCUGAUUACAGUCUUUACAAUAGCAUACAUCAUCCAAGCAAAUUGGCUGUGGGAGCGGACAUCCAUUGUUUCAAACAUAAAAUCGAGCCCAAGUGGGAAGACCCUGUCUGUGCUAACGGAGGCAAGUGGACUGUAAAUUUCCAGGUUGUUGAAAUUAUUAAGGUACGUUUUAGUUCAAAAUUCUAAUCAAUAAUAUUUUAUGAUGAUGAUUUUAGAAAAAUUAAUCUUUUGGGGCUCCGAUUUUGUAUAGAUUUAAUUGCUGGUUUUCCUUUUGUAAAAAAUUUUGGAUCAUUUUACUUACUUUACAUUUGCUAUCUAGUUUACUCCUUAUGUUUUCUAUUAUAAUCUGGCAUCCAAUUUGCCAUGUUUUUUUAUUAAAUUAUUUUAGUCCUUCAAAAAUCAAAGAAACUAUAGCAGUCAUACGCUAAAUAAAUAUAAUGUUGACUAAAAUAGAACCAAAUUCAUAAAUUGUAAUGGGAUUUGGAUUAAAUUUUUUUAAUUAAAAAAAUUAAAAAAUCUUGAUUUAAUUCCGUAGCUUGUGUUUCUAUUAAAAUAACAAAAAUGGCCGACUUUUUCUCCAACCUUAUUUUAAACAUUUUAUUUAAUUUUUAAAUUACCUAAUUAAAUUAAAUUGUAUUUAAAGUUUUAUUUUGAAUAUGUUAUUUUAUUUUAUUUUAUUUUUAAAUUACCUAAUUAAAUUAAAUUGUAUUUAAAGUUUUAUUUUUAAUAUUUUAUUUGAUUUUAAUUUAAUCACGGAAAAUAUUUUGUCUUCUUUUAUUUUGUUUUUUAAAUUACCUAAUUAAAUUAAAUUGUAUUUAAAGUUUUAUUUUAAAUAUUUUAUUUUAUUUUAAUUUAAUCACUAAAAAUAUUUUGUCUACUUUUAUUUUAUUUUUUAAAUUACCUAAUUAAAUUAAAUUGUAUUUAAAGUUUUAUUUCGAAUAUGUUAUUUUAUUUUAUUUUAUUUUAAUCACGAAAAAUAUUUUGUCUACUUUUAUUUUACUUUUAAUCUAAUAGCCAAAUCUUCACUUCCCUUGUGUUUUCCCAUCAACACAAUCACAAUCCCAUCAACAUAAAUAUAUAUCAUAUCUUACAUAAUUUACAUAAGAUAAACAACUUAUAUAAUUUACAUAACUUACAUAAUACAUAAAUAUAUAUCAUAUCUUCACUUACAUAACUUAAUUAUACUUAUAAAUAAACAACUUACCCGUGUAAUUUAUUGUAAACUUUAGAUUUCAAGAACUACGAAAUGGAUAGGAGUUAGAUGAAAUUGUCAAGGGUAAGCAACGCCUAUCGAAAUGGAGUACAAACUUUUCUAAAUUUUGCAUUUCAAAAUGCAAGCCAAGAGAAUAUGAUUCUUUGCCUGUGUAAGAAGUGUGGCAACAUCAAUUGGCAUUAUCGUGAAAUUGUCUACGAACAUCUAAUUAUUAAUGGCUUUAUUCGGGGGUAUUAAAAAUGGAUUUUCCAUGGAGAGUGUACAUCUAGUGGAACUUCUUCAACGAUUAAUCCGACUUAUCCUGAUACUGCUUACCAUGAGUAUGUUAGACAAGAUGACAUGGAAGGUAUGUUGCGGGAUGCAUUUAAUAUGCACAGUCAUUGUGAGCAAUCGUUUCCACCUGACUUUAUUGCAUCCGACGAUUGUAAUAUUGGUGGAAAUGUUUUUGGCGAAACGGGAACAACUGCACCUGAUGAGGAGCCAAAUGAAGAAGCAGCGAAGUUCUACAAUUUACUUAACGAAAUGAACGAAGAACUUUACGAGGGAUCAAAAUAUUCGAAAUUGUCCUUCUGUAUUCGCCUAUUUCACUUAAACUGUUUGGGAGGGUGGACCGGAAACUCUUUUACAAUGCUGCUAGAGUUUCUGAGAGAGAUGUUUCUGUUUGCAAAAAUCUCCUAGUCUUGUCAAGAUAUGAAAAGACUAAUAAAAGAUUUGGGCCUUGGGUACGAUAAAAUUCAUAAUUGCCCAAAUGACUGCAUGUUGUACUGGGGUGAUUAGAAAAACCAACAGUCUUGUCAUGCUUGUGGUAAGUCUCGUUGGAUGAAUAGUAAUACAGAAGAUGUGAAUGCGGAUGAAGGUGGGCCAUAGUUAAGAAAGAAGCCAGUCAAGGUUUUGCGAUAUUUUCCCCUGAUACCAAGGCUUUAAAGGCUUUUCAUGUCAUCAAAGACAGUUAAAUCUAUAAGGUGGCAUAAUGAUCAAUGGACCGAUGAUGGAUUAUUAAGACAUCCUGCGGAUUCUUUAGCUUGGAAAUCAUUUGACAGUAAAUUUCCAAGCUUUGCAAGCGAUCCUCGGAAUGUGAGGCUUGGGCUAGCAGCUGACGACUUUAAUCCAUUUAAAAUCAUGAGUACUUCAUACAGUACUUGGCCUGUAGUGCUUGUUCCUUACAAUUUGCCUCCAUGGAUUUGCAUGAAGCAAUCUUCGUUUAUUUUAUCAAUGAUUAUCCCUAGAGAGAAAGGUCCCGGAAAUGAUUUGACAUCUAUUUGCAGCCACUUAUUGAAGAGUUAAAAUAGUUAUGGUCGGGUGUUGAGACUUAUGAUGUAUUGAGAAAGGAGAACUUUAAUUUACGUGCAGCUUUGUUGUGGACAAUUAAUGAUUUCCUGGCUUAUGCUAAUUUAUCGGGUUGGAGUACUAAAGGGCGUUAUGCUUGUCCUUGUUGUGCUGCGCAAACUUGUUCGAAGUGGUUUUACAAUGGGAAGAAGUUCUCUUACAUGGGCCAUCAUCGGUGGUUAGAUGGAAAUCAUAAAUUUAGAUUUCAGAGGACUCUAUUUGACGGUACUGAAGAGUACAGAGAAGCUCCUGAGCAGACCAUUAGAUUUAAAAUCUUGUUUAUGUUAAAAGAUAUCACUUUUAGUUACAAGAAGAUGAAUCAACCACCUAACACGCAAACAAAGAGAAACUCGAGGGAUGAAUUUGAUGAUAAAUCUGAUGAAGAGGAUGAUCCUAAUGAGGCGGACUUGUGGAAAAAAAGGAGUAUUUUUUUAGUUGCCUUAUUAGGAGCAUAACAUUUUAUGCCACAAUCUUGAUGUCAUACAUAUUGAGAAGAAUGUCUGCGAGAACAUAAUUGGGACAAUUUUGAAUGUCGAUGGAAAAUCAAAAGACGAUCUUCAGAGUCGACUUGAUUUAGUUGACAUGAGAAUUCGGCGUGAUCUUUAUCUUCAAGUACUUCCGAAUGGGAAAUAUCGGUUGCCACCUUCUAUUUUUUCAAUGUCAAAGAAAGAGAAAGAGGUGUUUUGCAUAGUAUUGAAGGAUAUAAAGGUCCUAGAUGCGUAUGCGUCAAAUAUAUCUCGAUGUGUAAGUCUUAAAGAUUGAAGAUUAUAUUCAUUAAAAUCACAUGAAUACCACAUCUUGAUGCAAGAUUUACUCCCAGUUGCUUUACGGUGCUGCAUGUCAAAAAAUGUGAUGUCCUGUAUAAUUGAAUUAUCCAAUAUAAUGAAAGCUAUUUGUGGAAAAGUUUUGGAUGUUAAAGAACUUGAGAAAGUACAUGAUCGAGCCGCUUUGACUUUAUGCAAUUUAGAGAAGAUCUUUCCACCUUCCUUCUUCACUAUUAUGGUGCACUUGGUAAUCCAUCUCUCUCACGAAGCAAUACUUGGUGGACCGGUUUUUUAUCGAUAGAUGUAUCCUAUAGAAAGGUGCUAAUUUAUUUCUCAAGUAUUUAUUCAUUCACCUCUAUACAAUUAGUUACAACUUUUGAUAAAUAUUGUAUAUCGUGUUUAGGUUCCUAAGCAAAUUGAAAUCUUAUUGUCGCAAUAAGUGUUAUCCAGAAGGAUCAAUUGCUGAAGGCUUCUUGGCAGAGGAGUGCAUGACCUUCUGUUCUAGAUAUUUAGAAGAUGUUGAAACACGAUUGAAUAGACCAAAUAGAAAUGCUGGGCUCAAUGAUCAUAACUUGGCCGAAACUUAUUUAUUCCAAAGUUAUGGAGAACCAAUCGGCAAAGUUGAAAUUGCAGAAUUAGAUGAUAUAUCGUGGAUACAAGCACAUCGAUAUGUACUUUUUCACCAUGAUUCAGUUGAACCGUUACGCAAGUAAGUUCUAAAAUUUCCUCACAUAUUCGUCGUUUUGAUUUGUUUAUCUUCUAACCAAUUAAACUUGUUUUUAACAUAGUGAGUACAAACAAUUUUUGAGAUCUCGUGCAUGCUUUCGAAGAUUACAACAUCGAGAGAUUAAUAAGUUAUUCACAGAAUCUUUUCAUGAAUGGUUAAGCCAAACGGUAUGUAACUGAAGUUAAUAAGUUACAUAUAAUCGCGAAAUUUAGUUAAUCAAAUAAGAAUGUUUUUACAUAAUACAUUUAUAAUUACUCAAUUUACUUUUGAUUCAAUAGGUUUGGAGUGGGAGGGACGUCAAUGAUGAAAUUAAAUGGCUUUCCCAAGGUCUGAACAGAGUAAUAAAAAAAUAUAGUGUCUUCCUCAUCAAUAGAUACAGAUUUCAUACAAAAUAUCGCGAGAGAAUGAGGAGAACUCAAAAUUGUGGAAUUGUUGUUAAUUCUUCAAUUACAAGUUAUGCUAGUGCUAGGGACAGUAAUCCGGUUGAGGGUAAUGUGGAGUAUUAUGGACUUCUUACCGACAUUAUUGAAUUGGAUUAUUAUGGAAGAUGGAAAGUUGUCUUAUUUCGGUGUGAUUGGGCUGAUGUUAAUACUGCUCGCGGAAUUAAAAAAAAUCAAUUUGGUUUUACAAUGGUUAAUUUCUCUCGCUUGAUUUACACUGGACAACAAUUGAUGGACGAGCCAUAUGUAUUUUCUUCUCAAGUGAAACAAGUUUUUUAUUCGAAAGAUCCAACUGAUGAGGGUUGGUAUGUUGUACUCCGGAACACCCCUAGAGACUUGUUUGACAUUGGAAAUGGAAGUAGAGAUGACAUCGUCGAAAGAUCAGAAACAUUACCUUUUCCAGAACAAAACUUAGAUGAAAAUAUCCCUAGUACUAGUACACAACAUCAAUGGGUUCGACAUGAUGUGGAUGAAGAUAUUUACGAAUAAUGAUGUAGUAAGAUUUUACGAUUUUUUAAUUAUAUGUAAUAUUAUAAUUUUAAUCUUGGUAAUGUUAUAUUAUUUAACUAUUUUAUAUGUACUAUUAUUAUUGUAAUUUGUUAUUAAAUUUCAACUAUUUUAUGUGUAUUGCAGGAAAAAUGUGUAGAAGAAGAUUACGAGAUUUAAGUAUUGUCCAGAAUACUCCAAAUUCAGAAGAAGCAAAUAGUGAACAGUAAACAGUUAUUGGAUCUUCGAAUGUGCCGGAGACACUUGACGAGCCUGCAGAAUUUCAAAGUAAUGUUAAGUUCAUUUUACAUGUGUUGACUUUUAUUAUUGAUUUAUUUGUCAAUUUUAAUAUAAUAAUAACAUACUAUUUUUUCAACUAAAAGUGGUGGGACACGCAGAGGUCGAGGACGUACGCUGCUUAAAGAUUUAUACGACUUAAAUCCUGUCGAGCGUAUCAAAGUAAGUAGAAACAGUUAUGGUCAACCUGUUGGAUCUGAAGCUCGACUUUUAGCAGGUUAUUUGGGCAUUAUAUCACGAAAUGCCAAUAUGUUGCCCAUCAACUACAAACCAUGGCAUCACAUGCCUGAUAGCAACAAAAAUCAAGCUCUAGAUAAUAUUAAGGUAACAAAACGUGAAUGUAAUUUGUAAUAUUUUGGUUCAAGUUUCAUUUAUAUUUACAUUCUAAACUUGUGUUUUUUUAGGAGCGAUUUGCUUUAGAGGUCUCUGACGACUACAUCAAAAAGGCAUUGGGUAAAAAAUGGAAAGACCAUAAAAGCAGUUUGAAAAAACUAUAUUUUAAGAAAGACAUAAGCCUCAAGGAAAAAUUGAGAAAUGUCCCGCCGGAAAUGCUGAGGUACCAAUGGGAAGAUGCGGUUAGAUUCUGGAAUUCAAAGAAAGGAGAGGUAUUACGUAUUUCCAAACUCUUAUAUAUAGUGUUUACUAUAUUCGUAAUAAUAAUUUCAUUAUGUAGGACUAUGAGCGAGUUGGAAUAAGCGGUAGACAAAAAAAAAUUCACGCACACGGCAGAGUCGAGAAGUUUUGUUUCUAUAGCUAAGGCCGAGGUAUUAUGAAUUUAUUAAUUCUUUCAAAUAUUAAUAAGUUUCUACUAUUAAAUAAUAUUUUUACUACUUUAUUGUAGGAAAUCUCGUCUGGUCAAAAAGUUGGACGCCUUCAGCUUUUUGAGAUUACGCAUAAGAAGAAAGAUGGAUCUCCUAUGACAUUCGAAGCUGGAGAAAUUAUGGUAUAUUUACUUAAUAAAAUUUUAAUUAUUAUAAAUAUUUUUAAUGUUUAAUUAAUUAUGGUUUAAUUCGUCAUUACUAGUUUUAAAUAAUGUUAAUUUUAUGUUCCAUUCCUUUUUAUUAUAUAUUUCGUUUCUAACUCUUUAAUUGAUUUUUUAGGAGAAACUAAAGGAGAAGAAGGCGGAGUAUGAAGCGAUGGCUUCGACUGAUAGUUCUGUUAAUCUUGAGAAUAUUGAUAACAGAAUUAUCAAUAAAGUUUUAGGUCCUGAAAGGUACGGUCGGGUUUGAUUUCAAGGAUCUGGUGUUACCCCGACCCAAUAUUUUGGAUCCGGCUCCCAACAAUACAUGCCUUUCGGGAGUCAAGCUCAUGCUGAAGUUCAAAGGUUAAGAGACCAGAUAGCUCAGAUGCAAGCGAACACGGUUGAGUAAAUUGCUGAGGCUCAAAGAAAAUAUGAAGAACUCCAGCAACAACUUAGAGCAGAGGCAGCAGAGAGGGAGGCAGCGGUAGCAGCGAGGGAGGCAGAGCAAAGCAGAAAGUACGAUGAGCUUCAGUUGCAGCUUCAGCAAAUGAUGCAGAUGUUUCAGCAGUCGCAAAAGCCGCCAUCUUAGACAUUAGUUUUCUCCUUGUAAGAAUGUUUUUGACAUUGUCACAUUUAACAUUUUGUAAGAAUAUUACUUAACUUAUUAAUUAUAUCAUAGAUCUUUCGUUGAAUUUGAAGUAUCAUUUAGAUUUAAUGUUUUUGAUUAUAUUUUUUAUGCUAUAUUUGUUGUUUUUGGUUGGAUUUCAUGCUAUAUUUGCUGUUUUUGGUUGGAUUUAAUGCAGGAAGGGUUGAAUAUUGGUAAAAAAUGUACAUUUCAAAUUUGCCAAAAUUAACGGCGUUUGUGAAAAAAGCGCCACUAAAAGCCAUGACUUUUAGCGGCGCUUCCCCAACAAAUGCCGCUAAAAGCCAUGACUUUUAGCGGCGCUUUUAUCAUAAACGCCGCUAAAAGUCUUGAUCUUUUGUGGCGUUUUUUUCAGAUAAACGCCGCAAAAUUUGGCGGCGUCUCCUAUAGCGGCGUUCUUUGCGACGCUUGGGAAAACGCCGCUAAAAGUCUGUUUUCUUGUAGUGUCAACAAGCUUGCCCUAAGUAUGAGUAGCAAUUUUGUAAGCAACUUCUCAAGUACAAAAUUUUAAAACUCUUCAAUUAAUAUCGUACAUCUUUAGGAAGUGGUUUUUCCACUAGUAUUUAUAUCUUUCUAACAAUCUUCUUCCUUAUGACAUUGCCAUUAUCAACUAGUACCAUUGGUUGUGCAUCUAAUUUGGAAAAGUUGAUGUCACUGGAUUGUAACUUUAUCCUUUAAUGCCAACACUAUCAUUCGUAUUGCCAAAAUUUUCCUAUCUCUUAAAUCUUCUCCAUCAUUGUCACCAUUGGAUUUUCAUAUUAUCGCGAUUCCAGCCUCGAAUUCAUUUUCCUCAACAACAUGCUUUUCAUUGUUGAUACAUUUUCUUCUUGGACAAUCAUUAGAGCGAUGCUAUAUCCAUAAUGUUCUAAUUUCUUCCCUAACAUUAUAUAUUAAUUCUUCGAUACCUAUAGGUAUCGAGUUCUUCUAAUAUAAAUAUUCCACUUAAUUCUCUUUUAUUUUCACCAAAAAUUCUCUCAAAAGAAAAAAUCAAUCAAACUCUUUCACUCUCUAAAAAAAAACCUCAAUUUUCUACUUCUUUUUGAAACAAAAAAAGAUACUUUAAGAUUUCAAGAAAACAUGUAGUUUACCAUGUCGUUGAUAUGGUAAAAUUACUUAUUUUUAAUUUUGUUAUUAUGGAAAUAUUUUUUGAAAUAAAAAAAUUAACUUCUUGUGAUUUUUUGAACAUUAAAGAAAAUAAGUUAUCCAUGCUCGACAUAAUUUGCAAUUCUCGAAAUCAGAUGGAUGUAUUCAAUAUUGUUGAUUUAUUUUUGGCAUCUAUGAUAAAAAUGUUUGAUAUUAUACAGGAGUUGCUUGUUACAUUAUUAGAAAGAUGAAGGCCAAAAACGUUUACAUUUCAUAUUCUAUACGAGAAAGUGACUAUAAUGUUAGAAGCUAUCGCUUUAAUAAUUAAUCUUCUAAUCAACAGGCAAGAGAGAAUCAAAGACAAUAACAUCAAUGUGAAAUCAAAGUGUUAUAAUUUUUUGGGUGUUGUGCCAUCUAAGGAGAAGAAAGAAUUGCAUGAAAAUAGGAUGAAAUUAUCAUAGUUCAAGAGACUUAUUGAUCUGACCCUUUCGCUACAUGCGAUUGCGGAGGAGAUGGAUCAAUAUGCUAAAGAUUGGAUGCUUUGGAUGAAAGAAAGAAUGCUACCUCUAAAAAAGUUUGGCAACAAGGUCUAUACCAUGAUAUUCCUUUACUCGAAUCUUUUGCUACAGUCAGUACAUUCAACUAAAGGCCAGCAAUAUUGGUGUAUCUCUAUAGCGCGUUUUGCAAGGACUUGAGAUCAGAUCAAUGAAGGAAAUGGUUGUCUGCUUUUGUAAACUUGGGCAUGGAUAUCGAUUAUGUGGUUAGUUUCCAUCCCUUCUUAGACAUUAGAGUUCUUUCUUAUUUAAAGAUAAGAAAACAUAAUCAUAUUGAAUACCAUAAAUUGUAUUAAAUGAUCAAUACUUAUAAUUUCUCAUUACAUUUAAUAAUUGAACAAAUUUAGGAGCUACUUGGAUCAUAAAUGUUUUAAAAAGGACCUUAUUAGAUGUGAUGAAAAAUCUAUUUAUGAGUUGGUGAAGAGGUAUGUUGAUAUUAUAUUGUUAUUCAAUUUAAGUAAUCUUUGUUAUAAAUUAAUAUACUUGUAUUUAUUUUGUAUGCUUGUAGUUCCUAUGGAUGACAUACCUGGACAACACAAUUUUUUUUUUCAUUUUACCCAAGACAACGUAGGAAUGCUCUAUGUUAUUUAAGGUGAAGGUGCCCGUCAUUUGAUUCCAUAUUGUAGAAUCGUAGCACCCUGACCAAGUGAAACAACAAUUUGUGUUAGCAUAAGAUAUUUUGGAUGACCAACAAAACCUUAAUUACUUUGAGAGAUAGAUAUGACAGGGCAUGAUAAGCAUUUCCCAAUAAAGCAUGCACUAAAGGUUGUGCUUUGAAACUAGCAAGCUCAGCAUUGCAUCUACAAGAACAUUAUCUAAUAUUGUAAUUUCUACCCUUUGAGGCAUAUAUGUGUUGGUUUGUAUAGAUGGGUCCAGUGCAUCUCUUUAUAAAAGGGGGAUAUUCAGUAGUUAUAGAAUGAUGUGUAUAAUCCAACUGUCAACGAGUACAUUUAGUGACAUUGUGAUCAAGCAUUCUAGCUUGUCCAGCUAGAGUUCAAGCCACCUAUACAACAAUUCGACCUAGAGCCACAUGUCAAAGCUACCAAACAGGUCAUAUUGACCCCAUCUUCCCUUUUGACAUACUAUCUAAAUGGGCUCUCAUUAAAUUUUGGCAAGGGAUCUAGUCAUGACAACACCUUUUUUAUUGUUUAUGGCACCAAUGAUGAAAAUGACUUGUACAAACUUUAAUCCCUCCAUCCAUUACAUCAUUAUUCUUUAUUGGACAACUUGAAUGUGUACUUCGAUUUCUUCCCACAGUUGUAUGAAAUGAAUAAUAAUGGUGAUGAUGAUGCUUUAGUCUAGGCUCCAUAUGAUAGAAUAUAACUCCAAUUUUUCAACCAUCGAUAUGUGGAACCCAUUUUCUAUAAGGAUGUCACUUAAGAUUGGGGUUUGGUUGUUAAUUAUAAAAUCUUUGUAUUAUUUGAUCUCAUCAAUGUAAUGUGUUGGCCUGAAACAAUUGUUAAGUUGACAAAAAACAGAAUAUAAGCAAAAGUGACAGUGAAAAUAGGCACUUCUAUAAUAACUACGACAAGAAAAAUUAACAUAGGGGUACGCAAUUCAGUUUCCCUGCGCUUGCAGAGCAUAGCUUAGUGAGAUGAAUCCACUAUCUUUAAAACAAAUACAACCAGUGGUCCUAGUUCUAAGACACCUUAGUGAAGAAUCCUCACUCUUACACUUCAAAGGCUAGAUCUCUCACCGCUAAAUUCUUCACCUGAGAACUUAGCUUGUAAAACCAACCACGCCAAGGUUUUACAAUCAUAAAUCCACUCUCACAAGAUAAUGUUAUUGAUUGAACAAAUAAGUACUCACAAAACUCAAUACAACAACUUAUACAAGUCUUGAUAAUAUAAUGUUUUUAAGACUUACUAACAUGGUGACCAAAGUAAAAUGAAUUUUUUCCAGAUAUGUCUUCAAUUUUCAAUCUGAUCCAAAUUCCUUAAUCCAAGGGAUUCAAUGUAAAUCAUCUGAUCCAAUCCAAUCUUCUAAAUAUGUUUCUCUAACUAAAUUUAUCUUCAUUCAUAAGCUUGAUUCAUUCCACGAUUCAAUCUUCUAAAUGUGUCAAGUUGUUGUUUUGUCGCAGUGAUGAAGGAAGUGUUCAUUUCCCUUAGCACAUUACAACAACUUCAAAUAUUUCAACAUAAUGAUAUUUUUCUUGUGUUUGUUUUUGAUUUUACAAUUUUAGUUAUCAAAUUAUUGAGUUAUGUUUUAGGUAGUUAAUUAAAAAGUUAUAUUGAGUAAUGAUUUCCAGGAAUUAUUAAAUUAUUGAGUUAUGUUUUUGGUAGUUAAUUAUAAAGCUAUAUUAAGUAAUGAUUUUUAGAAAUUAUCAAAUUAUUGAGCUAAUGGUACCCAACUUACCCAACAAUGUCAUCGGUUCAAAUCCUACCAAGCGCAAAUAUAAGCUAGUAGUACCGACUUCUUUAGGUCGCCUCAUCAAACACUCAAGCUUUCUAAAAGUCAAGAGACAUGAUAAACCAUAAUAUAUACAUAUUUUUAACCUAAUCUUGGCAUAUUUUUGGAUGAUUUAUCAUAAGAUUUAGUGAAUUUAAUGCUCCUAAUCCUUUAGUUUCAUUUUUUAUACUCAGGCGAGCAUUGAAAGGCGAAAAGAGCAAGAAACGGGCCAAAAACAGACAAAAUGGGCCGAAAUCAGCAUGGCACACGACCUAGGCACUUCCACACGGGUAAUCCACACACCCGUGUGUGACACAUGGGUAGACCACACGCCUGUGUGUCAUGCCCGUGUCGACACCAAACCAAGUCAAAAUUGAACAUGGCCGAAGCACCUUUACACGGGCGUGGCACACAGCCAUGUCCCUAUCGAGCCUAAGUUUAAUUCUACUCGAAAAAAGGCCAAUUUUGGGCUAAUUUGGGCAUUCUAAAGUCUAUUUAAAGACCCUAGAAGAGGAUUAAAGGGGACACAGGGAGUGGAAGGUAGAAAAUACUCAAGGACAGCCAUUAGAAUCACCUCAGAGGCAGGAUCUACAUCAAGACUGAAAAUUUCCAUCCAAUUUCCUAGAAGUUCUUUAGGUUUCUUUACGCUUUGUUGUUUUCCAAAAUUUGAGAUGUUUUCCAUUAUUAUUAUGAACUAAACUCCCUAAAUGCCUAAGGGAGAUAAAACCUAAGACAGAUCUUAUUACUAUUUGAGUUAUAUGAUAAAUACUUGUUCUUAUUUUUAAUUAUAAAUUUAACCAUUGCCUUAAUAUUCCAGGAUAUUAAUUCAGGUUUUUGAUGUGCUUAUUUAGUGGAGCAAAAGUCCCUGUUUAAGAGCAAGUCAUUUAUAAUUAAGUGGAGUUGCAUGCAAUCCUAGAGAUAGGACAACAAAAAUCUACCGGAUUAGAGUCAAAUCUAAUAAAGGAAUCCAUAGAUCGAGCUAAUGCGACAAUAGGGAUUUUAAUUAGGAAGAGAUUUCAAUUAAUCAACCUAGAGUCAAUUGUUUUUAGUCUCGAGAGAGAUAUUAACAUAAAUCAGGGGUUUCUACGGAUUAAGUCAAGUGAAUAAAUCGUCUAACUCAAAGGUAAUAAGUGAAGUCUAGGUGGAUUCUUCCUUGGGUAUUGUCUUCUCCAUCGGUUCUUUAAAAAGUAUUUUCCAACUUUAAUCUCUGUCGUAAUCUUAGUUAAUUAGAUAAUUAGUUUUAAUUUAAAAAACAUUCUUUAAUUCUUAGGCUAGAUAAUAAAAAGAUAGUAAUUACUAUUACUUUUAGUCCUCGUAGAUACGAUAUUUUCGGUCUCACUAUAACUAUACUAUUGUUCAAUAGGUGCGCUUGCCUUAGUCGAAUUUUUAGUUAGUUUAGCGACCAUCAAGUUUUUGACACCGUUGCUGAGGACUAAGAUAUUAGGAACGCUUAAUUUUUAUUACUUUAGCCAUUCUUUAUUUUUAUUGCAAUUUAAUUUUAUUUACUAAAUCUUCUUUUCUCUACUUCUAGCAGGUUUUUAUAGUUUAUGACUAGAAGAAACCCGUCAGGACCUUUACUUUUUGAUAGAGAAAUUGAAAGCACAGCUCGCAGGAACCGAAGAGAAAUAAGGCGAAGCCUACAAUACAUAGAGGAAGAACGAGAGGCCGAUAUCGAUACCACAACCGAGGAGAUGGCUGAUAAUCAGAAUAAUCUGUUACCUCCUGUGGUUGCUGCAAAUCCAGUAAAUCAAGAUCCUACUCCUCGUACUAUGUAUGAUUAUGCUAAACCUACUUUAACAGGAGCUGAAUCGAGUAUAGUUAAACCUAAAUAAUUUUGAACUGAAACCUAUCACGAUUCAAAUGAUACAACAGUUUGUUCAGUUUGACGGUUUGCAGGACAAGGAUCCAAACACUCAUUUAGCAAAUUUUCUGGAAUUCUGCGACACCUUUAAGAUCAAUGGAGUUUCUGACGAUGCCAUUCACCUUCGGUUGUUCCCAUUCUCAUUGAGGAAUAAGGCUAAACAGUGGUUGAACUCGUUGUCACGAGGAUCAAUCACCACUUGGGAACAAAUGAACGAAAAAUUUUUACUUAAAUAUUUUCCAUCGGCUAAAACGACUAAAUUAAGGAAUGAUAUUUCUUCUUUUGUGCAAAUGGAUUUAGAAACACUUUAUGAUGCAUGGAAGAGAUACAAUGAUCUAUUGAGAAUGUGCCCUCACCAUGGGUUACCCCUUUAGCUAAAGUUCAAACUUUCCACAACGGUUUGAAUCCCUCGACUAGACAGAUGAUUGACGCAGCUGCUGGUGGGACUAUUAACAAUAAGACACCUGAAGAGGCUUAUGAGUUUAUAGAAGAGAUGUCACUGAAUGAUUAUCAGUGGCAAGUCGUGAGGAUAAAGCCGACGAAAGAGGCCAGCAUUUUUAACGUCGAUUUGGUUGCUAUGCUUUCCAAUCAGGUAAAACUUUUGAAUAGAAAAAUUGAUGGGUUACUUGGUUCUUCACAGGUUCAUCCAGUAAUGCAGUGCGAUGCAAAUGGAGGUGGAACGAGCAAUUUAGACUAUCCAUCCUAUGGCCCUAACAUGGAAAACAAGCAAAUGAACUAUAUGGGUAAUAAUCCUCGGCCUCAUAAUAAUCCUUAUAGUAACACUUACAAUGCAGGUUGGAGGAACCACCCAAAUUUCUCAUGGGGAGGCUAAGGAAAUCAAAGACCACCACCUCCCCCAGGCUUUCAACAACAACCUUACCAACAAGAGAAAAAGUAGAACCUUGAGGAGAUGAUGACAAAGUUUAUUUCAAUAGCGGAAACUCAUUUUCAAAACACUGAAACUACACUUAAAAAUCAACAAGCAUCAAUUCAAGGGCUCGAGAUUCAAAUUUGGCAACUGGCUAAGAUGAUUUUAGAGAAACCACCAGGGAGCCUACCUAGCAAUACCAAACCCAAUCCAAAAGAGCAUGUGAAAGCAGUUACAUUAAGGAGUGGGAAGGUGUUAGCUGAAUCUAAAAAGAAGAUGCCACCAGAAUCCGACAAAAAAGAAGAUGAGGAGGAAAAAGUAAAAAUAAUGAAAAACCGGUGUUGAGGGAAUAUAAACCACCAAUCCCAUACCCAGCAAAGUUGAAGAAAGACCGCAUAGAUGCACAAUUCGGUAAAUUUCUUGAAUUUUUUAAACAAUUACAUAUUAAUUUACCCUUUGUUGAAGCUAUCUCGCAGAUGCCUACAUAUGCAAAAUUUUUAAAAGAGCUUCUAACAAAUAAAAGGAAGUUUGAAAACUUGUCUACAGUGGAUCUCAACGAGGAAUGCUCGACCAUACUCCAAAAUAAACUGCCAACCAAACUGAAAGAUCUAGGAAGUUUUACUAUUCCCUGCUUAAUUGGUAGUUUAAAUGUUGAGAAGGCACUAGCUAAUUUAGGCGUUAGCAUUAAUCUGAUGUGAUAGCCCGAAAUAGGGCCUAAUCGGAAUAGUAGUUUCGUAACCACAAAUCCGAAGUGAAAUAGUUUAAUUUUAUAAAUUUUUAUUAGUUACUGAUUGAUUGAAAUAUUGUGUGAAAAUAUGGAUAGGAAAUUUUAAUACUUUAGUGCUUAAUUGAAUUUUUAGGACUAAAUUGAGAAAAAUGCAAAGUGUGUCUAAUUAGUGAUUAAAUGACUUAAUUGAAUUAUUGCAUGAAAUUGGAAGUGUUUAUGUGGCAAUUAGACCAUAAAUUAGUGUUAUGGACACAAAAGGGUAUUUCUAGAAAAAUAUCUAAGUAAUGGGUCAAGGGCAUUUUUGUCCAAAUUGGGUAAAAGACAAAAUAAAGAGAAAAUAAGUGUCCAUCUUCUUCAAAAAAAUCAGAAGCUUGCUGCCGAAAGUUUCAGGUUACCAUAGUUAAGGGUUUUGAUUUUCCUAAGCUCAAUUAUCAAGAAAGAAGAAAUAGUGCAAGUGAUCGGGGAAAAGAGAAAGUUAUCGACUAAAUUACAAAAAUAGUCGUUUUGCAUCCGAGGUAAGUUAUAUGUAAAUAAUAGUUAUAUUUGUAUAAAUUGUGAAUUAUAUUUGAUAUGUGAAUUAAUAUUGAAUGUGGAAGGAAAGUUGUUCAUGAAUUAUUCAAGUGAUAAAGUGUUGAAAAUAAAGUGUUAAGUGUAAAUUCUCGGUUGAACUUAGGAAUAGAAUUGGAUACAAGUGACAUGUCACUAGAGACCAGUGUUACAGUGUUACAGUGAGUCCCGGGUGCUGGGUGAUCUAGCAUGUGUUGCAGACACCUGACAGCUUGUGUGAGCAGACCCGUGGACAUUUCCAGUGUUAUUGAUCAGUGGUAGCUUCGGCUACAUUUCAGUGGUAGCUUUGGCUACAUCCAGUGGUAGCUUCGGCUACAUAUCAGUGGUAGCUUCGGCUACAUAUCAGUGUGGCACUUAUGUGCUAAAUCUCUACGUAUCCGUGUAUAUUCCAAGUGUUCAACGGGAUUAAUAAUGAAUUAAAGUGAAUAUGAAAUGUUAAGUGUGAAAAUGUAUAUGCAAGUGAAUUGGUAAGAUUGUGUAUGUGUAAGUGAUUGAAAUUGCUAAGAAAUGUUUUGAUUAGUUAUAUGUUAAAAGUGUUAAUUAUUAAUUGAGUAAUUAUUGUUUACAUGUAACUUACUAAGCUAUUUAUAGUUUACACAUCUCUUUCUUUCCUUUGUUUUAUAGUGAUUUGAACUUGAUCGAAUAGUGGACCGUCGGAGCUCGUAUCACACUAUCAUAACCAUCUCGGUAUUAUGUGCUUUUCAAAAUGUUUAAACUAUGGCAUGUAUAGAGUCUUAAUCAUUUUGAGCAUGUCCAAAUGAUAUGGCUAAUGUUAGCUAUUGAAGUAGUUAUUAAAGAAUAUGUUUUGGAGUUAUGUAUGUUUAAAUGGUAACUAAUUCAAAGAAGCAGUUUCUUUGACAGUAGCAGUGACGUGAAUGUGAAAAAUCACCAUAAAUAGUAGAAAUAGAAUUAGAGGGUGAAUGAUAUAUAUAAUUAAAGCUUAUCAAGUCUAUUUUUACAUGAAAGAAACGGUGUAGGCAAAGGAAUUUUAUAUUUUGAGAUAUUUAAAUUUUAGUGAGACAGGGUCAGAAUGGUUUUUGAAGUCCCCUGUUCUAACUUUAGAAAAUCAUUAUAAAUUGUACACAAAUAAUUAUAGGUCAUAAUUUAUAUGUUUAGAUUCCUUAGUGAGUCUAUUUUCAAAAUAAAUUAAUGGUAAUCUUAUAUGAAUUCUGUACAAUUAGAUAUUUGAUUUUUAGCGCCAAGAGGUCAGAUCUGUCGAGCUGUGAAACAGGGGAUACUUUAAUGAAUAAACUGUACUAAUGUGCUAAGUCAAAAAUUUUUAAACUUUUAUGGUAAGUAGGAAUAUGAGUCUAGUUUCACAGAAAAUUUACGGAUUUAAAUUUUGAGUUUCGUAACUCAAGUUAUAAUUAAAUUAGUGACAGUUGCGCAGGUGGACAAUGUUGUUAUGAACAGUGAAUUUAAUUUUAAAAGCAAAUUUUUAUGCUCCGAAUCGGUAAGUUAAAUUGGAUGACAUCUCGUACUCGAUUCCGGAGAUGGUCUCGGGUAAGGGGUGUUACAUUUAGUGGUAUCAGAGCUACGGUUUAGUCGAUUCUCGGACUAACGUAGCGAGUGUAAUAGACUAUCUAUACAUGCCAUAAUUGAAUAAUGAUAGUGUGACGACUCCUGACAUCUUAAAAUGUUUUUUUAUAGUAAUGGAUUCUAACCGAGAUACAGCUGAUGAUGCUCAAAGUAAUGUGCCUGUUGAAAGUCGAUUCGAGACUCAGGGUCAAGGAGAUGAGGCUCGAGAAGCUUUUCUCCAAAUGAUGAACAAUUGGUACACUGAGUUUGUUAGAACUAAUCCUAAUGCUCAACCUCCUCCGUCACCUCCUAUUCCUCAAGCUGUUCCCAUAGCUCCUCAACAAACUGAAGUGUUAAAAUUGUCAAAGCCUCCAGUGGACAAAAUUCGAAAGUAUGGAGCCGAAGAGUUCCGAGCUAAUGUAAAUGAUGAUCCUGAAAGAGCAGAGUUCUGGCUUGAUAAUACUAUCAGAGUGUUGGAUGAAUUAUCUUGUACUCUAGAAGAAAGUCUCAAAUGUGCUUCUCAUUGCUGAGGGAUUCGGCUUAUAAUUGGUGGAAAACUUUAGUGUCAGUGGUGCCUAAAGAGAAAGUUACAUGGGACUUCUUUCAAGAAGAAUUCCGGAAGAAGUAUGUGAGUCAGCGUUUCAUUGAUCAAAAGAGAAAAGAGUUUCUUGAAUUGAAACAAGGGCGCAUGACGGUAGCCGAAUAUGAGCGAGAAUUUGUCAAAUUAAGCAAGUAUGCCCAAGAGUGUGUAUCUAAUGAAGCUACAUUGUGUAAAAGGUUUGAAGAUGGAUUAAACGAGGACAUCCGAUUGCUAGUGGGAAUUCUUGAAAUUAAAGAGUUAGUGGUACUAGUUAAAAGAGCUAUCAAGGCUGAAGAAUUGAGCAAAGAGAAAAGAAAGGUGGAAAGUGAAGCAAGAGAUGAAAGAAAAAGAUCAAUGGGCAAGCCAUUUCAGUCUCAAGCGAAGAAGUUUAAAGAAAUGAAUACUCGAUCGAAUGUUUCUAGUGUGAAUUUUCAAAGAGAUCGAGGAAGACAAUAUUCAGGUUCUAAAGCUCAGGCAACUUCUAUGGCAAGUACAGGUAGUGUUAAACCUACUAGACCGGAAUGUCAACAUUGUGGAAAACGACAUUUGGAGGAAUGUUAUUUAAUCAGCCGAGCUUGUUUUAAAUGUGGAUCUCAAGAUCAUUUUGUGAAAGAUUGUCCGGAAAGAGAAGAGAUAGAAAAGUUUCAGAAUGUGAGAUCGAGCAGUGUGACUACUAGAGGAAGACCACAGAGAAAUGUGGGGAUUGGAACUAGUGGUAGAGGCGUAACAAAAGACACGACUGUAAGAUCUGAAGUGGGAGCUCCAGCAAGAGCUUAUGCCAUCCGAGCUAGAGAGGAAGCAUCUUCUCCUGAUGUGAUCACUGGUAUAUUUUCUCUUUACGACACUAAUGUUCUUGCAUUGAUUGAUCCUGGUUCUACUCACUCGUAUGUAUGCAUGAAUUUAGUGUCUGAUAAGAAUUUGUGUGUUGAAUUGACUGAGUAUGUGGUUAAAGUGUCGAAUCCUUUAGGCAAGCAUAUGAUAGUUGAUAAAAUAUGCAAAAAUUGUCCUUUGAUUAUACAAGGUCAGUGUUUCCCUGCCAACUUAAUGUUGUUGCCAUUUGAUGAAUUUGAUGUUAUUUUGGGAAUGGAUUGGUUGACAUUACAUAAUGCCAAGAUAGAUUGCAGUCAGAAAAUUCUUGAGUUGAAGUGUGGUAGUGGUACAGUUCUUCGGGUUGAAACAGAUAAGUCAAAUGUGAUGCCAAUUGUGAUUUCUGCCAUGUCUGCUCAGAAAUGUUUGAAAAAUGGUUGUGAAGCAUAUCUUGCUUAUGUGUUGAACACAAAAGUGUCUGAAAUAAAGAUCGAAUCAGUGCCAGUGGUAUGUGAAUAUAUAGAUGUGUUCCUAGAAGAGUUGCCAGGUUUGCCUCCGAUUAGAGAAGUAGAGUUUGGUAUUGAAGUAAUGCCAGGUACUGCUCCAAUAUCGAUUGCUCCCUACAGAAUGGCACCAACUGAAUUAAAAGAAUUAAAAGUGCAAUUACAAGAGCUGACAGAUAAAGGAUUUGUUAGACCAAGUUACUCUCCGUGGGGUGCUCCCGUGCUAUUUAUGAAGAAAAAGGAUGGGACAUUGAGAUUGUGUAUUGAUUAUCGUCAACUUAACAAAGUGACAGUGAAGAAUAAGUAUCCAUUACCCCGAAUAGAUGACUUGUUUGAUCAGUUAAAGGAUGCCACAGUGUUUUCCAAAAUUGAUUUGAGAUCCGGAUAUUAUCAAUUGAGGGUUAAAGAGUCAGAUGUGCCAAAGACUGCUUUCAGAACCCGAUAUGGCCACUAUGAAUUUCUUGUAAUGCCUUUUGGUCUGACUAAUGCUCCAGCUAUUUUUAUGGAUUUGAUGAAUCGAAUUUUCCGACCCUAUUUGGAUAAAAUUGUUGUGGUGUUUAUAGAUGAUAUUCUUAUUUAUUCCCGAAGUGAAGCCGAGCAUGCUGAACAUUUAAGAAUUGUGCUACAAACGCUGCGAGAAAAGAAAUUGUUUGCUAAAUUUAGCAAAAGUGAAUUUUGGCUUAGUGAAGUUGGAUUUUUGGGGCAUAUUGUCUCGGGAGAUGGCAUUCGAGUGGAUCCGAAUAAGAUAUCGGCAAUAGUUGAGUGGAAGCCUCCAAGAAAUGUAUCUGAAGUUAGGAGUUUUCUGGGCUUAGCCGGAUAUUAUCGUCGAUUUGUAGAAGGUUUUUCGAUGAUAGCUUCACCGAUGACAAAAUUGUUGCAAAAAGAUGUUAAGUUCGAAUGGACCGAGGAGUGUCAACAAAGUUUUGAGAAAUUAAAGAAGUGUUUAACUGAGGCACCAGUGUUAGUGCAACCUGAGUCAGGAAAGGAAUUUGUUGUUUAUAGUGACGCGUCACUAAAUGGGCUUGGAUGUGUAUUGAUGCAAAAAGGAAAGGUGAUAGCGUAUGCUUCUCGACAAUUGAAACCGCAUGAACGAAAUUAUCCUACCCAUGAUUUAGAGUUGGCUGCUAUUGUCUUUGCUUUGAAGAUUUGGCGUCAUUAUUUAUAUGGUGAGAAAUGUCGUGUUUUUACAGAUCAUAAAAGUUUGAAAUAUGUUAUGACACAAAAAGAUCUGAAUUUGCGGCAAAGAAGAUGGUUGGAAUUGUUGAAAGAUUAUGAACUUGUGAUAGAUUAUCAUCCGGGAAAAGCUAAUAUAGUUGCUGAUGCUUUGAGCAGAAAGUCUCUCUUUGCUUUGAGAGCUUUGAAUACGAGAUUAACAUUGACUGAAGAUGGAUCAUUGUUUGCAGAGUUAAAAGCUAGACCAUUGUUUCUUCAAGAAAUUUGUGAGGCUCAGAAAGUGGAUAAUGAAUUGCAAAGAAGAAAGACUCAGUGUGCAGUGGACAAUAAUUCUAAUUUUCAGAUUGAUUCAGAUGGAUGUUUAAUGUUUCGUGAUAGAAUAUGUGUUCCAAAAAAUGUUGAUUUAAUUCAGAAAAUUUUGCAAGAAGCACAUGAUAGUCAUUUGGCAGUUCACCCCGGUAGUGUAAAAAUGUACAAUGAUUUGAAGAAAUUUUAUUGGUGGUCGGGUAUGAAACGGGAUAUCUCCGAGUAUGUGACAAAGUGUUUAGUGUGCCAACAAGUAAAAGUUGAACACCAAGUACCUUUAGGAUUACUUCAACCUAUUAUGGUGCCCGAGUGGAAAUGGGAUAGAAUUACUAUGGAUUUUGUUUCUGGAUUGCCAUUGUCACCGAAAAAGAAAGACUCAAUUUGGGUUAUAGUUGAUCAAUUGACUAAGUCGGCUCAUUUCAUUCCUGUGCGAAUGAGUUUUUCACUUGACAAGUUAGCUGAAUUGUAUAUUGCUGAGAUAGUCCGAUUACAUGGUGUACCUAUGUCUAUUAUAUCUGAUAGAGAUCCACGAUUUACUUCAAGGUUUUGGAAGAAAUUACAAGAGGCAUUGGGUACUAAAUUGAAUUUUAGUACAGCAUUCCAUCCCCAAACCGAUGGACAGUCUGAAAGAGUAAUUCAAAUACUCGAAGACAUGUUGAGAUGUGUAUUGGAAUUUGAAGGUAAUUGGGAAAGAUAUUUACCUUUGGUGGAAUUUGCUUAUAAUAAUAGUUAUCAGUCAAGCAUAAAAAUGGCACCUUAUGAAGCGUUGUAUGGACGAAAGUGUCGGACUCCAUUAUAUUGGACUGAACUUAAUGAAAAUCAGUUACAUGGAGUCGAUUUGGUAAAAGAAACCGAAGACAAAGUGAAGAUAAUCCGUGAUUGUUUGAAAGCUGCAUCGGAUCGACAGAAGUCGUAUGCGGACUUAAAAAGAAAAGAGAUUGAGUUUCAAGUGGGAGAUAAAGUAUUUUUGAAAGUGUCUCCAUGGAAGAAAAUUUUUAGAUUUGGCCGUAAAGGAAAAUUAAGUCCAAGAUUUAUUGGUCCGUAUGAAGUGAUAGAAAGAAUUGGUCCAGUGGCUUAUCGAUUGUCUUUACCACCGGAAUUGGAAAGAAUUCAUAAUGUGUUUCAUGUUUCUAUGUUGAGGCGAUAUCGAUCGGACCCAUCACAAGUGAUUUCACCGACUGAAGUGGAAAUUCGAUCGGAUAUGACAUACGAAGAAGAACCGAUUCGAAUCUUGGCACGAGAAGUGAAACAGUUGAGAAACAAAGAAAUUGCUUUAGUGAAAGUGUUAUGGCAACGACAUGGGGUGGAAGAGGCAACAUGGGAAACCGAGGAGGCUAUGAGGAAACAAUAUCCCAACUUAUUCACUGGUAAGAUUUUCGGGGACGAAAAUCCCUAAGGGGGGAGAAUUGUGAUAGCCCGAAAUAGGGCCUAAUCGGAAUAGUAGUUUCGUAACCACAAAUCCGAAGUGAAAUAGUUUAAUUUUAUAAAUUUUUAUUAGUUACUGAUUGAUUGAAAUAUUGUGUGAAAAUAUGGAUAGGAAAUUUUAAUACUUUAGUGCUUAAUUGAAUUUUUAGGACUAAAUUGAGAAAAAUGCAAAGUGUGUCUAAUUAGUGAUUAAAUGACUUAAUUGAAUUAUUGCAUGAAAUUGGAAGUGUUUAUGUGGCAAUUAGACCAUAAAUUAGUGUUAUGGACACAAAAGGGUAUUUCUAGAAAAAUAUCUAAGUAAUGGGUCAAGGGCAUUUUUGUCCAAAUUGGGUAAAAGACAAAAUAAAGAGAAAAUAAGUGUCCAUCUUCUUCAAAAAAAUCAGAAGCUUGCUGCCGAAAGUUUCAGGUUACCAUAGUUAAGGGUUUUGAUUUUCCUAAGCUCAAUUAUCAAGAAAGAAGAAAUAGUGCAAGUGAUCGGGGAAAAGAGAAAGUUAUCGACUAAAUUACAAAAAUAGUCGUUUUGCAUCCGAGGUAAGUUAUAUGUAAAUAAUAGUUAUAUUUGUAUAAAUUGUGAAUUAUAUUUGAUAUGUGAAUUAAUAUUGAAUGUGGAAGGAAAGUUGUUCAUGAAUUAUUCAAGUGAUAAAGUGUUGAAAAUAAAGUGUUAAGUGUAAAUUCUCGGUUGAACUUAGGAAUAGAAUUGGAUACAAGUGACAUGUCACUAGAGACCAGUGUUACAGUGUUACAGUGAGUCCCGGGUGCUGGGUGAUCUAGCAUGUGUUGCAGACACCUGACAGCUUGUGUGAGCAGACCCGUGGACAUUUCCAGUGUUAUUGAUCAGUGGUAGCUUCGGCUACAUUUCAGUGGUAGCUUUGGCUACAUCCAGUGGUAGCUUCGGCUACAUAUCAGUGGUAGCUUCGGCUACAUAUCAGUGUGGCACUUAUGUUCUAAAUCUCUACGUAUCCGUGUAUAUUCCAAGUGUUCAACGGGAUUAAUAAUGAAUUAAAGUGAAUAUGAAAUGUUAAGUGUGAAAAUGUAUAUGCAAGUGAAUUGGUAAGAUUGUGUAUGUGUAAGUGAUUGAAAUUGCUAAGAAAUGUUUUGAUUAGUUAUAUGUUAAAAGUGUUAAUUAUUAAUUGAGUAAUUAUUGUUUACAUGUAACUUACUAAGCUAUUUAUAGUUUACACAUCUCUUUCUUUCCUUUGUUUUAUAGUGAUUUGAACUUGAUCGAAUAGUGGACCGUCGGAGCUCGUAUCACACUAUCAUAACCAUCUCGGUAUUAUGUGCUUUUCAAAAUGUUUAAACUAUGGCAUGUAUAGAGUCUUAAUCAUUUUGAGCAUGUCCAAAUGAUAUGGCUAAUGUUAGCUAUUGAAGUAGUUAUUAAAGAAUAUGUUUUGGAGUUAUGUAUGUUUAAAUGGUAACUAAUUCAAAGAAGCAGUUUCUUUGACAGUAGCAGUGACGUGAAUGUGAAAAAUCACCAUAAAUAGUAGAAAUAGAAUUAGAGGGUGAAUGAUAUAUAUAAUUAAAUCUUAUCAAGUCUAUUUUUACAUGAAAGAAACGGUGUAGGCAAAGGAAUUUUAUAUUUUGAGAUAUUUAAAUUUUAGUGAGACAGGGUCAGAAUGGUUUUUGAAGUCCCCUGUUCUAACUUUAGAAAAUCAUUAUAAAUUGUACAGAAAUAAUUAUAGGUCAUAAUUUAUAUGUUUAGAUUCCUUAGUGAGUCUAUUUUCAAAAUAAAUUAAUGGUAAUCUUAUAUGAAUUCUGUACAAUUAGAUAUUUGAUUUUUAGCGCCAAGAGGUCAGAUCUGUCGAGCUGUGAAACAGGGGAUACUUUAAUGAAUAAACUGUACUAAUGUGCUAAGUAAAAAAUUUUGAAACUUUUAUGGUAAGUAGGAAUAUGAGUCUAGUUUCACAGAAAAUUUACGGAUUUAAAUUUUUAGUUUCGUAACUCAAGUUAUAAUUAAAUUAGUGACAGUUGCGCAGGUGGACAAUGUUGUUAUGAACAGUGAAUUUAAUUUUAAAAGCAAAUUUUUAUGCUCCGAAUCGGUAAGUUAAAUUGGAUGACAUCUCGUACUCGAUUCCGGAGAUGGUCUCGGGUAAGGGGUGUUACAUCUGAUGCCCUACAAAAUGUUCAAGUAACUUGGUCUUGGGGAACCUAAACCUUUUAGGAUGAGUAUUCAACUACCCGAUAGAUCUGUAAAAUAUCCUAGGGAUAUUAUAGAGGACGUACUUGUAAAAGUAGAUAAAUUUAUAUUCCCUAUUGAUUUGGUUGUGCUUGACAUGGAUGAGGAUGUUGAGGUUAAUUUUAGGUCGUUCAUUUUUAGCCACUACUAGAGCUGUUAUUAAUGUGGGUGAUGUUAAACUUGUACUUAGGGUAGGUGACGAAGAGUUUAUUUUUAAAAUUUAUGAUGCCAUGAGAUUUUCUAAGGAACAGGAUGACUCAUGUUAUUUUAUUGACUCUAUUGAUCAUGCUACUCAAGAUUCUUUACAGGAAAUCGUAUAUAAAGACACGUUGGAACUGUGUCUUGCCCGAGGAGAGGAGGUAAAUGAUGAUGAUUCUGCAAUAGAUAAGAUAAAAGCUGAACUAAAUUCCAAUGAGCCUUCACUGAGACAGAAGAACAACGAGGGUAUCAAGGUCAAUAAUGAAUUAAAAUUGAAACCCUCUGUUGAAGAACCGCCUAAAUUGGAAUUAAAGCAACUACCAGAUCACUUAGAAUAUGCAUUUCUUGGAAAUAAUUCCAUAUUACUAGUGAUUAUUGUUUCAGAUUUACAGACAACUAUAAAAGACGAGUUACUCAAAGUAUUAAAGGAGCACAAAAGAGCUAUAGCUUGGAAGAUUUCUGACAUAAGAGGGAUCAACCCUUCUUUUUGUACACAUAAAAUUUUAAUGGAAGAUGAAUAUAAACCCUGUGUGCAAGCUCAAAGACGAUUGAAUCCUAACAUGAAAGAAGUCGUAAAAGCUGAGGUAAUUAAACUUCUAGAUGCAAGAAUUAUUUAUCCUAUUUUUGAUAGUUCUUGGGUGAGUCCGGUGUAGGUUGUUCCUAAGAAAGGAGGCAUGACUGUUGUGGCCAAUGAGAAGAACGAAUUAAUUCCAACGAGAACAGUCACGGGAUGGAGAGUUUGUAUUGACUAUAGAAAAUUGAACAAUGCUACAAGAAAAGAUCAAUUUCCCUUACCAUUCAUUGAUCAAAUAUUGGAAAGAUUAUCUGGACAUAUGUAUUAUUGUUUCCUAGAUGGACUCUCUGGGUAUUUCCAAAUCCCAAUAGCUCCUGAGGACCAAGAGAAAAUGACAUUUACAUCUCCAUACGGUACGUUUGCUUAUCGACGAAUGCCUUUUGGAUUAUGUAAUGCUCCUGCUACUUUUCAGCGAUGCAUGUUAGCCAUUUUUUAUGAACUCGUGGAAGACAUUAUAGAGAUAUUUAUGGACGACUUCUCGGUAUUCGGUAACUCUUUUCAUCUUUGCCUCAAAAAUUUAUGUAAUGCUCUUUGGAUUAUGUAAUGCUCCUGCUACUUUUCAGCGAUGCAUGUUAGCCAUUUUUUAUGAACUCGUGGAAGACAUUAUAGAGAUAUUUAUGGACGACUUCUCGGUAUUCGGUAACUCUUUUCAUCUUUGCCUCAAAAUUUUAAAAUGAGUUCUAAUAAGAUGUGAGGAAAAGAAUCUUGUGCUAAAUUGGGAAAAAGGACAUUUCAGGGAUCGUGAAGGGAUUGUGUUAGGACACAAAAUUUCUAGUAAAGGGAUCGAGGUUGAUAAAGCAAAAGUCGAAACUAUUGAGAAACUACCUCCCCCUAGUUCAGUUAAGGCUAUUAGAAGCUUUUUAGGACAUGCAGGAUUUUAUAGAAGAUUCAUUAAUGAUUUUUCUAAAAUAGCUAAGCCUUUAACGAAUUUACUAGAAAAAGAUGUACCUUUCAAUUUCAGUCAAGAUUGUUUAGAAGCAUUUAACACUCUUAAGGAUAAAUUAAUUAAUGCUCCGAUUGUAGUUGCACCUGAUUGGAAUUUACCCUUUAAACUAAUGUGUGAUGUGACUUUGUUAUAUCUGACUCUAAUGAACCUUAGUUUGUAGAUAUUGCGAAUUAUUUAGCCGUUAACGUUAUACCAAAAGGGUUGACUGAUAAAUCGUAAUUUAUACCUAUUUUCCCCCCAUGUUUAACACAUUUUAUGGAUGAUUUUCCAUUAGAAUUGGUGAAUUCGAUACUCCUAAUGCUUUAAUUUCAUGUUUUACACUUAAGAGAGAAUAAGAGAGCGAAAGGAACGAGAAACGGGCUAAAAACGGAGAAAAUGGGCCAAAGUACGAAAUCAACACGGCCUGGACCUCCUCACAUGGGCAGACCAUAUGGCCGUGUCAAUCUGGCAGAAUUGGAGCACGAUGCACACAGACGUGUCACACAGGCGUGUCCCUGUUGAGUCCAAGUUAAGUCCAAUUCAGAAAAGGCCACUUUUGAGGGCUUCUAGGCAUUCUAAAGCCUAUAAAUACACCCUAGAAGAGGAGAAAAAGAAGAGACGGAGAAGGAGGUAAGGAAUUACCCCAAGGCAGCCGAUUGAUCCAUCUCGGAAGGCGGAUUCAUCCACUAGAGCAAGUCCACCUAGCUGAUUCAGUACGGGCACUCCUUGCCACCGCUUCGUGGAACCGCUUCUUUGAUAUCAUCGAGCCAACAUAUUUAGAGUUCUCCUUGGAACUCGGCUCGACGUUUCAGUUAUAGACAGUGAUGGCAGAACAUGACGACCCAGGAACAGUCCAAUUUCGCCUUGGUGGUCUAGUACGCCAGCUGAGUGUCCUAAAAUUCGACGUCGCCUUGGGACUUUAUACGGACGAGUUCAUGAAGGCCGACAAUUUUCCUCACCUCCACCGCCACAUCCAUCGUUCACCUUCCUCGUGUUGGAUAGACCUCAUGCCUGCUACAGGCAUUUAUGAUCCUAGCCGUUCAAAGGCAUCGGCUCUAGCUCCAGCUCUGUGCUAUCUCUACGCCCUUUUGGCACACACAUUAAUAGGGAGGCAAAAGAGCAUUGGCAUCAUCAACACUCACGACGCAUACUUCUUGUGGAGCAUGAGGCAGGGGCAUAUUUUUUAUCUCGCAUACUUCAUCGCCCUUACCUUCCGCCAUCAAACCAAGCGACACCGAAAGGGAGUCAUCAGCAUCGGCCCAUAUGUGACUCGACUAGCUCGACAUUUUGGGCUAAUAAGUAUGCUCUAUAUGCGAAUGAUUGAGCGUCAUCGUGGGUUCGACCAUCCUCAGUACUGACUUGCAAGAGCUACCGAGGAGGAUGACGCCGAAGAUAUUCCUGAUGAUAUCCCUGCAUUUCAGGAGGACCCACCUUCUCAGCCACCACCAAUUCACUGGCCAGUUCAUGCGGCUGCUUCAUUAUCUGAAGUUUCUGACCACCUUCAUCGCUUUGAGCAAUAUUACACUCAGCGAUUCGACAGCAUCGAGGCGACUCUACAAUGAAUUUGCCAACAUUUUCACAUAUCGCCUCCAACACCACCACCCCACGAUCCAGCUGUCGAUGAGGACUUUUGAGUCCAUUUAAUUUUCAAUUUAUUUUUCUUUUCAUUUUAUUUUUAUUUUAGCAUUUUUUUGUCUUUAUUUAUCAUUUUCUUAAAAGACUUUUAUUAGUAUAAUUUGAUUUUUCCUUUUAUCUAGUUAUUUCAUUAUUACCAACCAUAAUAACCCUAUUGAUUUAAAUCCCUUAAACAUUACUGAUGGCAUCACAGUUUUACAAGGUUCAGUCAAUGGGUGCUAGGAAUAAACAAACAAUCCUCCACGACUACCAUGUCCUGCUCGACCACAACCAUAACCACCACGACACCGAGCACCACAAUAACCUCUUCGCUGGGCACUAUGAUUGUGGGACUCAACGUCUACCACCACAUUCACCUCUUCCUACAUGUCACAUACACAUCACUUUCAAUGUCUCUAAACUCGUUUCCACUCUUUCAAGGAUUACAUCCAAAAAUUCAGGGUAGUUUCGCUUCUCUCCCUCUCUUCUAAUAUUAUGAUUAUAUUACUCUUAUCUAUCUUUGUACAUUGAGGACAAUGUACAUCUUAAAUAUGGGGAGGUUAUUUAUGUGAUUAUCAAAAAAUCCUUGAAUUUUUAUCUUGUUCUCAAAUAAUUUUCUCUUAUCAUUAUUAGAGUAAAUUCAAAUUGAUUUAUGAUUUUGAUUGAAAUGUCUUGAAUUAAAUCAUAGGUAACCGUGCGUUGAUUGUUUAAACUUUAAGACAUUAGGGGAUCAAACAUGAUAAGUUGACUUUUGAGAAGUAAAAUUACUAGGUUGUUCCCCUGAAUUGAGGUAUUAUCUUGAAGCUUUGAAUUCAUAGGAUUGACAUCAAAUACCAAUAAUUUUUGUGAGAUCUUGAGCAUUUUAAAGCAUAUGUUUUUCUUGCUCCCUGAUUUUACUGGUUAUGAAUGUGUCAACAUUGAUUUGUUAUUCUAGAGCUUGCUUCGAUUAUGCAUGUCAAGACCACACCUUUGAUUUGAUAUACGAAAAUGAUAAAGGCACUUAGGUUUUAACCCAUUUACUCCAUAAAAAGCCUACCCACAUAAUUGACGCUUAGUGAACCCCUUUGAGCCUUAACUAUUAUUUCUUGAUUUUCCCCUUAAUAGUAACCCUCAACUUAACCCUUUUUUAUUUGUUAAGAAAUUUUCCCUUCCCAUUGACUCCAUUUUUAUCGAGAUUUGAUUUGAUUAGUUACCUAACUAUGUUCGUUCAUUCCAGUUGCUGAAUUAUUUCUUAUUAUGUACUACCCUUUAUUGUGCUUGUUCUUAUUCUUAAAAAAAGUAUAUUCAUUCAAUUACAUAUUGUUCUAAAGAGGUUGGAUAAGUUAAAGUCAUUAUAUUAAGAGAAAAGCUCACUUCAUUAGUUUUGGUUAGUGUUAAUUCUGGCACUUAUUUGUAAUUCAGUGAUUAGAUUUAUUUUUUUCGAGGUUUGGUAAUUUAUUUAAAUUAAUCCCAAUUCUAACCUCCUUUUUAAGCUUUUAUCCACACCUUUAACCCAAACCCCAUUACAACCCGGUUAAAGGCCUUUUGAUUUGUGUAUCAUCUCAUUUAUAGUGGUGGAGAUUUGAUUUUCCUGCAAACCUAUGGUAAUAACUUUUCAUGUUUGACUAUUAAGUGCUUAAUUAUCAAACCUUAAACACUUUGAGUGAUUUGAGUGAAUCAUUAGCGAGGACGUCAACCUUGUCAAUUUGGAAUUAAAGGUGAUUACUUAGAUAAAUGGGGAUACCUAUGAUUUUAUGAUUGAAAUGCUCAAUUUGGAUUGUUUGAAACUCUAAUGAUCUUUUGGUUAAGCUCUUAACGUAUGAUUACUUGUGGAUUAUUUCAAACAUUAUUGAUAAGAAUUAUAAGUUGAGAAUAAUUUAUUUUAAUUGUGAGUUGAGGAUUUUGCUUAAGGACAAGCAAAUGCUUAAGUGUGGGGAUAUUUUAUAAACCAUAAUAUAUACAUAUUUUUAACCUAUGCUUGGCAUAUUUUUGGAUGAUUUAUCAUAAUAUUUAGUGAAUUUGAUGCUUCUAAUCCUUUAAUUUCAUGUUUUAUACUCAGGAGAGUAAUAGAAGGCGAAAAGAGCAAGAAACGGGCCAAAAACGGACAAAAUGGGCUGAAAUCAGCAUGGUACAUGGCCUAGGCACUUCCACACGGGUGAUCCACACGCCCGUGUGUGACACACGGGCAGACCACAUGCCUGUGUGUCAUGGCCAUGUCGACACCAAACCAAGUCAAAAUUGCACACGGCCUAAGCACCUUCACACGGGCGUGGCACACGGUCGUGUCCUUGUCUAGCCUAAGUCUAAUUCUACUUGAAAAAAGCAAAUUUUAGGUUAAUUUGGGCAUUCCAAAGUCUAUUUAAAAACCUUAGAAGAGGAUUAAAGGGGACAUAGGGAGUGGAAGGUAGAAACUACUCAAAGACAGCCAUCAGAAUCACCUCAGAGGUAGGAUCUACAUUAAGACUGGAGAUUUCCAUCAAAUUUCCUAGAAGUUCUUUGGGUUUCUUUAUGCUUUGUUGUUUUCCAAAAUUUGAGAUGUUUUCCAUUAUUAUUAUGAACUAAACUCCCUAAAUACCUAAGGGAGAUAAAACCUAAGACGGAUCUUAUUAUUAUUUGAGUUAUAUGAUAAAUACUUGUUUUUAUUUUUAAUUGUGAAUUUAACCCUUGCCUUAAUAUUCCAGGAUAUUAAUUGAGCUUUUUGAUGUGCUUAUUCAGUAGAGCAAAAGUCCCUGUUUAAGAGUAGAUCAUUCAUAAUUAAGCGGAGUUUCAUGCAAUCCUAGAGAUAGGACGAAAAAAAUCUGCCAGAUUAGAGUCAAAUCUAAUAAGGGAAUCCAUAGAUCGAGUUAAUGCGACAAUAGGGGUUUCAAUUAGAAAGAGAUUUCAAUUAAUCAACCUAGAGUCAAUUGUUUUUAGUCUUGAGAGAGAUAUUAACAUAAAUCAAGGAUUUCUACGGAUUAAGUCAAGUGAAUAAAUCGUCUAACUCAAAGGUAAUAAGUGAAGUCUAGGUGGAUUCUUCCUUGGGUAUUGUCUUCUCCAUCGGUUCUCUAAAGUAUUUUCUAACUUUAAUCUUUGUCGUAAUCUUAGUUAAUUAGAUAAUUAGUUUUAAUUUUUUUUUUAAAAACAUUCAUUAAUUCUUAGGCUAGAUAAUAAAAAGAUAGUAAUUACUAGUACUUUUAGUCCUCAUGAAUAUGAUAUAUCCGGUCUCACCAUAACUAUACUACUGUUCGAUAAGUGCGCUUGCCUUAGUCGAAUUUUUAGUUAGUUUAGCGACCAUCAAGACAAAACCCCCACCAUGGGCAAUAUUAACCCAUUAAGGAGUCCAUUGGCUUCUAAUAGACAACACUUCACAAACUUCUUCUAAAGAAGUCAGCCGCCCCUCAACAAGACUAUCAAUUAUUAUUAAUAAAAGAAUUAUCCUUCCUGAGAUCAGGUGAACUAGAAAUUCUGUUUUCAAAAAGAAUAAAAAAUAUUGGGUCACUCUAAAAUAAGGUUUGUCCUAUUUUAGUCACUUUAAAUUAUUUUUCUUAAUUUUGUCACUCCAAAUAAAGUAAUCUCUCAAAGUAGUCACUCAUUAAAAAUUUUGUUUUCUACUAAUGGAUUGUUGAUGUCACAGGUAACCUUGUUCUAUCUUUCUUCUGCUCCUAUUAAAAACUAAAAGAAACAAUCUACUAUUGAAACAAAAACCUAACAUAUACCAAUGUCUAUGUAACAUCUCGAAUUAGGGACUAGUCAGAAUAGUAGUUUUGAGACCACAAAAUCCGAUAUAGAAAUAAUUAUUUUAUGAUUUUUAUAAGGUUUAUGAUAUGUGUGUAUGAUUGUGUAAAAAUUUUAUGAAGAAAUUCUAUGUGAAAAGUGCUUAAUUUAACUUUAAGGACUCAAUUGAAUAUAUUGUAACUAGAAGUUUUUAACAUGAAUUGAAUUGGAUCAUUAAUUAGAGGUUCUUAAAUAGUAAUUUGACUAAGUUCUAAAAAUUUGGACAAAAAUGGACAUGCAUGGUAAAAAUUCCAAAGAAAUGCUUUAGGGGUAUUUUGGUCAUUUAGUGAUUAAAUGGACUAAAAGACAAAUUAAAAGUCAAAUUUUUUUCAUCUUCUACCCCAUGGCUGUAUGAACCAAGGAGAACACCAUGGCUAGGGUUUUCAAGCUUCCAAGCUCAAUAGUAAGUGUUUCCAAGCCCCUUUUAAAUGUUCUUUGCAUUUUUGAAGUCCCUGUGACAUGAUCUACUCAUUUCUACCCAUAUUUUUAACUAGGGUUCAUGUUUAAAAAUUUAACCAUGCAUGACAUGUUAGUAUUUUGAAGAUUGAUGGAAGAAUGAAAGAUUGAAGUAUGUUUAACAACUUUUACUAGGUGAUUUUUCAUGAAAACACCUACAAAGGACUAAAAUGUAAAAGUUGUAAAAUGUGUAGCAAAUGUAUGAAAUGAAAGAGAAAUGUGGGCUGCCACAAGAGUAAUAAAGGUUUAUCUAGGCUUAAAGUAUAAGAAAAACGAACAGAUUUCAUUUUACGAGCCUAGGGUCUAAAUUGCAAAUAUGUGAAAGUUUAGGGGUAAAAAUGCAAAUUUAUAAAAGUAUGAUUUUUGGGUCAAUUUGAAUAAUGUGAGUAAUAAUUAAGCUAUAUUUGAAAUGUUAGAUCAAGAAAACUGAUAUUCGGGCUUAAAUCGAGAAAGUACGAUAUUAUGGACUAAAAUGGAAUUUUAGUUGGGCUCGGAUUCGAGGUAACUUCGUAUGAUAAUAAUAUUGCAAUGUUAUGUUUGAAUUAUAUUCCUUACUAUUAUUGCAUAUAUUGUAUGAUUUAAUAUAUUGGAAAAAUUGAUGGAAUGGUGUAUAUGAUGUGGAAAUAUGACAUGGAAGAAUAUUACAUGAAAUGCAAGAAAAUGAUGAUACAUGAUAAGUGAUAUAUGAAAUAUAUGAUAUAUGUUAUGUAAAUUCUUAAAAGCUUAUUUGCUAUUUUAGUUAUGCCUUAUUAUGCUAUGAAUGGGCAAUUGAUACUAUUGUAAGCAUGAAUGAUAUUAUGGUCACUAUCCACGAUGUCACAAGCAAGUGCAAUAGAGGUGCAAUGACAAGUGAGAAAAAAACCUCGUUUGAACCUUAGAAAUAGUUUAGGAUACAAGUGACAUGUCAUUAGGAAUAAAAAAGUUCAAACUCGUUGAGUGGUCCGGGUUCAUGAUAUAUAUGGCAUCUGAGCUGUUGAGUGGUUCGAGUUCAUAAUGGAUGCGAUACAUGUGAUUGAGUUCCGGAAAAUGGUCUUAUGUGUCUUACCGAUGGCUAGGUAAUCCUUGAGUGGUUGGAUACCUGACAGCUUUUGUGAACAGCUCGUGUAGUUACACCUUGAUCGAUAGCUUAUAUGAGCAAGCCCGUGAGUAGCUUUGCAAGCAUUGCAUGAUAUGAGGUAACUUCAGCUACGUAUGUUUAUGUGGCACUUAUGUGCAAGUUUCUGCGUAUCCAAUAGUAUUCUGAGUGAUCAACGAGUAAUGCAAUGGAUAACGUGAUGAAAGACCCAAUGAGGGCAUGUUAAAGAAGGUAUGGUUAUGUGAUAUACUACGAGUGAGUACAUGUAUGUAUGCUAAACUCAUGAGCAAUUCCUUGAUGAAGAAUGACUUAUGGUGAGAAUGUUUAUGUAUAUAUAUAUAUAUAUGAACAUAUGAUAAGUAUGCAAAAAGGCUUGAGUGAUGAAUAAUCUUUAUGUUUAUUUUAUUAAAUCUUUGUGUAAUUGAACAUGGAAUCCAUGAAAUGGUGAGUUCAUGAUUAGUUGAAAAUGAACUUAUGAUAGUUAUCAUCAUAUUACACUAAAAUAGUUUUAGACAGCAGCAGUAGUCUGACUUUGAAAAUCCACCAAAAAUUGUGGAAAUCGAAUUAGAGACUAAAUAAGAUAUAAAAUUAAAUCUUAUUGAGUCUAGUUUCACAUAGAGGAAACGAUGUAAACAAAAGAAUUUCAUAUUAUGAGAUAUUUGAAUUUUUGUGAGACAAGGUUAGAGUGAUUUUGGGCUCCCCUGUUUUAACUUUGGAAAAUCACUAAAAAUUGUACAAGAAUAAUUAUGGGUUAUAAUUCAUAUGACUAAAUCCUUAACGAGUCAAUUUUCAAGAGAAACAGACAGGAACAUUAUUCGAAUCCCGUACUAUGAGAUAAUUGAUUUUUAGUAAAGAAAGGUCGAAGUUUUAAAAUAGUAGAACAGGGGUAACUUUGAAGAAUAAACUAUACUUAUUGGCUAAUAGAUAAAUUCUAAAAGGUAAGAAGAUAUAUAGUCUAGUUUCAAGGAAAAUUAGCACAUCUUAAUUUGGAGUUCCGUAGCUCCAGAUGUAAAUAAUUUAGUAACUAUGACUCGAGAAGACAACUUGACUGGAAUAUGAGCAAAUAGUGGAAUUAUGUGUAAUUUCGAUUGUGUUACCAUGAGAACAUGUUGUAAGAAUUUGGCAAAAGCACGUUAAUAAAUUGCUUAUUAUUAUUUUUGUACGGGCUUACUAAGCUAUAAAGCUUACCCCUCUCAUUUCCAUUUCUUUUAGUAUUGUCAGGUUAGCUCGAAGUUGAAGAUCGUUGGAGGCAGCAUCACACUAUCAAGUUAUCAAGCCGGGGUAUUAACAAAUCUUAAGUGUUUUCAAGUGAGUGGCAUGUAUAGAUACUUAGUAUUUUACGAUAUGUGUUUCAUGAUUUGGCCAAUUGAGUUGUCUUAUAAUGUUUCAUUUGUAUAGAGCCAUGAGAUAUGGCUUAUAUUUGAUCAUUGGGUUGUAAACCUAAUUGAUUUUGCUUGACUGUUCUAAUGUUUUGAUGAUGUGCAUGUUGUGAUGGCUAGAUAUCGAUGGAUGUAUGAUAUGGUAUGUAUAUUUGAUGGAUAAACUUUGAUCAAUAGGUGUGGAAUGCCCUAAAGAAACAUGUUGAUAUGAGUGUGUGAUAUGUGACAUUAUGGAUAUGAAUUAGACAUGACUAUGAAUGCUAGAUGAUUAAGUUGAGAAUAUAAGCAUGAAGAUAAUCAUGGUAUAAGGGUAUAAGUGGUAAUGAAGAUGACAAGGCCAAAUGAAUAUGGUUUGUUAUGUCUAGACUUGUUAUAAAAUGAGUAUGAGAAACACAAGUAUGAUGACAUGCAAAUGUUAUGUUUGUAACUUAAUUGAGGAUGUUUAAUCUUGAAUUAGAUAUCAUGUUCUAUGCCUUUGAUGUUUUAUAAGUGUGUGAGGGAUUAAAGUUGACCAAGGCUUGGAAAAUAGCCUAAGUGUUGGCCACACGGGUAAAGACACAGCCGUUUGGGAGACACAGCCUUAGCACACGAGUGUGUGUCUUGGCCGUGUGACCUUAAAAUAUUGUUGACGUCAUAAACAGAGAGUUACACGGGCUAAGGACACAGGUGUGUUCGAGCUACACGGCCGUGUGACUCUCCAAAACUAGAAAAUUUCCUAAGUGUUGUAAAAAGUUCGUAAGUUCUCGGUCUAGUCCCAAACCACCCCCAAUGUAUGUUUUGGGCCUCGUAGGCCCGCAUAAGGGAGAUAUGCGUUUGUUUGAAUGUUUUUGAAAUGGUUAAAAUUUUAUGGCCCAGUUUCACAUGUAUAUGUACGUCUAAGUCCAGUAAUGCCUCGUAUCAUGUCCCAGCGUUGGACACAGGUAAGGGGUGUUACAGUCUACCAUGGAGCUUCAAAUCCUCCCACAAAAACAAAAACCUAGAAAAUAUUUCAUCCUAAAUUCAAACAAAAAAGAAUAAAAAUACCUCCAAUGCCAAAUUAAGCCAAGAACCUAGAUUUGCUAAUAAAUUUGAAAAGGCACGAUCAUUGGCUUCUUUGUUACACACAAGAACAUCACCUUAAUGUUCAUAACACCCAAGAAAACAAUCACCUCUAUCUUCCAAAAUCUCAACCAUUUCCCCUAAAGAAUCAAUACCAUUUACCAAUUCCAUUUUGAGUUAAAACACUUUCCCACCAAUUUUUGUUUAGGGUGGAGUUCAGAGUCCACCUAAGAAAGUUUUUCAAUGAACAAGUUGAUAACAUUAACAAGGAAUUUAUUAGGUAGGGUAGCAUGCCUAGUAGAGGCAAAAGUGGCUUCAUAAAAUCUGUAAACGGGUGGUUUUGGAGGAGCAAAUGAAAGUGGGAUUAACAAUGUCUCCAUAAAAUUAGAUUGGGUUGCUGUUAUAGAGAUUUUCAAAACGUGCUUCACUGGGAUUCUAAUUGAAACAUGGGAUUUUUUUGCCAAAAAAAAUUAGAGCGUAAGGUAGGUUUUAGCAAAGACGACAAUUCCUAAUGUUAGAGAUAGCCAUGUGUCGUCACUUAAUAAGCUAUGGUGCCUCGUCAGCAAUUCGUUAGUAAAAAAUAGAAUUUUUAACAGGAAUGACCAUUUUGAGCAACUAUUUUAUUUGGAGUGACUAAAUUGAGAAAAAAAAAUUUAAAGUGACUAAAAUAGAACUAAUCUUAUUUUAGAGUGAUCAUGGUGUUGGAAGAUUGGGUUUGGAAAAUGUAGCGAAAAAUAGGUUUAAGAGAAAAUCAAAGUUGUAAUUUUUUUUCAAAAACAAUAACUUGGUUAUGUUAUCUAAAAUAAUAAACACUUAAUAAAAAUUGUACUUUUAUAAUUCGUCUAGGAUGAACGCUUCGACUGAGUAGACUUCUCAACUAUCCUCAAGCUCACAUCUGCCGAGUGUGGACUCACUUCGAAUUAGAAAUUUUUUCACAAAAUUACUGGUGGGGCAAUUUCAUAAUUUCUCUAAACUUCAGGAGUUAAGUUAUAAAUAACAAGAAUAUCCCUAGAAACUUUCUGAAAUAAUUUCUUUAGAGGAUUUUCUCUCUACAACUUUUUUUAAAUUCAAAUGUAUGAGAAUAGUGACUCAGACUCUCUUUAUAUAAGGAGAGUUUAGAAAGAGUUCAACUAGGAUUAGAAUUAAUCAUAUUAAUAUUAAAUUAAUAAAAUAUUAUCUAAAUAAAUAUUAAAUUCAUUAAAACAAUAUUAUUUUUAAAAAAUUUAAUUUGAAAUCAAGUUACCUAGUAGAGUCCCACUAAAAGUUUAUUUUUACCACUACUCUACCACCGAAGAACCGCCGCCUCCAACCAUCCACCUAAUCGCCUUUUUCGCAAUCGUCGUGCCUGACGGUGCCAUUGUUGGCGCCACUUCUCCCUGGCACCUUGAACCGUCGUCGUUUUGCCCAAAUAGGACCGGGUGAUUCAAUUGCUACCGAUUCAAUCUGGGCCAAUGACGACAUGGCCGGUGGUUGAACCAUCGACCCAGUUUGAUACACAUGGCCUGGUUCAACCAGUUUUUAGGUUUUUGUUAGGGGUGAGCAAAACUUGAUUCGACUCGAAAAAAUCGAAAAAAAUUCGAAUUUCUAGUUAAACAAAUCAAGUUAUUCGAGUCAACUCGAAUUUUUUUCGAAUUUCAAGUUUCGAAUCGAGUUGAGUUUUUGAAUUUGAAUAAAUAGAAUAUCAAACUAUAAUAUUUUACAUUUUUACCCCAAACUCCUAAACCUUUUUACUUUUUCCUCAAAACUUUUACUCCUUCCCACUUUUCCCCCCAAAACUUUUACUCGUCUUCCAUCCCAACCUCCAAUCUACCCAAAAUCCAUUUCCCACAAAAAUUUUACUUUCCCAUUUACUUUUUAUCAAAAUUUUACUCCAAAAACCCCUCAAAACUUUUUAUUUUCUCCCAAAAUUUUUACUCCCUCCCACUUUCCUCCUAAAAUUUUUACUUCCUUCCCAUCCCACCUCUCAUCUACCCUAAACCCAUCCCCCUCCAUUUUUUUAAUGUUUUCCCUCCAAAAUUUUACUCCUCUUAUUUACUUUCCCUUAAACUUUUAUUCCCUAAAACUUUUUAUUUUCCCCCAUAAACUUUUACUUCUCACCCUUUACUCUCAAAUAAAAAAUCAAAAUUAUCCAAAAAAAUCACUAAACUUAAAUAGUAAUAAUUUUAUUUAUAUAUACUAUUUAUAUUAUUAAAUUAAAUUUUACAUUUUAUAUUAUUUAUAUUAUUGAAUUGUUUAGUCAUAUAGAAUAUUUAUAUUAAAAUUGAAUUAUUAAUUAUGCCAUUAAAUAUUCAUGUUAAAAUUUUAUAUUGGUAUCAAUUUCACAUUUUAUCUUUAAAAUAAUUUUUAUUAAAAAAUCACAUUUUUACAUUUACUAUAUUUUUUAAUUCCAAAAUACGUAGUGACAAGAAUCUGAAGAUAAUUGAAACAACUAAGCAAGCAAGGAAGCUAACCCGUAUAUAAAAUAUUAAUAAAUAAAUUAUGAGGUGAUGAAAGUUAAUAAAAAUUUUGAUUAAGGUGGAUAAAUUUUAUUACAAUGGGUGACAGUGGUUACAAGGACCUAAAAUUAUUUUUUAAAAUUUAACUCGAACAAAUAUAUUCGAUUAGAUUCGAUUCGAAUUCUAUCUCACUCGACUUGAUUCGAGAAAAUUUCAAAUCAAAUUAGAAUGAAAAAAUAUGAUUCGUGAACUCGAUUAACUCGAAAUUUUUUCAUUUGAUUCAAUUCGAUUCAAUCGAACACUCACCCCUAGUUUCUGUCUCGAAUUCAAUUUUCGAUCUCGGGUCCAAUUUUUAAGUUCAAUUACUUAUUGGCCUAAUUCUCUGACUUGAAAAUUUAUUUCCAAAAAUAUUAUAUUUAUUUUAAUUAAUUUGUGAUCAAAAUUAAUAUUCCCAAAAAUCACUGAGAUAUUCCAAACUAAUUUUUCAAUAAAAUUCUUUAAUCAAAUUCUCUAGUUGAACAAUUCUUACGACCACCUAAUUUUAUUCCACAUCGAAUAAAUCGACUCAACUAAAUUAUUUCUAAAGUUGUAGAAUUUUCUUUUAAUCCAAUUGCAGUCCGAUCGAGCUUUUAUUGAGCUAGUAGAGAGACCAAUUGAACAUAAACAAUUAGGCUCGAGUUAAUUGCAAUUAUGUCUAAAAGCAUCGUUAAGAUAAUUCACAAUUUACUUAAUCAUGGAUUGAGUCCACAAGAAGUACUAUGAUUGAAAACUCCUUAUGGUAUACUAUUUACGAAAGUAACUCAUCCAACUACUUUGUCCAAUGGUCUCGUCAUGUGUGUGUUACCCUCAUUUGAUAUCAUUGAUUCCUUUAAGUUAAAUCCGUUCAUUCAAUACAAUCAUGUUUUAUCUCAUUGUCACAAUUUUGUCUUCUUAAUUGUGAAAAAUAAAAUAAAAAAAGUAAAAAAUAAAGAACACACAAAUUUUACGUGGAAACCCUUUCGGAAAAAAACCACGGGCAGAGGAGAAGAAAAUUCACUAUGUCGAAAAAUUGAAUUCAAUACAAGAGGAAUAGACUAUGUCUAUUUAUAGGCUUGUAAAGCCAUAUUCUAGUAGGAUUGAAACACCUUAUCCUAAUAAAUAUAAAAUAGAUGGAGUUUAAUAAGGUUUAAAAAACCUUAUUCUAAAAUAAAAUAAAAGAAGUCUAGUUCUAUAUGGAUUUUACUUUUAUUUUAUUUUCCAUCGUAUUUUAUUUAAAUAAGAAUUCGGGUCACUUAAUUCUAACAAUCUCCACCUUGACAUAAAUUCUCAAUGAACAAGUUCUUCAUCGCGAACAAGUUCUCCACCUCUUCCAUAAAACCCCUUAAGGGUUUAACUUCAACAAUGAACACCAACCAAGUCUAAGCAAUGUUCAAACUUGGUUAUAGGAAGUGACUUAGUCAUCAUAUCUGCAGGAUUUUCAUGAGUACUAAUUUUGCUCACAACAAUAUCACCACGAGCAAUAAUAUCACGAACAAAAUGAUACCGAACAUCAAUAUGUUUUGUUCUCUCAUGAAACAUUUGAUCUUUUGUAAGGAAGAUGGCACUCUGACUGUCACAAAAUACUGUACUGAUUUGAAGGUCUUCAUUAAGUUCACUAAAUAGUCCCUUCAACCAAAUAGCUUCUUUACAAGCCUCAGUAAUCGCCAUGUACUCAGCUUCAGUGGUAGACAAAGCGACUGUAGUUUGCAAAGUGGCUUUUCAACUAAUUGCACAACCUCCGAUAGUAAAGACGUAACCUAUGAGAGACUUCUAUCAAGGUCUCCAGUAAAAUCAGCAUCAACAUACCCUAUGACUCCAUCUUUAGUUCUUCCAAACUAUAAGAAAACAUCAGUAAUGCCUCGUAAGUAUCUUAAAAUCCACUGAACUGCUUUUCAAUGUUCUUUACCGGGAUUUUCCAUGUAUCUUCUAACUACACUAACUGCAUAUGAUAAAUCUGGACGUGAGCAAACCAUAGCAUACAUGAGAGAUCCCACUACACUAGAGUAUGGAACAUGUGACAUGUACUCAAUCUCAUCAUCUAAUUGUGAAGACAAAGCCGAUGAAAGUCUGAAAUGGGCUGCUAAAGGAGUAUUAACAGGCUUAGCACUCUGCAUAUUGAACCUACAAAGAAUUUUCUCAAUGUACCCCUUCUGACUUAGGUACAAUUUACUUGCUUUUCUAUCUCUGAGAAUCUUCAUACCAAGUAUCUUCUUUGCUGGUCCUAAAUCUUUCAUCUCAAAUUCUUCACUUAGUUGGGCUUUGACCUUUCUUAUCUCUCCUUUAUCUUUUGCUGCUAUCAACAUGCCAUCAACAUAAAGAAGUAGAUACAUAAAAGAACCAUCACUGUUUUUCUUAAAGUAAACACAACUGUCUAAACUACUUCUUUUGAAAUCAUGAGAAGUCAUAAAGGAACCAAACCUCCUGUACCACUAUCUUGGUGACUGUUUUAAAUCGUAAAGGGACUUUCUCAGCAAGCAAACAUAAUCCUCUUUUUCUGAGACUAUAAAACCCUCUGGUAGUUGCAUGUAAAUAUCCUCCUCAAGUUCUCCAUGCAGAAAUGCAGUUUUUACAUCUAACUGCUCAAGCUCUGAACCACGCAGGCCACAAUACCAAGCAAAGCUCAAAUCGAACUAUGCUUAACAACUGGAGAGAACAUAUCUGUGAAGUCCACUCCUGGAAUUUGACUAUAACCCUUUGCAACAAGCCUUACUUUAUAUAUGGGUUCUUCAACUACUGGAGUCCCUUCUUUCUUUUUAAACACCCAUUUACAACGAACAGCCUUUUUACCUUUAAAAAGUUUCACAAGGUCCCAUGUUAUUCCAUCUCUUCUUGCAUAGCAAACAUCAACUUUUCUGAGUCUUCACAGCUAACCGCCUCAAAAUAAUUAGAUGGCUCUUGAUUCGCAUCUAUAUCUUCAACCACAUUUAAAGCAUAAGAAACUAAAUCAGCUUCGGCAUACUUCUUUGGAGGUUUAAUUUCUCUUCUAGUUUUGUUUUUGACGAUAGAGUAUUGUGGUGAAGAGGCAACUCUAUUUUCAAUUUUUGUUAUGGCUUGAGGAGUUGACUCUGUAUUAAUCUGAUGCUCCACCUGCUUUUGGUUUUCUUUAUUGGAAGAGUCUUUAAGAGAUAAGUUAGGUAGCAUAGCAGUUUCAUCAAAAACAACAUCUUUGCUAAUCACAACUUUUCUAUUUUCAGGACACCAUAACUUAUACCCUUUUACACCAGCUUUAUAACCAAGAAAAAUGCAUUUAAUGGAUCUCAGUUCCAAUUUUCCAUUAUCAACAUGAGCAUACGCAGGACACCCAAAAAUCAUUAAAUCAGAAUAAUUAGCAGGAUUACCAAACCAUACCUCUUGUGGAGUCUUUUUCUCAAUGGCAACGGAUGGAGAUCGGUUGAUCAAAAAACAUGCAGUAGAGGCUACUUUUGCCCAAAAUGACUUUGGUAAGUUGGCAUUUGACAAUAUACAUCGAACCUUUUCCAUGAUCAUUCUAUUUAUUCGUUCUGCAACGCCGUUUUGCUGUGGAGUAUGACGAACUGUCAAGUGUCUCAUGAUCCCUUCUGACUUGCACAAUCUAUUAAACUCAUCAGAACAGAACUCUAAGCCAUUGUCUGUACGGAGGUAUUUUAUCUGUUUUCCCGUCUUUUUUUCAAUCAUAAUUUUCCAAGACUUAAAUGCGGAAAACACAUUACUUUUCUACUUCAGGAAAAAUGCCCAAAAUUUUCUAGAAAAACCAUUAAUAAAGGUUAGCAUAUAAUUAGCUCCACCUCUCGAAGGCACUCUAGAUGGCCCCCACAGAUCAGAAUGAAUAUACUCCAACGUUCCCUUCGUGUUAUGGAUUCCUCUAGUGAAUCGAACUCUCUUUUACUUCCCAAAAACACAGUGCUCACAGAAAUUCAGUUUGCAAAUUCCUUGCCCAUCAAGAAGUCCUCUUUUACUCAAUUCUGUCAUACCAUUCUCACUCAUAUGCCCUAGGCGCAUAUGCCAAAUUUUAGUAAUAUCAUCAUCUGACAAGGAAGAGGAAACAACAGUUGCAUCACCAGUAAUAGUAGAACCCUGCAAAACAUAUAACUUGGCAAUUUUUCUCUGCCCUUUCAUCACAACAAGGGACCCUUUGGAAAUCUUUAAAACCCCACUUCCAGCUGUAUAUCUCUACCCUUUUGAAUCAAGAGUACUCAACGAAAUUAAAUUUCUUUUCAAUUCUGGAACAUGCCGUACGUCACUAAGUGUUCUGACAACUCCAUCAAACAUCUUAACUUUAAUUGUUCCAACACCUGCGAUUUUACACAAAGCAUUAUUUCCCAUCAAAACAACACCUUCAGACACUGUUUCGUAAGUUGUAAACCAAUCCCGAUAGGGACUCAUGUGGAAGGUGCAGCCUGAAUCAAGUAUCCACUCCUCACUUAUUUUAGAAUCAUUGACAGAAGUGACUAGAAGUUCACCAUCACUAUAGUCUUCUACAACAUCAGCUUCACCGAAAUUUUCUGGUUGUUUUCCCUUUUGAUUCGCAGCCUCCCUUUUAAUCUUAUUUUGUAGCUUAUAGCACUCAGAUUUAAUGUGCCCUUUCUUCUUGCAGAAGUUACAAGUUUUACCUCUAUUUGAAGACUUCGAUCUACCCUUAGAUUUACCACGAGGAUUCUGUUCUUGUGUCCUACCACGAUCAUCAUCAGCAUUCCGAUCUUGUCUCCCACGAAUAAUGAGACCCUCUUCCUGAGAGUCGAGUUUAACCACAAUAUGUUUCAUCUUAUCAUACGAGGUUAAAGGAUCAUGAACCUCAUCAACUGUGAGAGACUCGCGGCUAUAUAAAAUCAUGUCUCUAAAGGUUGAAUAAGACGGGGGCAACGAGCAAAGUAGAAUCAACCCUAGAUCUUCCUUAUCAUACUGAACCUCCAUUGCCUCCAAGUUUGAGAGAAUUUCUUUAAACACUGUUAAGUGUUCGUGUACAGACGCACCUUCCUCCAAACGAUGAGCAUAAAGACACUGCUUCAUAUGCAACUUGCUUGUUAGAGUUUUCGACAUACAUAUUUGUUCUAGCCUCUUCCAUAAUGCAGCGGCAGUCUUCUCUUUCAUCAUAUCCUGCAAAAUUUCGUUGGACAAAUACAGAUGUAAUUGUGUUAACGCCUUUUGAUUCUUACGCUUCUUCUCUUCAUCUGUUAAUGUAGAAGGCAUCUUAUCUAUCCCUAGCAGGACAUCCUCCAGAUCCAUCUGCGCAAGAACUGCUUGCAUCUUAAUCUGCCACAAUACAAAUCUGGUGUUGCGAUCCAACAAUGAAAUUUUAUACUUCAAAGACAUCAUUACUGUGAUUGAGAUGAACAACCCGGAAGCUCUGAUACCAAUUUUUGAAAAAUAAAAUAAAAAAAAUAAAAAAUAAAGAACACACAAAUUUUACGUGGAAAUCCUUUCGGGAAAAAACCACGGGCAGAGGAGAAGAAAAUUCACUAUGUCGAAAAAUUAAAUUCAAUACAAGAGGAAUAGACUAUGUCUAUUUAUAGGCUUGUAAAGCCAUAUUCUAGUAGGAUUGAAACACCUUAUCCUAAUAAAGAUAAAAUAGAUGAAGUUUAAUAAGGUUUAAAAAACCUUAUUCUAAAAUAAAAUAGAAGAAGUCUAGUUCUAUAUGGAUUUUACUUUUAUUUUAUUUUCCAUCGUAUUUUAUUUAAAUAAGAAUUCGAGUCACUUAAUUCUAACAUUAAUAAUUAAUAUGAUCACUGUCAACUAAUGAUUGUGAUCAAUUGCUUGUUCGAGAAUAAGUAACCAUAGCUACGUUCCAUAUUUAUCAAUCCACACAAUACCAAUAAGAGGAUAUCAUUAACUUUUUAAUCGAGCUAUGAAUUCCAAAGUCAUUUCAUACACAAAUCAUGUACCCAACAUACCGGAUAUCGACUCGAUCAUCUUUAGAGUGUAAGCUUCCACUUAUAUCAAAACACAUGAGUUACAUAUGCAUGACCAGUAACUAACUCAGGAUUUAGGUAAGUCACACCAAGAAAGUCAAAAGUGAAUUAAUCACAAAUGGAUUAAGAAUUAAUUCAACUUGGGUCAAGUCCAAUGUAUCAUUCUUCUAAUGAGUACAUCUAUGUCUUUACCCAUGGAGUCAACUGCUCCAAUAGCCAAGAUUAAUUAUCUCCCUAAUUGGAAUUGUAGACGACAUAAUAAUCCUUUUACGAGAUUACAAACUUGUUUAGAUUAUCUACUAAAGUAAAUUAUCUUUCUCGCAAUGUAAACAUUCUUAAAAUGUCACUUAUCAUUAGUUUGAACUUAGACAAACGAUAAACUAAUAUUUGUUUGUCAUAAUUUCGUUAUGUAUGCAAAACAUGGAAGAUAGAAACACAAAAGAUAUAAUAGUGAAAUAUGAAAUUAAUUUUAUUCAUUUAUUCUUGGUUCAAAUAUAUAUAAAACAGUUACAUGUUUACUAUAAUGUGGGCACAUUUCCUACACAUGGGUGUAGUUUACCCAAAAAUAUUUCUUGUGUUUUAGUUCAACAAUUCUAUCAGAAGGCAUGAGAAGUAAUUUUCUUUUUUACAAAAUCGAUUUACUCAUAUAAUAAAUUCGUUUUUUAAGAUUUUUCUUUAGAACAAACUCAAAUAUCAUAGUUUGAUCUUAUAAUUUUCAAAAAUUUUGACAACAUAAAUUUAACAAGGUAUCGAUUUCAGGAGGAAUUAAUAACUUAUUUUUUUCGAGAGGUACCAAUUUACUCAAUUUCAAAAUUAUUAAGGACUUAAGAUGUACUUAUACCUAUUAACUUCAAUCACCAAAUCCUUUAAUAACAUAUACAGAUCACAAUUUAUAGUAUAUUAUAUGUAUAAUUUUGAAUUUCAUCCCUCUUCUUUAAAAAAAUUAAAUUAGUCUCUACUUUAAUUUAUCAAAAUUUGAUCUCAUACUUGACGAAAAUUGAGAAAUCUAUAUUGAUAAACACAUAAAUUUGAACUACAUUUUUUUGCUAAUUGAUUGUAUAUAAAUUAUUAAAUUGACAAAAAAAUUGUUGAAUAGUUGAUUUUUGCUAAUUCCUUACAUAUAAUUGUUGAAAUAUAGAUUUUUAAGUCAAUAAUUUAAUGACAAGGUUUAAUAAUAUUAGCUAAUUGGACCAAUUUCUUGAUUUUCAACUUUUUGUAAAAUAAAAACGAUCAAAUUAUGAUCAAUUGAAUCAAUUUCUUAAUUUUUGUAAAAUAUAAAAAUCAAAUUGUGACAAAUUAAAGUAAGGAAACUAAUUUAUUUUUCAACAUCGGUUUUGUUCAUAUUGAUUAUAGAACUAUAAACCCUUGAAAGCUAUUAAAAAAGUGUAAAAGAGAAAAAGAAAAUCAAAUAUUUCACAUGAUGCAACAUUUUUUAUAGUUUCACAACCCUUAAGGGAGGCCAUCAGCAAUGGCGGAGCCAAGUGGAGGCCCAAUAUACUAUGGCCCUUCAAAGUUUUUUUUUUCAAUUUAGUCCUUUAUAAAUAUACUAUGGCCUUCCCAAAAAUAUAAUUAGGCUUCCUAAAGUUUAAGAUUUUUGCAAUUUUCCCAUUUGUAUAUAUAUUAUAGCACUCCUAAAAAUAUAAGUAGGCCCCUCCAAUAUUUUUAUAGUAUUAAAAAUAAUAUUAAAAAAUUUUAUUCUUGAUAAAAACAAAAGGAAAUUCAAGAAGCUAAGUUACUCAUUAUGACUUUUGAAUAAUAUUUUUGUUAAAUAAUAAUUAUUUAAUAUUUUACUUAAAAUAAUAAUAUUUUAUAAUUAAUAUAAUAAUAUAUAUAAAAAGAUGAUCAGACUUUUAUCAUCUUUCUUCUUCAUAUUAGUGCCUAAGAAAAGAAGAAAAAAAUUUCUCUUCAUCAUUUUUCCUCUAAAUUUUAAGUAUAUGGUACGUUUUUCUUCAAAUUUUUCAUAGAUUUUGAAUCUUUAAAGCUUGUUUUACAUAUAUGUGCCAAUAGUUUUUAUUUUAUCAAGUGUAUUAAAAGUUGUCAUUAAAGUAUAUUGAUGGAAGCUUAUAAAAUUAAGUAAAAUGUGUACGUUUUUGGAUGGAAAAAAAAUUAGGAGACGGUUUCUAACUUGUUAGAAGUGUAAAAACAAAACAAAAAUAGCUAAAUAUAGUAAGUUUCGGCCAAAGUGAAGGGGAGGAAGAAAACCUUGGUCACUUUGUUUAAAAUUAUGUUAAAUGAUAGGUUGCAAAGCAAUGAGUAUUUUAGUGAAAACGGAAUAAAAAAUGGUUAACCGAGUCGAAAGUUGUGUGAAUUUUGGAUCAAGAAACUUAAGUAGUUAUCAACUUGAUAAAGCAUGUAUAUUCAAACUUGUCAUUAAUAGUUGAUUUACUAUGUCUAGCUAUAUUAAUUUUAUUUUUAUGAAUUUUGAAUGAUUUAAUUAAUAUUUAAAAGAUUAUGUUUCAAAUUGAAAACUAUGAUUUCAAUUAUAAAAUUAAUAAAUUUUUGAUUUUAAGUUGAAUUUGAAUAUUAUGAUUUCUGAAUGGUUGAACAAGCAUGUUUGAUUAAAAGUAAAAAUUUUAUAUUAUGUGAAUUAUGAUUUGAAUAUGAAAUAAAAAUGAGAAUGACAUAAAAAUGGAAAUAAAUAUGAAAUCAAUUCUUAUGUUGAAAUAAUACUUCUUUUGAAUAAAUUGUUUUUAUAUUUAAAUCGAAUAUUACAUAACACGUCUAAUUUUAACAUAUUAACUCCCCCACUAUCCAUCACACCAUUACCUUAACUUACAAUCGUAUAAAGCCGAAAAAGAGAGCAUUGCAAACCCUUUAUUUUUCAAAAAAAAAAAUGAAAAUGAAAUAAAGUAACCGAAAACGACUGUUAGGGAUACAAUAAAGGUUUAAAUAUAGAUUACAACCUCAAUGGCCAACGACAUCAUUGGGAUAAACCUUAGCCAUCUUCUUCUUCUUUUGCUAUAAAAUAGUCGAAAGAACAUAAUUAGGGCUAAGCAAUACAAUAGAAAAUAGAAAAUCGACUGCAUUUAGAUGAUUUGAAUUUAAAUUAAAAAAAAUGUUACUGAAAACAUAUUUUAUGAUAAAAAAAUUAAAUAUUUUAUAUUUAAAAUAAUGAAAAUAACUUAAAAGUUUUAUAAAAAAAUGUUUUGUUUCAAAAAGAACACAUAUAAAAGUAGUUGAUUUUUUUAUUUAUUUAAAAAGUUAUUUUUUAAAAAUAUUUUUAAAAAUAAUUUGAAACUUUAAUAAAUAAUAUUUAAAAGUCAUAAAAAAAACUCAUUUUAUUAAAAUAAAGAUAAGAAUUCAAAAAACUAAAAAUCAAAUUAAAUAAUAGAAGAGAAUUAUCACACAGACAGUUCAAAAAGUCAAAAAGUUAUGACCGAAACAAUCUAAUCUCGAUUUUAAAUAUGAUAGGAAACUAAGGGUGAGUUUGGAUGGGCGGUGCGUUUACUUGCAGUUAAUGUAAAAACAGCGGUGGUGGUGAGAUUAGAAACUGUAAUAUUACUGUAGCGUGAGAUAAAAAGUAAGCUAAACACAUCGCACCACACCUCCGCCCCAAACCCACUCUAAGGGAAUAAAAGGUACAGUAAGAGAUGCUUUUUAAGGGUUAACAGUAAUCUUAAAUGAAACAGUGGAAUUUAUAGGGUUAAGAUGCAUUCUAUUAUUUUUUUUUUUAUUCAUUAAUAUUUACUACAAUUCUUUAUCAUUUAAACAUACAUUAGAUAUUAAUAGAUAAAUAAAUAAAAGUAAAAGAGUGGAGUCAAAUCCAUAAUUUAUACCACCGUUUAAUAUAAAAUAUUUUUCAUAUUGCGUUUAAGCCCUUUAUAAUUAUCCUUAUUUAAAUAUCCAGGUUUGUUCAAUUUUAAUUUUUAGAUUACCUUAUUUUAUUGUUUUUUUUAUAUUUUACUUUAUUUUUAAAUGUUAUUUUUACAAUGGUGCAUUUUUAUUUUUUUUUCUUACACAUAUUUUGCAUCACAUGCUUUAUUGUUCUCAAGAUAAUUAAUACUAUAAUUUAUUGAAUUUUUUAGAUUUAAUUUUCUAAUGCAUACUAAUAACUUCAUGUUUGUAGUUUGUGAUAAAUAUGCAUUAUUAUAAAUUUCAAAGAUUUGAAAUAUUUUCUUUAAUUAGUAGGUCAUAUAGAUUAUAAAUUUGAUUAAUAUUAGCCAUUUUCUUGACAAAAAUUGAUUUUAUUAAUAUUAUGUAAUUUGAUUGCAAAUUUCACACUAUAUCUAGGUGUGUAUUCAAUUCAAUUUAUGAUUAAAUUAUUUUUUAAAAUACAAUAACACUUGCCAAUUGAAUCUUAACUCGAUUGACAUUUAUAUUAUUCUCAAUAUAAUAUGUAGAUUAUGCUCCUAUUUAAAAAUGGAGAUUGUUCAAAUGGCACAAUGAGGACUAGCAUAACUGAUAACCAUUAUGGUAGCUCACUAAAAACAAAUUUAUUCAGAAGACACACUUCAUCUGUUUACAGUAUGAUUUGUCCAAAACAAUAAUAAUAUUAUAUACACCUAAUAGAUUGAAUGUGAUAAACCAUUCAAUCAACUCAUAAAUGUUCAAGUCCUAAAAUCAAAGUCCAACUACCUUAAAAAAUAAAGCAUGAAAAUUGUACUUGUACGAGCACUUUGCUUAUAAAGGUUUCACUGAUAUAUACAGAUGCAUAGAACUUCGUCUUCAAGCAGCUUCCUUAAUGAAAUCAAGCAAUAACAACAGUCAUAGGAAAGCUCUGGUUCAAUACAACUAAAACUUUUGCUUCAUAUUUAGUGAUUUCAUGGCAUAUACAAUUAAUUUAGUUCACCUUUCCUACCCUGCAUUUUUCUUUCUUUAAUAUUCCAAAACCAAACAAUAAGAGCAACAAAUCAACAUAUAAGCAGACACAGAUCGAUAUAACCCAAAAAUCCAGAGCAUUUACAUUUAGACAUUAUGCUCAUAAAGCAGUUUAAAAGGCAUCCUUUGAGGUUAUGAUUCUAGACAUAUAAACCAGGUGCAAUGAACUCACAAAUGGUUCAACUUCUUAUAUCUAAAGCCCAUCAACCUUAAAAGUCAAGCACAAAAGGGAAGAAUGAAAACUUUUUAACUUAUCACGGCAGUACAAUAUGAACAAAUUGAUUCACAUUUACAAGUGUCAAUCUUUACACUAUCUGUGAAACAUUUCAGAUCAAGAUUGAUUUAUUAUUAGAUCGUAAGAUAAGAUCCAGAAAUAAGGUUGCAGUUGAUGUACCUGCAGAAAAGCCCUUACUCACCAUUUCCUUAAGAAGUUGUGUUGCCUUCGAGGUAUAGCUGUUUCGAAGAAAUCCCCGGAUCAUUAUAUUAUAACAGAAGCUAUCAGGCAAACAAUCAUUCUCUUCCAUGCUCCUAAACAACUGGCAUGCUUCAUCUGGCAGUCCCUCUGUACAGAACCGGUUAAUCAUUAUAGAAUAUGUGUAAACAUCGGGUUUUAAACCAUUGACAAAGAGCUCAUGAAAUAAUUCCUUUCCAGUUUCAAUAUUCCCAGCUUUGCACAAGACAUCAAUUAAGAUAUUAUAAAAGACGAUAUCAACUUCCAAUCUACUCUUCUGCAUUGCUUGAAAAAGUUUCAAUGCCUCUUCAAGUUUACCACUUUUGCAUAAACCAUCCAACAAAAUCGAACAUGUCACUAGAUUUGGAACUGGCCCAGAAGUAAGCAUCAUCCUCAAAAGUUUACAUGCAGUAGAAACUCUCCCUAACCGACACAUACCUUGCAUAAGAGUGUUGUAUGUCACUGUAUCAGGAAUUUGUCCGUUUUGAGCUAGUUCAUCAAAGAGUUCCAUUGCUUCGUCCAACCUCUUAGCUUUGCAAUAUCCGUUGAUCAUAAUGUUGUAACUAUGUAUAUCAGGUGCACAACCCUUCUCAAUCAUCAGCUGAAAUACACUUUUAGCUUUAUCCAUUUGGUUUUGCAAGCAAUGGCCGUCUACUAACACACUAUAGGUAACAACAUCAGGCUCAAUGCCUUGCUUUAUCAUUGUGUCAACAAUAUCUUUAGCUUCAGCAAGCAUCCCUUCCUUGCAAUAUGCAUCAAUACAUAUAUUGUACGUGAUAAGAUUAGGCUCAAUGCCAUGCUUUCUCAUUGUGUCAAGUAUUUCUAUCGCUUCCGAAAUCAUCCCCUCCUUGCAAUGUGCAUCGAUCAAUACGUUAUACGUGACAAUAUCACAUGAAAUAUUGUUAUCCACCAUUUCAUUCAAAAGCUGCAUUGUCUCCUUUUGUUGGCCCAAAUUACACAAAGCAUGAAUUAAGCAAUUAUAACUAACGAUAUUUGGUCUAAUGCCCUUAGCCUUCACUUCGGAGAAGAGAUCGAGAGCCUCAUUUAGUAACCCGUUUUUACAAAGACAGUCAAUGACUGUGCUAUAUGCUACAAUAUUGGGUUCAAAGCCUCUUUCUUCCAUCAUCCUAAGAAACCUAACAGCUCGAUAGGUAUUCCCAGUCUUACACAAACCGUUAAGUAUGGUGCUGUAAACAAUUAAAUUAGGUCGAUACCCUUGCCCAAUCAUUUCAUCAAACAAACCCACAGCGUGAGAAAUCUGACUUUGAUUACAAAGUCCAUUAAUCAAAGUGGAAAAAGUUACAACAGUAGGUUCAACACCUAACUUGAGCAUUUUCCCCAAAACAGAAAACCCACAAUCAAGUUGACCUAGGUGACAAAAGCAAUUAGUUAAGAUGUUCAAAGUAUAAACAUCAGGGGAAACUCGGAAGAAUUCCAUCUGCUUACACAUAGAAACAGCAAUGGCAUAUCGUUUCAUUCGAACAAUGGCUCCUAAUAAUUUGUUGAAUUCCACAACAGAAGGCAUUGGGUACUUGUGAAUCAUCUUAUUAAACGAAAACAAAGCAUCAUCAACAUUAUCCAAACUAUCAUACUUUUUUGGCUUUCCCCUUGCAGGCAUGGAAUUCUUACUUAAAGCAUUGAUAUGGGUAGCAACAGUGUUAAAAGAACAAGAAGAGUGGAAAUUAGAAGGAUUCCUUCCACCAUUAACAAUUGGAUGCAAAAUUAUAGAAGAGUAAAGCUUACCCAUAUCUUGAAUCGAAGCAAAAUGGAAAAGUAAGUGCUGAGAGCUUCAGACGAAACCACAAAUGGCAAGCAUAUGUCCUCAGUGUUGGAGAAGUGAUGUUUUGGGCCGAAAACUGUUGACAUGAAAGGCAAUAAGAAAGAUUCUCUUAAUAUGAGAAAAUGUUAGUUUCCUCUGAGUUGGGCUGACGAAUUCAAACUGAGUUCACCAUGUCCAGCGCUUCGGCCCGAAACUUAUUCUUGCAGGCAGAGCAAAGCUCUUCUUAGUUAUUAAAAAAAAAAUAAAACUAAAAUACGAUUAACAAUUAACUUAUAGAAUCCACAAAAGAUUUGCACUUCAUUUAUAUAUCACAGCUGAUUUUCUCAAAUAUAUAAUGAUUUAAUAUAUUCUUAUUUUGAGUGUUAUUAAAAAAAUUAACACUCAUAAUUAUCUUAAAACAAAUUAUAGUUAAAAUUUUAAAAUAGGGAUAAAUUUCAAAACUAUAAACAUGAAUUAUGGUUUAAUGUGCAAGUGUAUACAUGAACUUUGAUUUUGUGUAAUUUUAUACAUAAAAUUUUGAUUUGAUCCAAUUAUUGUAAAUUAUUAACACAAUUAUAGAUAUAACAUCAUUUUAUGUUUAUAUAUUGCAUACAUAAAUAAUAAUAUUUAUCUAAUAUAAAAAUAAAUUGAUGUAUUUAUUUCUUUAAAUGUAUAUGAUUAAAUCAAAAUUAAAGUUUCAAGUAUACAUUUAAACCUUUCAAGUGUAUAACUACACCAAAUUAAAAUUUAUGUAUAUAUUAAUGCAUUAAAUCAAAAUUUAUAUAUAAUUUUAAGAUUUAUUCCUUUAAAAUAUCAUUUAGGAAUAGAAUUCAAAAUUUAUGGAGAAAAUUUGAAUUCAAAACAUAUGAGCAUCUCAUCCAUAUCAAUUUUUAUCUUUAAUUAUAGCUUGCAUUUUUUUUAUUGAAAAUCUGUUAAUAAUAUUUUCAGAAUUAAAUUUUAAAUUUCCUUUUCUAAACUGUUUAACAAUAUAUUUUUGGGAAUGUUAGGCUCCGUUUACAUUUUACAUUUUUAUUUUUGAAAAACCGUUUUUAUUUUUAUAAAUAUAUUAAAAUUAGAACCAAAUUGAGAUUAUUUGUAAAUAUUAAGAUAAAUUUAUUUAUAGCUAUGACCAAAUUAACAAAAUAUAUAAUUGUUGAGAGCUAAAUAUAUUAUUAUAUCAAUUUUAAAAUUAUCAUGUCAUUAAUAUGUUACAGGCUUAAUAACAUUUAAUGGAAAACAAUAAAAAAAAACAUGAUUAGUUGAGUGAUGAUUUUAAAAAAAUUUAUAAUUGAAUGACAACUAAAAAUAUUUAACUUUAAUUGAGUGGCAAUUAAUAUAAUUUAUCUUAAAAAAUUUAUAUUAUAUAAGUAAAAGUUUUUAGUACUUUUAUGUUAUUUAAAUAAAGCAAUCCCAUUUUUUGUGAUCUAUACAUUGUAUAUUGUUUUAUAUUAUUAAAACAGUCCUUGGAAGGUUGUGCAAGUGACAUCUGUCUAGCUUUUGAACAAAUAAUCUUAAUCGUUUUAAUUUACGUAUAUCUUGAAUCGAAGCAAAAUGAAAAAACAAAAGCUGAACUCCUAAUAAAACCACAAAUGGCGACAUACACUACCACAAGAACUUAUGUUCCCAUCUAUACUCCAUUUUAAACAGCUAUUCUCUUAAAGUCUGAGAUAGCAUAAUUUGAUAUUUACUAUGGCAAUAUUCAGUGUAACACUCUAUACUCGACCUUUUUGUUAGAUUUUUGUUAUAAUAUGUUAUAUUUGUUGUAGAAAUAAUUAUAAUUAAUUCAAAAUUAAAUUUAUACAAUUGAUAUGAUAAUUAUCAAACAAUUAUAUGUUCUUUAUUCAUACUAAAGUAACUCUUGUUACAAAUACGUUAGUGAAAUAAACAGUAAUGUAAAAUAUUAAUUUAAAUCACAAGAUCGAACCAGAACAAUAUAUAUAUAUAAUUUGAAAAACAGAAAUUGAAAAUAAAACUAGAUUGAAAUUUUGUACUCUUAAGUAAACAGAAAUCCGACUGGUAGUUGAGGCCUGUUUUCACGGUUUCUUUAAGACAGGUUUGGUUGCUUCUUUGGUGCUGGAGAAAUAUUGGUCAACUAUCUCCCAUGAUACAACAACGAGAUGAGCAUGGUAGUAGCACAACUGCAAUGAUCAACGAACUGUAACCUAGUUUUCUUCUAUGACCGAAAAUAGGUUCGAAAUAUGCAAGGAAAAGAUCUCAAUUUUUUUGCAGGAGAAAAUUUCAGUGUGCAUUUUCACCUGCAAAUUAUUUUGGUUUAAAUAAAAUAUUCAAAAUGAAAGAAAUUUUGGAAUUUUUGAUUAAUGGAGCCAUUAAUGUCCGUGAAUUAAAGAGUCUUAAAAAUCCAAAUUAACAUCUGAAUUAAAUGAGCCAUUAAACAAAAUUUAACAUUUGUCCUUUUAAUUCCAAACAGAAUUUGAAGAGAUAAGUUUUGUUAAAGAAAAAUAAAAUUACGUAUUGGGCUAAAAUAUUCGUAGGCUUAGAAAGGCCUGACCGGUCCGAACAUUUUGCGUCACCCAUGUCAUGCGGGUGCGUCCCCAAACUCUGCGGGUUUGGAUUGCACCCCCAUACGCGAGGGAAUGCAUUAGUUUAUUUAUUCAAUAACCACCAAGUUUGUUCAUAUGUAAAAACAUAUUCCACACUUGAUAUUUAACCAGUAUAGAACUAAGUUUUCCCUUUUCCUCAACAUAAUUUACAAGUGGCUUACUUUAAGCAUAUGAUAUAUAGUUGUAAAGGUCUCAUGGGGUAGAAUAUAAAACCAUAAUUUUAUGAUUCAAAUCUCCACCUUGAAUAUGUCUCAAAGCUUCUAAAAAUCUAUUUUUUUCAACAAUCCCCCACAUGAAUGAAAUUGAUAAUUUUAACGAAAAACAUUGACUCAAUGUGGUGAUAGAAUCUACGAUCAAUAGUUGUAUAGGAUAGGUAGGCAUCAACCAUUGAACCUUUCCUUCUGAAAAUAUAUUUACUUUACUAGUUUACCAGUAGACGCGAUGUCCUUGAACUAUUCUACCGUUUGUGUAAACGAUGAUACACCUCACACAACUACCUCUCUAGCUAGGUUUUAGUUCUCAUAGGUAUGUUCAUAUGGCUAUGAACGUCUCUUGAUUCUGCAAGACUUUGAGAGAACUUUGCCCGAGUAGCCUCUUCGAAGUGACCCCACUUCACUCUCACAUAGGUGACUUAUGUUGCUCGGCUCACUGAAACACACAAUGGUUAUUAAAAGCAUUAUUUAACCUAUCCCACUUUUAAUCACUGUUUAUAUCAUAGGAACAAACUUGGGAUAAGAACCCCACAGUGACUUCACAAGGUCUAUGCAAGUAGGUUGUCAAUUUGAACCUAGAUCUUGGGAUCUCUAGUCAACUAGGCUAUGUUUUCCUUCGCAUAAUAUCUUUAAUAUUUAUGGGCUUUAGUUGCUUUCAAUGUUUUAUCAACCUGAUCUCGAUUUAAGCCUUUAGUUCGCAGAUCUGCAAUGUUAUCUUUUAAUUUUACAAAACCAAUAGAGAUAACUCCAUUUGAGAUCAGUUCUCUAACGGUAUUGUGUCGACGAAGCAUAUGUCUCGACUUACCAUUAUACAUUAAGUCCUGUGCUCUACCAAUUGUUGCUUGGUUAUCACAAUAUAUGCAUAUUGUGGGCACAAACUUUGGCCAAUCAGGAAUAUCUUCCAAGAAGUUUCAAAUCCAUUCAGCCUCUUCUUCAGAUUUGUCUAGAGCUACAAACUCAUAUUCCAUUUUAGAUCUGGUUAUAAUCGUUUUUCUUGAGGAUUUCCAUGACACAACUCUUACUCUCAAUGUAAAAAUAUAUCCACUUGUGUCUUUGGUAUAUUGAAUAUUAGAUAUACAACUAGCACCACAAAAGCCUUUUAAAAUAGCAGGAUCUCUGGAAUAAUGCAGUUCAUAGUCCUAAGUAUAUCUGAGAUAUCUCAAAACUCUCACAAUUACUUUCCAAUUGUUUUCCCCUUGAUUGCUUGUGAAUCUGCUUAAACUACUCACAAUGAAAGCAAUAUCUGGUCUAGUAAAGCUCAUAAGGUACAUUAGACUACCUAUGAUCUUUGCAUAUACCACUUGGUUAACAUUUUCACCUUUUUUUUUUGGACAGAUGUUGGCUCGUAUCUAUUGGAGUUCUGGCUAUACCAGAAUCAUCAUUACUAAAUUUCCCAGGAAUCUUGUCCACAUUGUGUGAUUAAGUUAAUAUGAGAUCUUCAGAUGACCUCGUGAUUUGGAUGCCUAAAAUCAUAUUAGCUAGUCUCAUAUCUUUCAUGUCAAAUCUUGAAUUUAACAUGUCUUUCAUAUGUUUUACCAUUUCAUUGUUACUUCCAACAAUGAGUAUGUCAUCAACAUAUAAGCAUAGGAUUAUAUAUCCAAUGUCGAUAGUUUUGACAUACACACAUGUUUCACACUUAUUAAUCUUAAAUCCAUUUGUCAUCAUGACAUUAUAAAACUUUUCAUAUCAUUGCUUUGGUGUUUGCUUAAGUUCAUAAAACGACUUCACCAAUUUCCUUUCUUAUCUUGGAACUACAUGACCCUCAGGUUGUUCCAUGUAAAUCUCUUUAUCAAGAUCUCCAUUUAUGAAAGCUGCUUUAACAUUCAUUUGAUGUACUUCUAGAUUCCGUAAGGCGGCAAUUGCAAGUAUCAUCGUUAUAAAAGUUAUCAUGGAUACUAAAGAAAAAAUAUCAAAGUAGUCAAGGUAUUCCUUUUGUCUAUAACCUUUUAUAAUCAAUCUGGCCUUGUACUUAUCAAUUGUUCCAUCUGUUUUUAUUUUCCAUAUGAAAAUCCACUUAAAUUUUAAUGGUUUAAUUCCCGGAGGAAGAUCCACUAAUUCCUACGUAUGAUUUUGCAAUAUGGAGUCAAUUUCACUUUUAAUAACAACUUUCCAUAAAAUGUUUUCAUAUGACCGUAUAACAUUAUUAUACGUUUGAGGUUCAACCUCUACUAUAAAGGUUAGAAAAUCAAAUCCAAAAUAUUUUUCCACCCUUGCUCGUUUAUUCCUUCUUGGCUCUAUCUCAAUUUCAACCUCUUGUUGAAUAUCUUGACUAUUUUCAUAUAUAAUCUUUGAAGUUCAUUUCAUUGAACUUGAAUCACCUUCCCUGGUUUUACAAGGGAAGAUAUUUUCAAAGAAUGAGACAUUCUUUAAUUCCAAUAUAGUAUUCUUGUGAAUGUUAGGAUUCUUUGAUUCAUACAUAAGAAACCGAUAUGCAUUGAUAUGAUUUGUAUAGCCAAUGAAAAUGCAAUCCACCGUUUUAGGACAUAUUUUCAUUUGCUUUAGUAAUGGAGUCAUUACCUUCGCAAAACACCCCCACACUUUCAAAUAGUUGUAGGAAUGUUUUCUACCUUUCCAUAAUUCAUAUGGUGUCUUGUCCCUUUUCUUGCGGGAAAAAUAUUUAAAAGGUAAUUAGCUGAUAGAAUAGCUUCUCCCCACAAAUUCUGUGAUAACCCAAAGCUUCCUAGCAAUGCGUUCAUCAUUUCCUUUAGAGUCUGAUUUUUUCACUUGGCUACUCCAGUGAUUGAAGAGAGUAUUGUGGUGGCACUUCAUAAAUAAUACCAUGUUGUGCAUAGUAUUCACCAAAUGGUUCAACAUAUUCACCACCACGAUCACUUCUCACCAUCUUAAUCUUUUUAUUAUGUUGGGUUUUAACUUCUUGUUUAUAGAGAAUAAAUUACUCUAUAGCUUUAUCCUUGCUCUUAAGCAAAUAUACGGAGCAAUAUUUUGUGCUAUCAUCAAUGAAGGUAAUAAAAUAUUCAUUCCCUUCUCUAGUUUAGACAAACUUUAAGUCACAAAUAUUGUUAUGUAUUAGAUCAAGUGGUUUUGUACUUCUUUCAACAGUUUGAAAUGAAUACCUUCUUAAUUUUUCCUGAACACAAGUUUCACAUUUGUGAUUAUAAUUAAUGUGAGAUGAAUGAAUGUGCUCUAAAUUAAUUAAUCUACGCAAAGUAUCAUAAUUAACAUGUCUGAGCCUACCAUUCCAUAAAUUAAACGACUCAAGCAUAUAAACAGAAGAAGAAACAAUAUUCUUAUUCAUUGUCUUUGCUUUUACAAAGAUUACAUUAAGUUUCCACGUGUCAUUUAAUACAUAUCCCCUUCCCACAUACAUUCCCUCUUUAGACAAAAUUAGUUUCUGGGAUUCAAACAUCAUCUUAAAGUCAUGUACACUUAGGAGUGUCUCAGAAACAAGGUUCUUACGUAUGUCAGGCAUAUACAACACAUUUUGAAGCUUGAGUUAUUUGCCAAAAGUCAUCUUCAAGACCAUAGAGCCAUUUCCCUUGAUCUUGGAAGUGACGACAUUGCCCAUAUAAAGCUUCUCCCUUUCGUCACAAGGCACCAACUCAGAAAAUGAGUCUUUUUCGCAGCAGAUAUGAUGUGUGACACCAGUAUCAAGCUACCAUUCUCUUGGAUUUGAGUUAACCAUGUUGACUUCAGAAAUCACAGCAUAAAAGUCUAUAUCAGACACUUCCUUCGAAAUUUAUUCUACAGCAUUGGCCUAGUUAGCUCUAACUUUCUUUGGAAGCCUACAAUCAGAUGACUUAUGCCCCAUCUUGUUGCAACUGAAGCAUUUCCCUUGAAAUUUUUGCUUUUUCGAAACAUCACCUUUUGGUCCCAGUUUAGACCCAUUCUAAGGUUAUUUUCCCUUCUUGAAGUCAUUCUUAACUUAUACCACGUUUUCCUUAGCACCAUUGACAUUUGUUGCUUUGUCGAGUUUUUUGUCAGUACCUUUAUUCUCUUCUUCAAUUUGAAGCCUGACAAUCAGGUCUUCCACUGACAUUUUCUUUCUUUUGUGCUUUAGGUUGUUCUUGAAGUCAUUCCAAAUAGGGGGUAGCUUCUCAAUAAUGGCUCCCACUUGAAAGGAUUCACUUAUGACCAUCCUUUCAAUAAAAAUUCCAUGAAAGAUUAGUUGAAGUUCCUGCACUUGAUUCAUAACUAGUUUAGAAUCAACCAUAACAAAAUUCAAGGGUUUGGAAACUAAAAACUUUUUAGCUCCAGCAUCUUCGGUUUUGUAUUAUGGUCCAAUGAUGUUCAUAAUUCCUUGGCCGUCUUCUUGACACUGUAUACUUCGUACAGUGCAUCGGACAACCCAUUCAAGAUGUAAUUUCGACACGAAAAAUGAGAAUGCUCCUAAGAUUCAAUAUUAGUGAAGGCAGUAACUUCAUCUACCUCACCCUCUUUAACAGUAGGAGGGUCAUCCUUCAAAAUUUUGACCAAGUUCAACAUGGUCAAAUAGAAUAACAUCUUCUGUUGCCAUGUCUUGAAAAUCUGUCUAGAGAAUUUCGCAGGCUUCUAGUUAUGUCUUACAGCCACCGGCAACAUUAUUUUUUGAUUCGAAGCCUGAGUUGGAACCAACACUCCAGGUCGUGAAUUAGGUGAAUUGGUGGGAGUUUCCAUUUUCUGUUAAGAUUUUAGAAACAGAACCCAAAUUAGUAAUAAUAAUAAACAGAAAAUUUAAUUUCUAGUUUAUACUACCCUUCGGUUUUAUUAAACGACAGAAUUUUGUUAGGAACUAAAAAUUCUGAAACAAAAUUAAUAACCAAUUUCUGGUAACAAAAUUGUUACUCUCAAACCAUUACUGUUAACAACAGAAAUCGAAUAAAUUUUGUUAAACAGCAAGAAUAGAAUCUUGAAAUAGAAUUGUUCAAUUGAUUUCUAUUUAGAAAUAGAAAAUCGAACAAAUUCUGUUGAACGACAGGAAUAGAAUCCUAAAACAGAAUUGUUCAAUUGAUUUCUAUUUACAAAUAGAAUACAAUUUCACAUCGGUGUCCUAUUUGGCUUGGAUUAGAAAGUGGUAAAGAUUUGUCUUAAGAUUAUUGCAAAUACGUUAGUGAAAUCAAAAGUAAUGUAAAAUAUUAAUUUCGAUCACAAGAUCAAACCAGAACAAUAUAGAUAUAUAUAAUCUAAAAAAAAUUGGAAAUAAAAUUAGAUUGAAAUUUUGUACUCGUAGGUAGACAUAAAUCCGACUGGUAGUUGAGGCAUGUUUUCACAGUUUCAAUUGCUCCUUUGGUGCUGGAGAAAUAUUGGUCAACUGUCUCCUAGGAUACAACAACGAGAUGAACACGGCAGUAGCACAGCCACAGUGAUCAACGAACUGUAGCUCAGCUUUCUUCUAUCACUGAAAACAGGUUCAAAAUAUAUAGGGAAAAGAUCUCAAAAUUUUUACAGGAGAAAAAUUCAGUGUGUAUUUUCUCCUGCAGAUUAUUUCGGUUUAAAUAAAAUAUUCAAAAUGAAAGAACUUUUGAAAUUUUCGACUAAUGAAGCCAUUAAAAACUCAAAUUAAUGUCUGAAUUAAAGGAGCCAUUAAACUCAAUUUAAUAAUUAUCCUUUUAAUUCCAAAUAGAAUUUGAAGAGAUAAGCUCUGCUGAGGAAAAAUAAAAUUACGUAUUAGGCUAAAAUAUCCACAGGCCUAGAAGGGUUGACUGGUCCGGACAUUUCGCGUCGCCCACGUCAUGUGAAUGCGCCCCCAACCCUCGCGAAUUUGGAUUUGCAACCCUUGUGCGCGACCUAAUUCACAAGUGGCUUUUUUUUAGUAUCAAUUUCCCAUUCAGCAGUUAACCAUUUUGAGCAUAUGAUAUACCAUUGUAAAGGUAUCAUAAGGUAGAAUAUAAAACCAUAAUUUUAUUAUUCAAAUUUCCAUCUUUACCAAUCAAGAAUAUGCCUCAUAGCUUCCAAAAAUCUAUUUUUUUCAACAAAUCUAUAUUUCAUUUUUAUAUGCACCUAAUAGUAUACAACAAAUCCGCUGUAUAUAUAUUACAACUAGAGUAUAAGGUAUAACAUUUGAUUUUAACAUCAUUCAACUACCACAAAAUCUAGCCUAUUAGGUACAUGCCAAAUACAAGUAAUGUUGAAAAGUAACAUAUAUGACUGAGGCUGGAACUAUGGGUCGAAUGCUAUGGUUGAUACACGGAAAUCCUGAAUUAGAUCUAACUUGUGCACAAAGAAAAUAAUCCGUAUGCUAAGUAAAACAUUCAGUGGUAUUUCUAUAAUUUAAGUAGAUAAUAUUAAAUCUACCUAAAUAAACGUGUAUAUUAUAUGUACAUAUCUACCAUAUACUUAUAACCAUAUACAUUCUACCUAUCAACUUUAAAAUUCAAUCCCAAAAUUCCUUGCUAAAAAUACCUGUAAUAUUUUAACCAAUAACUAAAUGGUCCCAUACCAAUUCACUUAUCAUAUUUACUAAUUCACCUAUAUAAUUAUCCCAAACAUAGUCAAAACAUAUCUAUACUAACAAUACACUAAUCAUUUAUGCCACAAUUCCAUUCCAAAUUUAUAUAAUGCUAACAUAUCAUCUACCAACAUUAAAACACAAAAUCAAAUUAUACCAACUUUCAUAUACUUAUUCUUAUUUGUCAUACAAUUCAUGUUUUACGAUUUAAUCCAUUAUAAGUCAAUAUAAUCAAACUAUAAUUAAUCUAAACUAAUAGACAGUAAAUAUAAUCGAACAUAUCAUAAAAUAUACAUAGUAAGUUCCAUAUGAACUAACUUGUCAAAAACAAAAACAAUCAAGGUGUUAGAGACUACUUUGCAAUUUUUCCUUUUUUACGAGGUUGAUGUAAUUUUCAGUCUAUACAAUAAUUCAACUCAAUUUAUUAAUCUCAAAUAUCUUAUAACAUCUAAUUGUAAGCAUAUGACAUUUUACUUUUCAUUACAAAAGUUCCUUGAAAUUUCACAUUUUAUUUAUUUUAAUCCCUAAAACCGAAAUUGUCAUAACUUUCACAUUUGAGAUUUGAUUUCAAAAUUGAUCUCAGUUAUAUCCUUUUACAUCUAUCUAAUAUCUAUAUUCACAUAAAUUCAUACAAAUUUUGAAAUAUUUACAAUUUAGUCCUUAUGUUCAAAACUAACAAGUUUUACUUUACGAACUAGUCUUUUUUCAUAUAUAAGCAUCAAACCUAACCAAAUAACACCAAUUUCAUCAAGCAUUAAUCAAUGGAAACAUUUAAAAAAAUUAUAAGUUUGAAAAAUGACAUACGAGUUAGCUAAAUUGAACUACAGUGAUCACAAAAAUAUAAAAUUUACGAAAAACAAACUUAAACUUACCUACCAUGCAUGGCGAAAGCUUCAAAAUUUUGGAAGCUUUUCUCGAAUGGUGACUUUCGGUGGAAAGAUGAAGAUGAGAAAUGUUUUUUUCUUUUCUUUUUUUUCCACCAUUUUCUUUUUAGUUUAUUGCUUAUGUCUUUUUCUUACAUUAAUUUAAUUACAAAUUUAACAUUAUUUUUUAAUCAAUCAUCAUGUCAAACCAUCUAAUAUGGGCUAAAAUGGUAUAAUUGCCAUUUUUAACUUUGGUUUAACCACUAUCUUAGUCAUGUAACACCUUGAAAUUUAGGGUUAAAAGUUUUGAGGUUUGUAGUUAGGGUUUGUGAGUAGGGCGAGCAGCUGAGUUUAUUAUUACGUUUUGGUGUUAGAAUGAGGCUAUUGGUUUGGUGGUAGUGGGUGUGUUAGUUUAUCUUUGGGUCCUAGGUUUGAGUCCUCAUUUGUGUUUAGAGGAGUUAAUUAUGUUUUAGAUUUGUUUUUAAGUUUAAAUACAUAUUUAGUUUUAGUUAUUUCAUUUAUUUAUUUUUAAUUUUUAAUUUGGAAUAGGAAAUUAUCCCAAAAAUUUUGUUUUCACGUUCCUCUUUUCUCUCAUCUUUCUCAUGUCAUUUUUUUCCUUUUUUUCCUAGAUUUAUAAAAUUUAACAUUUAUUUGCCAUUUAAUUCUUUUUAUCAUAACUUUUUUUCUAUUUUCCUUUGAAUUUUUGUUUGAAAUCAUUGGGUCUCAUUUGAUUUCAUUGAUUGGUGUUCGGGUAAUUCAAGGAAUUGAAGCGGAAGUAGAAAUUGUGUUGUGGAGGCGAAUCGGUCAGUUUAUGAUGCUUGAGAUCCCAAUUUAAGGUGUGUUUCUGAAUCAUUAGUGAUUAGGGUCUGCUUUUAUGACCACAUGGAAGGCCAUACAGGCGUGUACCGCACACAAGCGGUUCACACGGCCGUGUGACAUUAGGAAUUAGGGUUUUUGGGCGGUUCACAUGGUCGUGUGGCUAUUGUUUGGGGAUCUUGUCAAUUUUCACAUGACUGUGUCCCUUCACCACACGAGCAUGUGAGUUUUCCACACAGUAGUAUCUCUUCUACUACUUAAUUUGGCACUUUUGGAAAGUAAGUUACACGGGCUACUCACACAACCAUGUAACUCGAACACACGGGCGUGUGUCUCCUCCACACAGGCGUAUGCCCCUUCUAUACGGCCAUGUUAAUCUUCACACAGCCUAGACCUUCAACACAGCUAGGGCUUGUUUCGCUGAUUUUUGUUCUAUGUUGUAAUUUGGCUCGUUUUGUGUUUCUGUAUGUUUCAACUCUUGACUAGGCCUUUGUAAGUGUGUUGGGACUUUGUUCUUAGCUUAGAUUCAUGUGUGAAUUUACAAUUAUAGGAUUAAGUAAUUGUUUGUUCAUGCAUUAAGGUGAUGGGAUAAAUGGAUAUAAGAUAUUUUUGUUAUCGUUACUUAUUAAUUGUAUACAAGUAAUAUUUACUCUAUAAUUGGUCCACUGAAUAUGUAUUUCUGUUCUACGAGUCUGUUAGUAUAUUGAGUGCACUCUAGUAUUUGUAUCGAAAUUUGGGAUUUUGGUUGUGAAGAGAAGGAAGACUAAUUUGGCAGUUUUAACUGCAAUACUUUUGUACAGCAGUUUACCGUACUGUACUAUAUGUAUACCAGCUCAGCUGUAUACAUUUACUCGAGUGCCUUAGUUCCACAAUUGUGGUGUGUAGGUUGGAUGGGCCUAUCAUGGUCCUUUGUGGUGUACAGGGUGGAUGGGCAUACUACAGCCCAUAUGUGGUGUGUAGGGUGGUCGGAAUGGUGUUUGGCUGGAUGGGUGGGAUUUUUCCUUUGUUGCAUACAUUUCACAUUUAGGUAUAAGUCUGUCUGUAUGGUUGUGGGGUUAAUGGCGCAAUAACUUGAAUAGUCCGACAUGUCUUUGUAUCUGGUGUGUUUGGAAUAAUAACUCUAUGUUAUGUUUGUUAAUAGAUUACUCGUUCACUGUCUGUGUGUAUAUCGGGAAUAUUCGUUUCGAUUUUUUAUUUCGGACUCACACUGAGCUCACGUAGCUCACCCCCUCUUAAUUCCUUUCUGUCAUGUAAUUCUCAUGUUUGGUGCGAGACUCAGUGCAUCGGUGAUCUCAGAACUUUUACUUGGGUUUUUCUCAAAUCGGAUUGGACUUAUUUAAGUUUCAAUAAUUUUGUUAAAUCAUUUUCUAUUGGACUGUUAGUAAUUUUGUUUUAUGAACUAUGGUAUAAAUUACUUUGGUAUGUCUGUUUCGUAAGCGGUUUUGAUUAUUCUGAAAGCUUUAGUUUAAACUUUAAUACAUCGAAAGUUUUAAACAUAAAACACUAGUUUGUGAUUUGCAUCUAAAUAGUAAGUAUUAUGCUUUCUGCUGUGAAUUAUUUUCUUGUAACGCCAGUCUUUUAAAUUUCCAAAUCUGCUUGAUUUCAAAAUCAGCGUAAAAAUUUUUAAACGAUUUAGUUUAAUUCGAGCAAACGUAUUCGGAUUAAGUUUUAAGAAAUUAUUUUGUAAAAUGUUUUAGGACCACUUCAGUGUUCAAUGUAAACUCCGGAAUUUGGUCUAAACUCCUAGGUCGGGUUUUGGGGUGUUACAAGUCAUUUAACAAUUAAAAAUCUAUAGCGAUUAAUUUUUAUCAUUUUUACGAUUUAGUUCUUGUACCUUAAUUAGCUAUCAAAACGACAAAAUUAAUGGACUAAACUUUAAUUAAUCUUUCUACUAACUUCAAAAAUAUUAAUAAUAAUAUUUACGAACUUGGUUUAUGGAAACAGGGUCCUGGAAUCAUAAUUUCCAACUUUAUUAACUUUAGUAGCAUUGCACUUAUACCUUAAUUUAAUAUCAAUUAAGAAAAAUUGCUUUACCAAACUUUAAUAUAUUUCUAUACUAGUCUCAUAAAUAUUAAGUAUUAAUAUCUAUGAACAUUGUUUACGGAAAUGCAUUUCGAAACAGUAAUUUUCAAUACCACAGGAAAUAGUGGCGGAUCUAGGGGGCUGACAGGGCCCCCGGCCCCCUAAAAUGAAAAUUAUCCAUUUAGGUCCUUUUAGAAAUUUUAAAAUUUUAAAUUAGUAAAGGUAAAGUUACACUUUGGCCCCCCUAAAAAUGAUAAAAAUUUGAUUUAAUCCUUUAAAAUUUAUAAAGAUAUAGGUUAUUAAAAAUUAAAAUUUAAUUUCGGCCCCCUCUGAAAGAAUUUUCUAACUUCACCCCUAACUGAAAACCGAGUUGUUACACUCAACUUCUGUGGGGAUAAUAAUGGAGUACUGUAUUUCUUUAUUUAUUUUAUUUGGGUUUAUAUUAAGAAAACAAAUUGUUAUUUAUUAUACUUAGUAUCCUUUUAUUUUGGGUAAACUACUUAGUUGGUCAUCCAAUUUUUAGAGUGCUUUCAUUUUGGUCAUCCAAAUAAAAAUACUUGCAAUUUAAUCACCGCUGUUAGAGAAAUUUUUCAUAUUUACUUACCAAACAAUAAAUCCCUAACGACAAAUUAUAGUUCACGCCACAUCAUCAUUUUUUACCAUUUUUUUUAUCCUAAUUACCACUGUUCAUCAUCUCAUUCCCCUCCACACCACUCGUUUUAAGUUCAUAUUUUUGGCCAGAUCAAACUUGAGAAAAUAUAAAAUGUAUUAAUAUCAUAUUUAAAUUCAACUUAGACCCAAUUCAACCCAUAAACACUACUAAAACAAACGAAGUCUCGCAUGUCUUUGUUGGAGUUCAUGGAAGCUUCAAAACUCAUUCGUUUGAAUCACAUCUAUCCCUCCUUAUUUUGCUUACGAUAUAAGCGAUGACCACAUUUGCAAUUAAUGGUUCAGAUUCAAUUAUGAAAAUAAUUUUUUUUUUAAUUUUGCUUUUUAUAUCUUCAUAUUGUUACAAGAUAUGUUUGACUAAUUUUCAUUAUUAACAUUUGUUAUCCUUUUUCUUUUGUAGAUAAAUAUUUAUUUGGUUUGGAAUGUAAUAUGAGCACCUUUUAUACCUUUCGUUCCUAAAAGUAUGCUAUUAUGUACAUCUUUUUUUCCAAAUUUUCAUCAUAAUCAAAUUUGUUCUAGGCUUAUAUCUUAGUAUUCAUGGCAAUCAAAUAACUCAUCCAACAAAUUAAAUUUUCUUUUUUGGAACCCUAACUUUAUUUUAAUGUAUAUAUGAUCUACUCUGUAUAUAGAUAUUUUAAUAAUAUCUCAGUUGGUGUAUGAUUGGCCUAUAAAUAUAAUAACUCAAUUCUUAAUAAACACAUUUGGAGUUAAGGUACUAAUUACACAAAUUUGACAGCAUGAUGUGCCUGAAAAGAUUAAGCUAACAAACCGGCGAUUUUUAAAUAAUUACAUUCCUACAGUACAAAAUCUUUACAAUAGGCAGAUUGCUUCUACUGCCAUUUGUCCAGUAUGCCAGCCUGAUAUUGAAUCUGGAGCUCAUGUCCUUCGGGAUUGUGGCCAAGAUUGUUUGGUCUUGUCUUGACAUACAGUAGCCUAUAGAUCAAAACCAGUGUGAGUUGGGUGUUUGGCUAUCCUCUCUGUUGGAGAUUAAUGGUUCCAAUAUGUGUAUACUCAUCCUCUUAACAACAUGCGAUUUAUGGCAUGCUUAGAAUAAAUUUUAUCAUGAAGGUGUAAGAUAAAUGAGCAAUGCAAUUAUUACAUUUAUUCUUAGCUAUACACAGGAGCUUGGGCUUUGGGUGCAUGUCGCUCUGUCGAUCACACUGGUUCAGACAUUAGUUGGGAUCAUCCUUGUGCACUUAUUGUAAAGAUUAGUUUCAAUUCUUAAUUUCGAGUAUAAUAACAGAUGGCUUUUGUGGGAAUCAUAAUUAGAGAUCAUGAACGUUAUCUUCUAGCAGGUUGACAUGUUUGUUGCAGAGGUUAUGGUGUUAAAUCCUCAUAUGAUAUCCUUGAUUCCCUUGAGUUAAAUAUGUUCACUUAAUACAAUCUUAUUUUAUAUCAUUUUUACUAUUGUGUCUUCUUAAUGAUUAAUAUGAUCACUGUCAACAAAUAACUGUGAUAAAUUGUUCGUUCGAGAACAAGCAACCCAUGACUACGUUCCAUAUUUAUCAAUCCACACAAUGCUAAGAGAGGAUACCAUUAACUCUUUAAUUGAGCUAUGAAUUCCACUGUUGUUAGUAAAGCCAUGCCAUACACAAGUCAUGUACCUAACAUACUGGCUAUGGGCUCAAUCAUCUUUAGAGUAUAAGCCUCCACUUAAAUCAAAACACAUGAGUUGCAUAUACAUGGUUAGUGACUAACAUAGGAUUUAGGUAAACUACACCAUAAACGUCACAAGUGAAUUAAUUUACAAACGGAUUCAAAAUUAACUCAUGUUGGGUCCAAUCCAAUGUAUCAUUCUACCAAUGAAUACAUCUAUAUCUCUACCCGUGUAGUCAACUCUCCGACAAUCAAUACUAGCCAUCUCCCCAAUUGGAAUCAUAAACAACAUAAUUGUAACGCCCCCAAAAUUAGAAUUUUUGUUUGUUAAUUCUACCAUAAUUAAGUAUUUGUUUUAUGGUUAAGUUCAUUGAUUGUGUGUUAGAGGUCUUGAGUUCAAAUCUUAUUUUUGGGAAAAUUCAAUUAUUUUUUGUCCUGUGCUUAUCUCUAUUGUUCAGCUUAGGUAAUAUUUUUGUUCAAUUUAUGAUAAGAAUGAGCUUGCUGGUUAAAAAGUAAAUUUCUUGUGAGUGUAUUUAUGGUCUUGAGUUUGAAUCCCAGUGUGAGCAAGUUCGAUUAUUUUUGCUUGUCUGUUUGUGUCGCCUUUUCUUGUGAAGUUUUAAUCAGAUCUGAACUUUGGUAGUUAUUGGAUGUAGGAAAAGCAGUGGGGUGGUGGUUUGAUAGGAUUAGGUUUGUUAGGAUUGUUAAUAUAUUAUUUUAUUUUAUUUUAUUUGAAAUAAGCCAUAUAUUUUUCUUCUUUUUCCAAAAAACAAUUUUCCCAAUUUUCACAUUUUAUUUUCUCCCUAAAUCCUCAUGUUUCCUUUUCUUUCUUUUCCUACAUCAGUUUCUUCCUCUUCUUUGUUUUGUUUUCUUUCAUUUUUAUUCAUCCCAUGGGUUUUGUGGUUCAAUAGUGAAAGUUAAUUGAAUAGUGGAAAUCGAAUUCGUGCGUAAGUAAUGUCUUCUCUCUUUUCCAUUUUGGAGAGUUUCGUUUCUUGGAAGUUUAGUUUUGUUGAUAAGGGAUUAUGUGUUUAAUCGUGUUAGUUAAUUGUUUUAUUUAGGAGAAACUCAUGAAGCAAAUAAUUAACCAACAAUUUAAGAUUUGGGGAAGUUCUGUUCAUUCGAAGGUAAACAUUACUAUUAAUUGGGGACUGUUUUGGCUAUUUGGGGGUUAAUCAAUUGUGGUUGGGUUAGUAUUUUAGAAAAAUUAAAGUUGUUAAUCAUUUAACCAUUGCACAGUUGAGGGCUGAUUUGUUGAAUAUUUGAUGUUCUAGGUGCUGGAAUACUAAAUUUUUGGAUUUGCAUUGAAAUCGGGUCAAGUGUGUAUCAAGAAACACGAAAAACAUCAAAUGACGAAAGCCAAAAAAUUACACAGUUAACUCCACACAAACGUGUGGUAGGUCGUGUGUGUAACACGGUCGUGUGCUGGGCUAUGUGAGACACACGGUCUGGACUAUUGGGCUGUGUGGGCCAAACGGGCGUGUGUGAGGCCGUGUGCCAGGUCUUGUGGGCCACACGGACUGGCCAUUUAGGUCAUGUGGGCCACACGGCAAUGUAGGCCCAAAAUUUUAAAUUUUUCCCUAGGGCCGUAAACAUCGUUUGGAUCAAUCGUAGGCCUUCCAUAGGGUUAGUUUGUUAUUAAUUAAGCUAUAAAACAUUGCUCCUGACCAUCUGUUAGCGUAAAUUUGAUAUAAAGACGCAUGUUUGAAAUGAUAUAAGAUAGGUAAAAACUAUAUUAUGCUAUAUAUUGUCUGAAAAGUGUUAUAUAUGUUCUAAAUAUGUCAUUAUAAGCUAGUACAUCAUAAGCAUAGUUGAUAUCUGUUAGUUCUACAUUUGCAUCUGGGAUGGGAUUUGGUAUAAAGAAGAAGUCUGGACAGUUUAAUAACCUACCAUAUUUGGUGGCUCAACCACAUAUAUUUCUGUAGACGGUAAUAAAUCACCUAAUAAACUAGCAGCUCAGCUACAAAUAUUCUGAGAAGUGUCAUACCGACACUAUGUGGUGUGUUGGGGUCAUCAGAGAUGGUGUGUAGCAGAUGGGGGUAGGAUUAUAUUUCUACAUCUGUUAUGUUCUAAAAAAUAAUGUUUUUGACAUAUAUAUAUAAAUUUAUAGCUGAUUGACUUCUGUAUGAUUUGUUACACACUAAGUUACAAAACUCACUUUCUGUUAUCUGUCACUUUUAGGUAAUCCUUAGACUUAGGUGGGUUGUUUUUACGGGAGCUCGAUUAUAAUAAUCUUUCUAUAAAUUCAAUUUAUUUAAAUUUGGCUUUGAGAGUUUUGUAAAUUUUAGACUGUUUUGGUUUUGAACUUUAUUUCUGUUUUUCGCAUGAUGUUGAUUAACGUUUUAUCGACAAUGUUCAUCUUUUUGCAAAAUAAGGAAUUUCAAAACUACAAACUAUGUUUUCCAAAUUUCAAAUUUUUAAGAAUAUCUGCUGCAAAGUUAUACGUUUUUAGAAAAAUGUAAACAAACAACGUUUUCAUUAAAUCAUUUAAGUGAAAUAUGUUUUCAACUAAACUUGAUUUUUGUGUAAUAAAAGCCUACGACAUAUUUUCAAAAACAAAUGAAUUCUAUUAAUCAAACGAUUUUUGCUAACAUCUCCAGUUCUAGCCCUAACGUUUAGGUCAAAUUUGAGGUGUUACAAUAAUAAUCCUUUUCAAUAUUUGAAUCAAAUGCUCACUUCAAUUAUUUUAUGAGAUUAUAGACUUAUUUAGAUUAUCUACUAAAAUAAGUUGUCUUUUUCACAAUGUAAAUGUUCUCACAAUGUCACUUAUCUUUAGUUUGAACUUAGUCAAUCAAUUAGCUAAUAUUUGUUUGUUAUAAUUUCACUAUGCAUGCAAAAUAUAAAAGACAGAAAUACAAAAAACAUAAUAGUAAAAUGUGAAAUUAACUUUAUUUAUUCAUUGUUCAAAUAAAUAAAAAAUAGUUACAUGUUUGUUACAAUAUAGGCACAUUUCCCAACAUAAAGGACACAAGUGAAUUGGUUAAAUAUUGGUACCUUGCAAUAUAAAUAUGGGAAUGUAGCUAUGGAUGAACUUGAGAUGAAAGAGAUUGUACGAUAUUAUUUCAACAACCUUUUCUCUACAAAAGGGAUUGGUGAUACAGAACAUAUUCUAGCCGGUGUAGACAAGUGCAUUUCAGAUAGCAUGAAUCAUAUGUUGAUAGAUAGAUAUACGGAUGAGGAGGUUUAUUUGGAUCUAAAGGGGAUGGGUCUAACAAAAGCGUGAAGGGCAUAUGGUUAUUCAACUAUUUUCUUUCAAAACUUUUGGCACAUCACUGGAGGGGAAGUUAGUUCCUACUAUUUGGGAGUUUUGAAUGAAGGUAAGAUUUUGGGACUUCUUAAUAUAACCAAUAGUGUAUUAAUACCAAAAGAAGCCCAUCCGAUGAAUUUAACAAAUUUUACGCCGAUAAGUCUCUAUACAGUUCUUUAUAAAAUGAUUUCAAAGAUAGUUGCUAGUCAUUUUAAAAGAGCAUUAGAAUGAUGUAUUGAUGAAGCUCAAAGUGCAUUUGUGUCGAGGCAUUUGAUAACAGAUAAUGUUCUCCUAGCUUAUGAAAUUUUUCACACUUUUAGGUAAAAAUGAACAGGGAGUAAGGGUUUUAUGACACUGAAAUUAGACAUGAGUAAAACAUAUGAUCGAGUAGAGUGAUUGUUUUUAAUGAGAUUUUUUAAUUCAUGGGUGGAGCUUAUUAUGCGAUGCAUAACUACUGUCUCGUAGUAAAUUGUAGUUAAUAGAAAAGUUGGAAAGGUUUUUAAACCUACUAGAGGCCUACAACAGGGAGAUCCAUUAAGCCCUUUUCUAUUUUUAAUAUGUAAUGAAGGGCUCUCAUCUCUUAUGAUAUUGGCUAUGAAGGAAGGUCUGUUAAAAAGGGCUAAAGUAUGUAGAAGGAGACCUCAAAUCUCUCAUUUCAUGUUUGUUGAUGAUUGCAUUUUAUUUGGAGAGGCUACUGAUAUGAGGGCUCAUAUUCCGAAAGAUAUACUUAGGGAGUAUGAAGUAUGUUCUGGGUAGAGUAUUAACUAUGAAAAGUAAAUUGUGUUCUAUAGUUCAAGUACUUCUGAUAGGGCAAGAAGGAUAGUUUCGCAAAUCUUGAAUUUUAGAAGCUCAACGAAUUCGAAGAAGUAUUUUAGUUUGCUAAAUAUGGUAGGACGGAUGAAGAAACUAUUUUUUCAGUUACUAAAGGAUCAUAUCAAGAAAAAGAUUGAUAAUUAGAGUACUAGACAGUUUUCACAAGGUGGAAAAGAGAUUUUUAUAAAAGUUUUCUACAAGGUAUUCUGACGUAUUCAAUGGCUUGUUUUUUGCUACUGAAGUCACUUUAUGGGGAAUUGGAGCGUAUAAUGGUGAAAUUUUGGUGGCAAAAAGGACAUGGAAAAUAGGGGACCAUUGGUGUGAGUGGAAAUCACUAUGAGAAUUAAAAUAGAAUAAGGGUUUGGGUUUUAGAUGUUUAACAAAUUUUAAUUUAGCUUUACUUGUAAAACAGGGUUGGCGCCUAAUUAAUUAUCUGAAUUUGUUGUUAGCCUGUAUUUUAAAAGUUAAAUAUUACCCAGAUACUGAUUCUUUAAGUGUCAGGUUGGAAAAUAUUCCUUCUUAUACCUAGAAGAUUGUAUGGGCGGCUAAAGGUAAGUUACAAGAUGGGUUGUUCUAGUAGGUUGGGACUGGAAUAAAAAUUCCAGUGAUGGAUGUUGCAUGGGUACCAAGGCCAGUAGACUACAAAAUAAAAAAUAAUGUUAGUAAUUCAGGCAUUAGUGUGGUUGCGGAUUUGAUAGAUGAUAAUUCCAAAGAAUGGAAAACAGAAGUAGUGAAUAAUACCUUCUAUGAAAGCGAUGCUAACAAAAUUUUACGUAUUCCACUAGAAAAGGUGUCACACGAUAAUUUUAUGGUGUCAAAAGGGGAAGCAUCGGGGGAGUACUCUGUGCAGAGUGGAUACAAGCUAGUUUUACAAGGUACUAUAGACCCUAUUGCUUAUUACAAUUAAAGCAACUACAUGUUGUUUUACAAAAAAAAUUUGGAGUCUGAAACUACCCUCAAAACUAAAAAUUACAAUUUAGAGAAUUUCUAUAAACUUUAUACCUAUUCUCAGUAAUCUACAUUAUAAGAGAUUAGCUGAACCACAAUGUGUCCCAAAUGUGUAGGUGAAGUAGAAAACAAAAAGCAUGUAUUUCGUUCGUGAUUGUCCUACAAAAAAGGAAAUUUGGCAUAAAUUGAAUUUUGUUUGGCCACAAUCGGUGACAAAUUCAGAGUGUAUGGAAUGGUUUACCUGGAUAUUUAAAGAAAAUUCUGCCAACCAAUGUCAACUUUUUUGUUGUGCGUUGUUGGUAAUUUGGACAAAAAGGAACAAGUUGUUGCAUGAAGGAAAAAAAAACCACGACAAGCAAUAGUAGAUUUCAUUACAAAUUACAUACGAGAACUAGAUGGGAUGGGGAAAAAGUUACCUGGUAGGGGAUCGGAGAUUGAGCGGUAGAGAAUACCGGAGUGGCCAAAUCUCAAAAUAAAUUUUGAUGCCGCUUUUAACAAACAAGAAAGCAUAUCUUGUUUAGGCAUUAUGAUAAAGGAUUCAAAUUGAUGGGUUCUAAGGUCUAAAACAGUGUUAAACAAUAACAUACCUUUGGCGUUUGCAGCGAAAGCUCUUGCAUGUGUUUAGGCAGUUCAAAUGGGCUUGGAAAUGUGUUUAUAAGUGGUGGAAGUUGAAGGCGAUACAUUUUCAGUAAUCAAUAAGAGUCAAAGUAAUGGGUUGGACAGAUCAGAGAUAGGUGCAUACAUAAGGGAUAUUCAACAAUUAAAGAGGGGCUUUCAGAGAUGUUGGUUUAAACAUACUCCAAGAAUGGAAAAUAGGGUAGCACAUGCAUUAGCCACAGAAGGUUUGAAGAGAGGGGAACAGAUUUACCUAAGAAGUGAAGUUCCCGAAUAUGAUGUGUUCUUGCUAGAAAAUGACCAAAAAUAGGUAAAAACAUCAGACUGAGCUGCCUUUAGAGAAAUGGUUGAAGUCGAAUGAAGAAGCCAAAAAAAAGGAGAGAUCAAAAAAGGAAGAAAAGUCAAAACUCCCUCAGGAACUAUAAUUGAUUGAGGUCUGGUUGGGCGGCCUAGAAGCUUAUUGAGCACGACAGUUCAUAUUUUGAUCGGAUUUUUUUUGCCCAGACUAAGCUUCUUGACCGAACUGAGCUGUAACAGUUGUUUUGCCUAAUGAAUUGGUCUUGGGCUUUGUUUUAUUUAUUAAUAAAAUCCAAUUUGUUUAAUUUCAAAAAAAAAAAGAGGAAAGGUUAUAGAUAAUUUUAAGUAUUGUGUAUAUGUUGUAUAUUUGAUAAAUUUUGUAACUAAUCUUUCCUUUAGUAGGUAAUUUAAUUUCUAAUUCACAACUUUCUUUUAAAUUGAUCAUAUUGUUAUAUAUUAUUUUAAUAGUUGACUGAGUUUAUAUGUUUUAAUUGUAUGUAUUCUUAUAGAUUUUAAAUACUAAGCAUAUUCGUUCAAAUUACUGGUCAAUAUAAAUUAAAAUUUAUAUCAAUAUUCACAAUUUUUGUACUAAUAUAAUUUAAGGUAAAUUAUCUAGUUGGUUACUCAACUUUUAAGGUGCUUUCAUUUUGGUCACCCAAAAUGAAAUUUUUGCAAUUUCGUCACUAAACUUCUAGGGCACUUUCAUUUUAGUCACCUUACUAUUAAAUCUCUAAUGGUAGUUAACUUGUACACACCACUUCAUGUUCACACUUUUAUUUUUGUCACCCCAAAAUAUCAUUUUUAUAAUAUUGGUCGAGGUAAAAAAAUUAAGGAUUAAAGUAAAAAAAAUGGUAGAAACUAAAAUAAUGUUUUAAAAUAAUCAAAUUGUACCUUUUUUAGCCCAUUCGAAAGUUCUAAAUAUAUUUUUUUCACUAUUAAAAUUUUAAAUUUCAAAACAUUAAAAUCAAUUAAACAAGUUAUUGAAAAUUUUUAUCCCUUGCAAUUAAUUUAAUUAAUUAAUUUUAUAUUCCAUGCCAAACAAAACCCAAAAUUUUCUUAUCACUUCUUUACCCAAACCAAGAACUAACAAUUAAUUCAAUUAAUUGCAAUAAUUUUUCUUUAUUUUCAGCUUAGUAUAGAAUAUUUGAAAUUAUAUAAUAAAAAGAAAUUUAAGUUUCGCAAAAAAAUAUUAAAUAUGAGUUGUCGAGUUUGUUGCAUUGAGAAUAAUAUGGAAACAGAAAAUAAAAUUUUAAAAUUUAGAAGGAGAUAUUUCAAUAUUAAAGUAAUUAAUAUUAUCAAGUGAUAAAAAUUUUCAACAAUUUAUUUAAUUGAUUUUUAUGUUUUGAUAUUUAAAUUUCAAUAUUGAAAAAAAAUUAGAAUUUUUGGCAAUGUUAUAAACAAGUACAAUUUGAAAAUUUUUCAAUACAUUAUUUUAAUUUCUACCAUUUUUUUCACUUUAAUCCUUUUUUUUUACCCCAAAUCAAUACUUUAAAAUGGGAUAUUUUAUGGUGAUCAAAAUAAAAACAACCUAAAAGUUGGGUGACCAAAAUAAAGGUAAAAACAUGAUAUAAUGUAACACCCAUUACUCGAUUCGGUCGUCAAACUCGAGUUUUUAGAAUGUUACAGUCAUAACCAGAAUAGAACACAUUUAAAUGACAUUGAUUAUCCCAAAUAAACAUAGAAUACUUCCUAAAUGCAUAAUUAUUGCUCAAAUUUAACAAAAAUCAUCCAAACAUAGUCAAGUCAAUUUAUGAUUAACAAAUACAUCAUUUCUCAAAUCAUAUACAUGUUUCUGUAUGCUCUAAUACCAUCCAGAAUUUAAUUAGGAUUAAUUUGCAACAUUUUCAAAUUUUUAGUUCAAUUAUAAAUUAAAACAAUUCAGAGCUUAAUUGUAAUUAUCAUAAUCAAUAGUCAAUCAUUAUUCAUAGCAUAUAUGUGAAAACGGAACUUAAAUCGAGUCCACGGACCUUAAAAAUAGUUUGGAAACAACUACGGAUUAAUCUAAAACAAAAUAGAAAAAACAUGGAAAAUUUUGAAAACAAUGAUCACAUGGCCGUGUGACAGAGCCCAUGUCAUGUGGCUAAACCGUGUACAGUUCGAAGUUAGGGGCACACGAUUGUGUCUCUAGAGUCGUGAAUAGCUUGAUACCGUGUGGAAAAACCUGUACCUAAAAAUCAAUAAGGCACACUACCAUGUGGCAAACAGUGUCCCAGGCUGUGUACAACCUAAAUGACUUCAAAAACAAGUAAUUUCAAACACCAUUUCUUAGCUAUCAAACCUAACCAUUUCCACCAAUUUAAAACACAUUCAAACAUGUCAAAAACAUGCUAAAAACAUUCAUCCUAAGUGGCUAAUCAAUGUACCAUCAUUAGUACCACAAUUUAAACAUUUAAAAUCCAAAUUACAUACAUCAUUUCCCAAAACACAAAACAUGUAUCUAUCAAGCAUUUCAUAACUUUAAACCACAAUCAAAACCAAACUUGGAAAUAUAUGAAUCAUACCACUUAUAUACAUAUGGUUAAAACAUGCCAAAAGAGCCAAAUAAACACAACCACAACAUCACAUAACAAAAAGCAUAGAACAACAGUCUAAUAACAAGUGAACUUGAAUUCCUAGUACAUGCUACUUAUAACCUAAAUCAAAGUAAUCACAAUUUAUACCGAGUCGAUAAACAAAUAGUGUGAGCUCUGACUUGAACUUCCAACCGACAGAAACUUUCGACGAUCUAUGGGAAAAACAACACAACAGAUGUAAGCAAAUCUUUGCUUUGUAAGUAUGUAUUAAACUUUAACUUUAACUUACCAUAAAGGUUGUAACUUAAACAUUUUUGCAAUUAAAAUUUAUAAACAAUGUCAUGAGAUUAUUAUUAACCUAUACAUAUCACAAGUCUCACAAGGUUAGUGAGUUCACAUAUAUGAAACUUAUAACUUUAUCAUGUCAUAAAAAAUAUACAAGUAAACACAUUUGAUACACCAUUCAUUCAACAUUUAUUCAUUUAACAAUUCACAUUUCCAUUUUAAGUGUUCAUCUCAAAUGUCCCUUCUUACUUAUCUAUCCAUAUAAACAUUUCAUAUAACACUUCAUAUAAUUAUUUCCAUAUAACCGCUUCAUAUAGGUAUUUCGUUUACAUGUUCUCGUAUAACUGAUUCAUAUAACCAUUACAUAUAUCUACUUUUAUAUAACCAAUUCAUAUAACCAUUUUGUAUAGCCAUUUCAAAGUGUUAACCUUAACACAACAUGAUUCAAUAAUUCCAAGUCAGUAAACAACAAUAUACAGAUAUUCAGAAUUCAUAUUUUUAUCCAUUUUAAUGAAACAAUUUAUCAUUGCACAAUCUUUGUUUUUUCAAUGGAACUUUGUAAAAGAACUCAAUACACAAGUCUGGGAAAUAGAUGAUGCUCAUAUGAGCUAAUCAGAUAUAGAAAUAUAUGUGUCGGGUUACCCAUUCGGGCUAAACUAGUGACAACAUAGAAAAAUAGCCUGGCUAGGGCUAUGUAUAUAUGUAAGGUCACCAGUCCAGGCUAAACCUUUAAAAUGAAAACGAAUUACUAGUCCAAGCUAAAUUUGUGUCACAUGCAUAUCCGAGUCCAUAACAAAUGCUGGAGUUUGAUCCAAAACGGGAACCAUUUAGAAAUCUCAUGUAUGAGACUUUUACUUGAUACAUCAGAAUUAUCACAGAAUUCAAUUUAAUACCAAAUAGUUUGAUUUCAAUUUUAACAAUAUAUAUAAUUAACCACAGCUAAUAAAAAUUUGUAACAAUAGAAAGAAGAACGAACUUACCUAGACAAAAAUGAUUGCGAAAACAAGGCCAACAACUAAUUCAUUAAUUUAGUUUUUCCACGAUUCGAGUCCGGUUGUUUGUUUCUUGAUCUAAAUAAAUAGUUUUUGUUCAAUUAAUCCAUUCAAACAUUUCAAACAUUUCAAACAUUUAAACUUAAACUUAUAAUCCUUUUUAACAUAAAUUUAAAAAUUACCCCUAAACUUUUCACUUUUAUUCAAUUUAGUCCCUAAACCCGAAACUUUUGAAUUUACCACCAUUUAACCAAUUCAAUGCUAGCUGAAUUUUAUAUAAUCCCUAUUUAGCCCACAUUUAUCACAAUUUCACAAUAAUUCCAAGAAUUUUUACUAUUUUAACAACUUAGUCCCUAAAUACAAAAUUAACAAAAUUUACUUCAUCAAAUAUUCCUUAAAUAUUUCAUAGCUUCCAAAUUUAACCAUUUCUAUCAAAACAUAUAAGAUUCAUCAAUGGCAAAUUUAGAAAUUUUUAACAGUUUUGAAAGCGGAGGUACGAGCUAGUUAGAUUAAACUGCAAUGAUCUCAAAAACAUAAAAAUUAAGAGAAACGGAAUUCAAAUGUACUUACAUGCACAAGUUGAAGCUUAGCCGAAUCUUCAAACUCAACAAUGGAGUUUCGGUCAUCCACAAUGAAAAAUGAAGAUGAUAUUUAUUUUAUUAUUUUAUCUAACUUUAUCUUUUUAUUUAAUUACCAAAAUGUCAUUAAUUUACAUAUUUUUAAACUAAAGCAUAUAUAUAUACCGUCCAACAUUUUAAGUAUGGUUAAAUUAUCAUAUAAAUCCAUUCAACUAUGUUUUUGAAAUCAAUUAACCCUUUUAAACUAAUAACGAUUGAUUUUUGUGAUUUUUACGAUUUAGUUUUUUUACUUAAUUACCUAUCUAAAAGUUAAAAUUUUUUAACUAAAUUUUAAUAUACCUAUAUAAUCACUCCGUAAAUAUUUAAUAAAAAUAUUUACUAGCUCGAUUUACAGAAUGAAGUCUCCAAACAUCAUUCUCGAAAACCACUUGACUUUAGGGACAACCAACUUGUACUUAAAUAUUCAUUCAAUUACCAAAAAUUAUCAAACUAAAAUUCAAUAUAAUAUCAUAAUUGAUUCGUAAAUAUUACAUAAAAAUAUUUACGGACUUACUCGUCAGAUUUGUGGUUUCGAAACCACUAUUUUCAACACUACUGAAAAACGGGUUGUUACAUGUAACGUGUACAGUUAACUACCAUUAGGGAUUUGACGGUUUGGUGAUUAAAAUAAAAGAUAUUAAAAUUUGAGUGAAAAAAUUACAAUGAUUUUAUUUUGGGUGACCAAAUAAAAACACCCUAAAAAUCGGGUCACUAACUAGAUAAUUUACCUAUUUAAUGAACAUAAUAAAUCAUUUCUAAUUUUAAAAUUACCUAAAUUUUAAUUAAAUCCUAGUGAACAUUUGAUCAUAAUUUGGAUUCCUAAAAUAUAGAUCUCUUUAAACAAAAUAAAUAUACAAAGGUAUCAAAAUUAAAUAAUGUAUUGUGUAUUAAGAAGCAUUAAUAAAUUAAGUGGACAAUAAUAAUGCUCUAACCAGCCUUGUAAGUUAUUUAAAAUAUUAAUAGAUUUUUUUUUUCAGCAAUCAAUUUUUUAAUAAUGAUUGUAAAACUUGUAGGGAGAAAAUGAAGAUGUUGAACGUUGAUUUCAGGUUAUUACAGCAUAACUUUAUACUUUGAAUUCUAUACAACUAAUCUAUGCAUAGUACAAGAGGACAAACUUAUAUAUAUCACAAUUUAUGCUAUAUUAAGGUAUAAUUUUGAAUUUGUCCUUUACAAAAUUUGAAAACUUGUUAGUAUUAUUUUUUAAUUUUAAAAAUAUAAUUUAAAAACACAACAAAUCACUAUUCUUAUAAAAAAAAUAUUGGUGUAGGGACUGCAUAAAAAAUAUUGGUAUUGUUUGUAUUUUGGUUUGCACAAUCUUUUGCAAUGCAAGUCAUACUGAAAACUUCCAUCAAGCACUUCUAUUAACUAAUGAUUUAUUUUAGAAAACAAUAAUCGUAAGUAGCAAACAUGUCCAAACCAUAAAUCAAUUUUUGCAUUGGUUCCUAAAAUUUAAACAAUCCAAUUGAAUCUUCAAACUGAAGCUAAUAUAUAUAAACAUAUUUAUUAAUUCUUACAUUAUUAAGAGAUGAACCAAGCCAACUCCAAGUUGACAAUUAAGGCUAAGAUGAUAGUUGAACAUAAUUAGUAUUAUACUUUAGUCUGAAAUUCAAUUGGAAUGAUCUGAAAUUUGGGUUCAAUUUAAAAUUUGACUCAUAGUUUGAGGACCAAUAGUAGAAUUAACCCUAUAAAUAAUUUCAAGCACUAAAAUAUAUGGCUUAAACACUUGGUGCUUCCUUUAAAGAUAGGGUUUCCACCAUUGUUGUAAGGCACACCAAGGAAGAAAGAGAUAAAAUAUGGCACCCAUUUCAUUACCUAACAAGCCCCAUGCAGUAUGCAUCCCCUUCCCGGCACAAGGUCACGUAAACCCGAUGCUCAAAGUGGCCAAACUCCUCCAUUUCAAAGGCUUCCGCAUCACUUUCGUCAACACCGAGUACAACCACAAACGCUUGCUCAAAUCCAGGGGCCCCCACGCCCUCGACGGCUUGCCUGACUUCCGGUUCGAGACAAUCCCCGACGGCCUUCCUCCGCCCGACAUCGACGCCACGCAAGACAUCCCCGCGCUUUGUGACUCCACUAGCAAGCAUUGUUUGGCUCCCUUUCGCCGACUCCUUGUUGAGCUAAAUGUUAAUUCCGGUGUCCCUCCGGUCACUUGUAUCGUCGCUGAUGGGAGCAUGUCGUUCACUCUCGAGGCGGCUAAAGAGUUAGGGAUUCCCAGUGUGUUGCUUUGGACACCCAGUGCUUGUGGUUUCUUGGCUUAUUGCCAUUUCCGACGGCUUAUUGAUGAGGGUUUUACACCAUUGAAAGGUACAAAACUCUGGUUUUUCUUUCAAACUUUUUGGUUAAAUUUGGCUAUUGUCCCUCUACUAUGCUAUAAAUUUAAGAUUUAAUCCUUAUAGUUUAAUUUCAGAUAUUUGAUUUAUUGUUAUUAAUUAGUACAUCUAAUUAAUAAAAUUAGAUUUUUCUUGAGUAAAAUGUUUUAAAAGAUGUAAGCAUGUUUUAGGCUGAAAUUUGAAUUUUUUUUUCCAUUAUUUCUAAUAUUUUUAAUUAAAAAAACCUUUAAUCCUUUUAUUUUUAUGCAUAUUUAUUAUCAGUUGACUGAUUCACUCAAUUUUCAUAUGGAAUUAAUUUUGUGGCAGAAUAACAGUGACAAAAAUUCACUUAAUCACUUUUAACAACUAAAAUUGUGACAAAUAAAAAUAAAAAAAUUAAUUAUUUUUCUUCUUAAAAUGCAUCCUUAAGCAUUCAUUUUUAAAAGUAUUCCACAUCAGUAUUUAAGUGAAAUGAUGAUGUUAAUAAUUUCAACUAAUUAAUAAUAUUAUAAAAAAUAAAAAACAAAAUUAUAUCAAAUUACAGGAGUAAAUAUCGAAUAUUAGCAUAGUAAAAGGACUGAAUUCUGAAUUUGACCCCUAACAAUUUCUUCAUCAUUGGGCAGAUGAAUCCUAUUUGACAAACGGGUAUUUGGAUACCGUCAUUGACUGGAUCCCGGGCAUGAAAAACAUCCGUAUAAGGGACCUUCCAAGCUUUGUUCGAACAACGAAUCCAGACGAUAUAAUGUUGAAUUUCUUUGCGACGGAGUGCGACAGAGCUUCCAAAGCUUCCGCCAUUAUCGUAAACACCUUCGAUGAAUUGGAACAUGAUGUCGUCAAAGCUCUCUCCUCUAUCUUCUCUAAAUUUUACACUAUUGGACCCCUUCACUUGCUCCUCAACCACAUCCCACCGUCGUCGCCUUUAAGCUCCAUGGAGUCCAACCUGUGGAAAGAAGAGCAUCGAUGUUUGCAAUGGCUGGAUUUAAAAGAACCCAAAUCGGUCGUUUACGUUAAUUUCGGGAGCAUAACGGUGAUGACGGUGAAUCAAAUGGUUGAAUUCGCUUGGGGUUUGGCUAAUAGUAAAAAACCUUUUUUGUGGAUCAUUAGACCCUAUUUGGUACGGGGGGAUUCCGCCAUUUUUCCGCCGGAGUUCAUCGAGGAAACUAAAGACCGGUGUUUCAUGGCGAGCUGGUGCCCGCAAAAGGAAGUACUGAACCAUAACGCGGUGGCCGGGUUCUUGACGCACAGCGGGUGGAAUUCGACGGUGGAAAGCAUUUCGAGUGGGGUGGCGAUGGUUUCUUGGCCGUUCUUCGCGGAGCAAAAAACGAAUUGUUGGUUCGCUUGUAAUGAAUGGGGUAUCGGCAUGGAAAUCGACAACGAUGUGAAGAGGGAGAAAGUGGAAAAGCUGGUGAGGGAGCUGAUGGAAGGAAGGAAAGGGGAGGAGAUGAGGGAAAACGCCAUGGAAUGGAAGAGAAAAGCUGAAAAAGCUGCGUGUUUGGAUGGACCGUCCUUGUUGAAUCUGGACAGGUUGAUUAAUGAAGUCUUGCUCGAAGGACAUGAAUGAUCAACUUUAUUUUAAAAAAAUAAAACACCUUCACGUUUAUAGGUUUGAGUUCUUAAUUAUUAUUUUUUUAUCGACACACUCAACAUUACGAUUAUUUAAAAAUUAGUUCAGUUUUAACGGAAAAUGUGAGUUAACUGUUAAUUAAACCGUAAGUCAACUAAAUAAUCUAUUUGGCGUGCCACAUAAGUCCGAGGUAACGUCAUUUAUAAACUAAAUUGUUUAACAAUUUUUUUUUCAUUUUGUUUCAAUCUUCUCUUUCUCUCUUCCCCUCUAACUAUUGUCAUCGUUGUGUCCAACACCCACCAUCAUCGCCUUCCCUCUUACUUCUCAUUAUUUCAACCCCUACCAUCUCUCCCUUUCCUCUUACUCCUCACGUUUGUAAAAAGAGGACUCAACGUUGUAAAAAGUAAAAAGAGGACACAUUAUUGUAGCCCAUUUUAGGGUUUUAUUUUUUUAAUUAAUAAAAAAAACUAGAAAAAUCAAACGUUACUUUGUUUGGUUUAGGUUUGCUUGCUUUUGGUAUAUUUGAUACCCUUCUUUGCUUUUCAAUUCAUCUACCCAUUUAUUGAUUCACCUUCUCUAAUUUUACUUACCUUUCUAGGGUUAUUAGUUGUUGUUUUUCUCAAAUGGAUUGGCCCUCUUUUCAUGGAUAAGGUCAGUACCUUUUUUUAUCCCAGUUUCAUGCCUUUGUUACAUUGCUCUAUUUAUGAUCUAUGUGGAUUGUUAAUGGUUAGGUUUAUUCUGGGUUUUUUUCUCUUUUCUUCAAAUUUUUUCAAUAGGAUGAAAGAUAGUUGCACGCGCAAAAAGAUUGUUCCGAUGGCAGUUAAUAAGGCAAGGGAAGUGAAAGGGUUUCCCGAUAGGUAGAAGAUGAUAAUUUCGAAACUGGAGCGAAUCCUUUCGUGCUUAUCGGAAUUGUCGACCCAUACUUGCUUUUCAAAAAAAAUGCUCUUUGUAAGGAACAAUUGUAGAUUGUUUCGAAGACAUUGAAGGAAGUGAUUGAAUUAGUGAAUUUAUGCUUGAAAGAGAAGUGUUAAACAAAAUGAAAAAAAAAGUGUUAAACAAUUUUGUUUAUAGAUGAUGUCACCUCGUGCUUAUGUGGCAUGCCACAUAAGCUACUUAAUUGACCUGCGAUUUGAUUGGCGAUCAACUCAUGUUUCUCGUAACGUUGAAGGUGUCAAUUCAAAUAAAAAAAGAUUAAGGGCUCAAACCCAAGAACCCAUAAAUGUUGAGGGUAUUUUCGAAAACUAUGCCAAAAAAACAGCAAUGGGUAUGAUAUUUCAAAUAUUUUUAUAUGUUUAUAUGUGAGAUAUUUCAAAUACACAUACAAAAAUAAAUAAAACUAAUUAAUAUUUACUACUCAUGAUAUGAAUUGAAAAAUAAAUAUUACACACAUAAAAAUUAUGUUUCCUAAAAAUAAUUAUAUUUGUAAUAAAUAUUUAAUUUUAUAAAUAAAAAAUUAUUAAUUAAAUAGAUGAAUUAAAAAUAAUAAAAAAACUUGAAAACAAUAUAUCUAUUAAUUAAAAACAUUAAUUAAAAAAACUUGAUACAACAUAAAAUUUAAAAAUAUAUAUUAAUAUGCUUAUAAAAAUAAUCGAAUCUGAGACUUAAGGAUGUAAUUGUAAUUAUCUAACAGAAUAGCUAAUAUAUAUGUUAAAAAUAUUAAUUAAAAAUAGAAAAGCUUGAAACAACAUGAAAUAAAAAAUAUAAAAACGAGUAGGAGAGGAAUUGAAUCGAGACUCAAUGAUAAAAUCACUAACAUUUAACCAUCUGACUGAGUCAGUCAGAAAGUACCUCCUUUAGAAAUUUCUAGCACAAACAUUUCUAGCUUUUUAGAAAUUUACAUAACAACUCCUUUAAAAUGAACUUUAUUACAUUAAACCCCAUAAAAAUUUAAAUUUUGCCCCCAAACCUCCCAAAAAAACCACCAACCUCUUUUAAAGUUUGCCCCAUAAGUUGUAUUUUUGGAUCCACAACUGACUAGACAUGGUUUUAAUUAAAAACACGUCUAAUUGGGCAUGUUUUCACCUUCUCUCUAAAAUCGAUGUAUUGCGUUAAAUAUGCCAAAAUCGACCUAAACUACCAAAAAAAAAGAAAUUCGAACUUUUUUGACUAAUUUAACAGUAGUUUAAACUUUAAUGUUUUCGUUAAUUGUUUUAUUUAUUUUAAUUUUCAUAUUAUUUUUUUCUUUCACCAAUUACAUAAAUGGUUAUAGUUUCAUUUGGUUUAUAUAUAUAUAUAUAUAUAUAUAUAUUUCGGUGGCAGAUGGAUUAAACAAACUAAUCCUACUUCAAACUAUUGAAUUUUUAUGUCCUAUGUGAUAUUUUUUAUUUUAAUUUUCAUAACAUUUUUUUCUUUCACCAAUUAUAUAAAUGGUUAUAGUUUCAUCUGGUUAUCCUAGUUCAAAUUAUAUUUUUUUCAUAAUCUACCUGUGAUUCCUUCUUUGCAAGAAUUGUUGCAUGUGUACAACCAGUGACACAGUAUCAUUGUGCAUGUUAUUGCUACUUGAGACCUGUAAGUAAAUUUUUCAAUCACCACUUAAAAAAAUGUUACACAUACUAAAACACAAAACGAAAAUUAAUGCUUUAAAAGCAAUAUUAUGCGAAACAACUUGAGAAUUGCAAAACUAAGGACCUAAUUGGUGAUAUAUUGGAAAGCAAUUAGCAUCUCAUCAAGUUAGUAUAGAACUUCAAAAUAGGCUAGCCCCUCCACUUACACUUUAAGCUUCAUUCCAAGCUCAUGAAGAAAAUAACAAUAUGACUUUGCAACUACUCCUUUCUUCUAAGGUCGAUUCCAUCCUUCCUAGAUGGAGAAUGGUUCUCAAUUACUUCUCGGCUGAAGUCCCAUUUGCGCAUAGAUGAAUACAGCUACUCUGGUUCUUAAAAUUUAGGGUAAAUUACACCAACAGUCACCUAACUUUGGGGUAGCUGACAAAACAGUCACCUAGGUUUCAUUUCAGUCACUCAACUUUCAAAAAGUUACAAAACAGUCCCUUUAAACGUUUUCCAUCACAGACAUCACGGAAAAACGACAUGGCAGGUGACGGGGUCUAACAUUUUCUUCUUCCCUAAACCCGUUUCUCCCUCCCUCAUUCUAUUUCUUCUUCCUUUAAAGAAAUCCCUGUAAUUUUCUUCUACCCUAAACCCCACAAAUUUCUUCUUACUUUGAAGACAAAACAAAUGCAAUCCCUGUAAUUUACCUUUCCCUUCUUUUAUUUUUGCUUUUCAAAUUAAAGUUCUGAGUUUCAUUUCUCUCACAAUCCCUCCCAAACUCUCUCCAAUUGCAGUAUACAAUACUUGUUGUAUACUUGUAAGUUGUAACGAGAAAAUAGGCAAUUCAAGCUUUUGCAAAGAUAAAAUUUAAUAUGGAAAUUAAGACUAAAAAUCUCAAUGAAUGGUGCAUGCAUUCAAACUUAUAGCAGAGGAAAACACAGUGAAAGAAAGGACAAAUUUCAAGCUUUUAAUAGGAAAAUUUUUUAAAUGGCUAGUAAAUGACCAUCAAGUUCUAAUCCUGGGAUGCUAAUCAAGCAGCCGACAACUUGGCCAAAUCUUGAAUAGGAAGAUUGUCUCACUCGCUUCUGCCAAAUUCAACUUAAUGCUUUAGGUUAUGCUUUCGUUCUUCGUUUUUACUUAAGCUUUCCAACAGAGAAAAAAAAAUAGAAGAAGAAGAGGAGGACGAAAAGAAGAAGAAGAAGGUUUAAUGGUUAAUAUGUUGUGCACCUAGAACAAAAAUUUCCCUCUUUUCAAGCUCAAGUUCUUUGUUUCUCCUUAUUUUUUUAAUAACUUUCAAUUCAAUAUUUUUAAUAUCUUCAAGACUGUUCUUAACCAAAGCAUCUCCAAUAGAGGUUUCAAUGGCUAUAAAUCCGGAUAAAUGCUCUUCAAGCAAAAUUAUCUGCCCCUUUUAUCUGGCUACCAUUGCUAUUUUUCCAUUACAAUUCCUCUAUCAACUGCUUUUCCAUGUCUAGCUACUUUAUUUCCAUGUUACCCUGCCUUAUAAUUUCUUGAAGAUCUUUUAUCUCAGCCUUAAGUGCAGAAAUUAUGAAAUUGAGCUUGCCAAUUUUUGCAGUUUUGUCAGUUAAAUCCUUCUGCAAAUAAGCAAUGCAUGACAACUUCUCUUUUAGACUAUGCAACUCAAGUAGUUUCCUUUCAAAGGUUAAUCUCCUGCUCUCCAACUCCUUAAUGGGACUCUGUGAAUGUUCUAUUUCUGUAUUUGGGUACAAAUUCUUUAUGUUAACCACCUCAGUCCCCUCCUCAUUUUGCAUGUCCUCUUCCUGCAAGAACUUUAUUUUUUCAUUAGACUUAUGUAUAAGAGUGAAAAAUAUUGAAAGGGAUAAGAUGAAGUACUGAAAAUUAAAGAAAUGGAGGAGGGAAACGAUGGAGGAAGAAAAGUGGUGAUUAAUGUUGCCGGUGAAAGGCCAAAAGGGUCUUCUCUAAAAGAAGCAGAGGCAUUGAACCCUAAGCAAAAUUCUCAAGGUGCACCCAACAAAGCUUCGACUGAAUCUGGUGCUGUUCUGCAAGUAAGCCACCAAAAGCCCCAGUUGCAUAACCAUGAAGGUUUUCAGAAGGUACUAUCCUUUGGUGUUAAUAAUCAUUUCAACCAACUCAGCAGCAGCAACAGAAGAAGAAGAAGAAGAAGAAGAAGAAUGAAGCCACUUCACCAACGUGGCAAGUUAACUUGCCACAUCAGCUGGUUAACUUACCACGUCAGCAAUCCCGUUAACACCUUAAUGGUAACUGUUAAUCAAUGACUAUUUUGUCACUUUUUUAUAACGUUAGUGACUGUUUUGUAACUUUUCAAAAGUUAAAUGAUUGAAAUGAUCCCGAGGUGACUGUUUUGUCAGCUACCCCAAAGUUGAGUGACUGCUGGUGUAAUUUACCCUAAAAUUUAAUAACAGGUUUCAAAAACCCAAAAAAGCACUACAAGAAAACUGACUUUUAGCGGCGUUUUUUUUAACCUUUAGCAGCGCUUUUAAGUGCCGCAAAAACUAUUAGCGGCGUUUUUCCAAGCGCCGCAAAAAACACCGCUAAAGGUAACGCCGCAAAAUUUAGCAACGUUUAUCUGAACCACAAAAGAUCAAGACUUUUAACAACGUUUGUGGGAAAAGCGCUGCUAAAAGUCAUGGCUUUUAGUGGCCUUUUUUUUACAAACGCCGUUAAUUUUGGCAGAUUUGAAAUGUACAUUUUUCACCAAUAUCCAACCCUUCCUGCAUUAAAUCCAACCAAAAACAGCAAAUAUAGCAUGAAAUCCAACCAAAAAUAGCAAAUGUAGUAUAAAAAUACAAUAAAAAACAUUAAAUCUAAAUGAUACUUCAAAUUCAACGAAAGAUCUAUGAUGUAAAUUAAUAAAUUAGGUAUAACUCAAAACGUUCUUACAAUAAUGUUAAAUGUGACAAUGUUAAAAACGUUCUUACAAAGAGAAAACUAAUGUCUAAUAUGGCGACUUUUGCGACUGCUGAAACAUCUACAUCAUUUGCUGAAGCUGUAGCUGGAGCUCAUCGUACUUUCUGCUCUGCUCUACUGCCAUCGCUGCUGCCGCUGCCUCCCUCACUGCUGUCGCUGCCUCUGCCUCCCUCUCUGCUGCCUCUGUUCUAAGUUGUUGCUGAAGUUCUUCAUAUUUUCUUUGAACCUCGGCAAUUUGCUCAACUGUACUCGCUUGCAUCUGAGCUAUCUGGUCUCUUAACCUCUGAACUUCAGCUUGAGCUUGACUCCCAGAAGGCAUGUAUUGCUGGGAGCCGGAUCCAAAAUAUUAGGUCGGGGUAACACCAGAUCCUUGAAAUUAAACCCGACCGUACCUUUCAGGACCCAAAACUUCAGUGAUAAUUCUGUUAUCAAUGUUCUCAAGAUUAACAGAAUUAUCAGUCGAAGCAAUCGCUUCGUACUCCGCCUUCUUCUCCUUUAGUUUCUCCUAAUAAAUCAAUUAAAGAGUUAGAAACGAAAUAUAUAAUAAAAAGGAGAGCAACAUAACUUAACAUUAUUUAAAACUACUAAAGACAAAUUAAACCAUUAUAAUUAAACAUUAUAAAUAUUAAUAAUAAAUCAAAUUUUAUUAAGUAAAUAUACCAUAAUUUCUCCAGCUUCGGAUGUCAUAGGAGAUCCAUCUUUCUUUCUAUGCAUAAUCUCAAAAAGCUGAAGGCCACCAACUUUUUGACCUGACGAGACUUCCUACAAUAUAGUAGUAAAAAUAUUAUUUAAUAGUAGAAAGUUAUUAAUAUUUGACAGAAUUAAUAAAUUUAUAAUACCUCAGCCUCAGCUACAGAAGCAAAACUUCUCGACCCUGCCAUGUGCGUGAAUUUUUGUUUUUGGCUGCUAUUUGUUCCAACUCGCUCACGGUCCUACAUAAUGAAAUUAUUAUUACGUAUAUAGUAAACACUAUAUAUAAGAGUUUAGAAAUACGUAAUACCUCUCCUUUCUUGGAAUUCCAGAAUCUAACCGCAUCUUCCCAUUAGUACCUCAGCAUUCUCGGCGAGACAUUUCUCAAUUUUUCCUUGAGGCUUAUGUCUUUCUUAAAAUAUAGUUUUUUCAAAAUUCUUUUAUGGUUUCUCCAUUUUUUACCCAAUGCCUUCUUGAUAUAGUCAUCGGAGACCUCUAAAGCAAAUCUCUCCUAAAAAAACACAAGUUUAGAAUGUAAAUAUAAAUAAAAGUUAAACCAAAGUAUUAUAAAUUACUUUUAACGUUUUGUUACCUUAAUAUUAUCGAGAGCCUGAUUUUUGUUGCUAUCAGACAUGUGAUGCCAUGAUUCGUAGUUGAUGGGCAACAUAUUAGCAUUCUGUGCUAUAAUGUUCAAAUAGCCUGCUAAAAGUCGAGCUUUAGAUCCAACAGGCUGACCAUGACUGUUUCUACUUACUUUGACACGCUUGACAGGAUUUAAUUCGUAUAAAUAUUUAAGUAGCGUACGUCCUCGACCUCUGCGCGUCCCACCACUUUCAGCUGAAAAACGAUAUAUUAUUAUAUUAAAAUUGAAAAAUAAAUCAAUAAUAAAAGUCAACACACAUGUAAAAUAAACUUAACAUUACUUUGAAUUUUUGCAGGCUCAUCAAGUGUCUCUGGCACAUUCGAAGAUCCAACAACUGUCUGCUGUUCACUAUUUUCUUCUUCCGAAUUUGGAGUAUUCUGGACAAUACCUAAAUCUCGUAAUCUUCUUCUACGCAUUUUUCCUACAAUACACAUAAAAUGAUUUAAAUUUUAGUAACAAAUUACGACAAUAAUAGUACAUGUAAAAUAGUUAAAUUAUAUAACAUCACCAAGAUUAAAAUUAUAAUAUUACAUAUAAUUAAAAAAAUUAUAAAAUCUUACUACAUCAUUAUUCGUAAAUAUCUUCAUCCACAUCAUGUCGAACCCAGAUUUUGUGUACUAGUACUAGGGAUAUUUUCAUCUAAGUUUUGUUCUGGAAAAGGUAAUGUUUCUGAUUUUUCGACGAUGUCAUCUCUACUUCCAUUACCCAUGUCAAACAAGUCUCUAGAGACAUUUCGGAGUACAACAUACCAACCCUCAUCAGUUGGAUCUUUCGAAUAAAAAACUUGUUUCACUUGAGAUGAAAAUACAUAUGGCUCACCCAUCAAUUGUUGUCUAGUGUGAAUCAAGCGAGAGAAAUUAACCAUUGUAAAACCAAAUUGAUCUUUUUUAAUUCCGCAAGCAGUAUUAACAUCAGCCCAAUCACACUGAAAUAAGACAACUUUCCAUCUGCCAUAAUAAUCCAACUCAAUAAUGUCGGUAAGAAGUCCGUAAUACUCCACAUUACCCUCAAUCGGAUUACUAUCCCUAGCACUAGCAUAACUUGUAAUUAAAGAAUUAACAACAAUUCCACAAUUUUGAGUUCUCCUCAUUCUCUCGCGAUAUUUUGUAUGAAAUCUGUAUCCAUUGAUGAGGAAGGCACUAUAUCUUUUUAUUACUCUGUUCGGACCUUGGGAAAGCCAUUUAACUUCGUCAUUAACGUCCUUCCCACUCCAAACCUAUUGAAUCGAAAGUAAAUUGAGUAAUUAUAAAUGUAUUAUGUAAAAACGUUCUUAUUUGAUUAACUAAAUUUCGCGAUUAUAUGUAACUUAUUAACUUCAGUUACAUACCGUUUGACUUAACCAUCCAUGAAAAGAUUUUGUGAAUAACUUAUUAAUCUCUCGAUGUUGUAAUCUUCAAGAACGUGCACGGGAUCUCAAAAUUUGUUUGUACUCACUAUGUUAAAAACAAGUUUAACUGGUUAGAAGAUAAACAAAUCAAAACGAUGAAUAUGUGAGGAAAUUUUAGAACUUACUUGCGUAAUGGUUCAAUUGAAUCGUGAUGAAAAAGUACAUAUCGGUAUGCUUGUAUCCACGAUAUAUCAUCUAAUUCUGCAGUUUCAACUUUGCCGAUUGGUUCUCCAUAACUUUGGAAUAAAUAAGUUUCGGCCAAGUUAUGAUCAUUGAUCCCAGCAUUUCUACUUGGUCUAUUCAAUCGUGUUUCAACAUCUUCUAAAUAUCUAAAACAAAAGGUCAUGCAUUCCUCUGCCAAGUAGCCUUCAGCAAUUGAUCCUUUUGGAUAACGCUUAUUGCGACAAUAAGACUUCAAUUUGCUUAGAAACCUAAACACGAUAUACAAUAUUUAUCAAAAACUGUAACUAAAUGAAAAGAGGUGAAUGAAUGAAUAAUUGACAAAUAAAUUAGCACCUUUCUAUAGGAUACAUCCAUCGAUAAAAAAUAGGUCCACCAAGUAUUGCUUCGUGAGGGAGAUGGAUUACCAAAUGCACCAUAAUAGUGAAGAAGGAAGGUGGAAAAAUCUUCUCCAAGUUGCAUAAAGUCAAAGCAGCUCGAUCAUGUACUUUCUCAAGUUCUUCAACAUCCAAAACUUUACCACAAAUAGUUUUCAUUAUAUUGGAUAGUUCAAUUAUAUAGGACGUCACAUUUUUUUACAUACAGCACCGUAAAGCAAAUGGGAGUAAAUCUUGCAUCAAGAUGUGGUAAUCAUGUGAUUUUAAUGAAUAUAAUCUUCGAACUUUAAGACUCACACAUCGAGAUAUAUUUGACGCAUACGCAUCUAGGACCUUUCUAUCCUUCAACACCAUGCAGAACACUUCUUUCUCUUUCUUUGACAUUGAAAAAAUAGAAUGUGGCAAUCGAUAUUUCCCAUUCGGAAGUACUUGAGGAUGAAGAUCACGCCGAAUUCUCAUGUCAACUAAAUCAAGUCGACUCUAAAGAUUGUCUUUUGAUUUUCCAUCGACAUUCAAAAUUGUCCCAAUUAUGUUCUCGCAGACAUUCUUCUCAAUAUGCAUGACAUCAAGAUUGUGGCGUAAAAUGUUGUGUUCCCAAUAAGGCAACUCAAAAAAAUACUCAUUUUUUUCCACAAGUCCGCCUCAUUAGGAUCAUCUUCUUCGUCAUAUUCAUCAUCAAAUUCAUCUCUCGAUCUUCUCUUUGUUUGCGUGUUAAGUGGUUGAUUCAUCUUCCCAUAACUAAAAUUGAUAUCUUUUAACAUAAACAAGAUUUCGGAUCCAACGGUUUACUCAGGAGCUCCUCUGUACUCUUUAGUACAGUCAAAUAGAGUUCUCUGAAAUCUAAAUUUAUUAUUUCCAUCUAACCACCGACGAUGGCCCAUGUAAGAGAACUUCUUCCCAUUAUACAACCACUUCGAACAAGUUUGUGUAGCACAACAAGGACAGGCAUAACGUCCUUUAGUACUCCAACCCGAUAAAUUAGCAUAAGCUGGGAAAUCAUUAAUUGUCCACAACAAAGCUACACGUAAAUUAAACUUCUCCUUUCUCAAUACAUCAUAUGUCUCAACACCCGACCAUAACUAUUUUAACUCUUCAAUAAGUGGCUGCAAAUAGAUGUCUAUAUCAUUUCCGGGACCUUUCUCUCGAGAGAUAAUCAUUGAUAAAAUAAAUGAUGAUUGCUUCAUGCAAAUCCAUGGAGGCAAAUUGUAAGGAACAAGCACUACAGGCCAAGUACUGUACGAAAUACUCAUGGUUUUAAAAGGAUUAAAGUUGUCAGCUGCUAGCCUAAGCCUCACAUUUCGAGGAUCGCUUGCAAAACUCAGAAAUUUACUGUCAAAUGAUUUCCAAGCUAAAGAAUCAGCAGGAUGCCUUAAUAAUCCAUCAUCGGUUCGUUGAUCAUUAUGCCACCUCAUAGAAUCGGCCGUCUUUGACGACAUGAAAAGCCUUUGAAGUCUUGGUAUUAGGGGAAAAUAUCGCAAAACCUUGACUAGCUUCUUUCUUAACUAUGCCCCACCUUCAUCCGCAUUCACAUUUUCUAUAUUCCCAUUCAUCCAACUAGACUUACCACAAACAUGACAAGACUGUUGGUUCUUCUGAUCACCCCAGUACAACAUGCAGUCAUUUGGACAACUAUGAAUUUUAUCGUACCGAAGGCCCAAAUCUUUUAUUAGUCUCUUCAUAUCUUGACAAGACUGGAGGAUUUUUGCAAACAGAAACAUCUCUCUCGGAAACUCUAGCAGCAUUGUAAAAAAGUUUCCGGUCCAUCCUUCCAAACAUUUUAAGUGAAAUAGAAGAAUGCAGAAGGACAAUUUUGAAUAUUUUGAUCCCUCGUAAAGUUCUUUGUUCAUUUCAUUAAGUAAAUUGUAGAACUUCGCCGCUUCUUCAUUUGGCUCCUCAUUAGGUGCACUUGUUCCCGUUUCGCAGAAAACAUUUCCACCAAUAUCACAAUCAUCGGAUGUAAUAAAGUCAGGUGGAAACGAUUGUUCGCCAUGAAUGUACAUAUUAAAUGCAUCCCGCAACAUACCUUCCAUGUCGUCUUGUCUAACAUACUAGUGGUAAUCAGUAUCAGGAUAAGUCAGAUUAAUCGUUGAAGAAGUUCCACUAGAUGUACACUCUCCAUGGAAAAUCUAUUUUUUAUACCCCGAAUAAAGCCAUCCACAAUUAGAUGUUCGUAGACAACUUCACGAAAAUGCCAAUUGAUGUUGCCACACUUCUUACACAGGUAAAGAAUCAUAUUCUCUUGGCUUGCAUUUUGAAAUGCAAAAUUUAGAAAAGUUUGUACUCCAUUUCAAUAGGCGUUGCUGACUCUUGACAAUUUCAUCCAACUCCUAUCCAUUUUGUAGUUCUUAAAGUCUAAACUUGACAAUAAAUUACACGAGUAAGUUGUUAAUUUAUAAGUAUAAUUAAAUUAUGUAAGUUAUGAUAUGAUAUCUACUUAUGUAUUAUGUAAGUUAUAUAAGUUAUGUAAGUUAUGUAAGUUAUGUAAGUUUCGUGAGUUGUGUAAGUUCAAGUAUAUAUUUUACGUACUAGUGAUUUAUUCAAGUAUAUAUAUUUUUAAAAUCUUAUAAAUUUUGCACAUUAAUAAUUUAUACAAUAUAAAUUCUUAUAUAUUUAAAUAAAUUAAUCCAAAUUAUAUUAAUUAAAUAAUAUUUAAAUAAAUUAAUCCAAAUUAUAUUAAUUAAAAUAACAUGUCUUUUCCUUUAAUAUAGACAUGUCUUUUGCUUUUAUUAAUCCAAAUUUAUGUUUUACAAGUCAUCUUUUCUUAAGUACAUGUUAAAGCAUAGUGUGGACAUCCGUAUUUAGCUUGAAAGUUAUGAUUUAUUUUGAAUAAAAAGUUUAACUUAAAUGAUAAAACGAACGAUAAUAUUUGUGAUAAAACGUAUGAGAAUAUUUAAUAUAUUAAAAAUCGUGAUAGAAAUAUAGAAAUAUUAAAUCACAAAUUACAAAAAUAGGGUAGAAAAAAUUCACGUGGCAAGCAUACAUGUAGAGAGGUAUAAUAUUAUUAAAAGGUUUCAAAUUGAGCAGAAAUGAUCCCUUUUACAGUAUUAAUGCAAGUAAGAGCAUACGCAUUGGAACCAAUAGCAAAGAUCCCCAAGCGAAGUGAGGCAAAUAAAGUGGAAGUUGGUUUACAUGUGCAAACAUGUGUGUGAUAUCUAGAAACAGUCAAUUUUAAUCUCAAUGCCGAGAAAGGUAUAUACCUAAUGGAAUACAUUGCAGAUUUCAAUAUUGGAGAGACAUCAAAUAAAGAUUUAGCCUAUACUAAACAUACAUACCUCUUACAAAUUGUAAAUUGGAUGGUAGCGUCGAUUCCAGCAAAUUAAAUUACACCUGCAAACAAUGAACAGCAAUGAAAUUAAAAAAUAAUCUAAGGAUAAAAAAGAAUUAAAUAAGUUAAAAACAUGAUCCAUUAAUGUAAUUUCUUCUUUCUUCCUCUCAUCAGGACAUCACUAGUACACAUUAUUAAUUAUAGUUCUAAAAUACUAAGUCCAUGCCAUAACAUGGGGGUGAUACCAAAAUGCAACUAAAACAAUUAUCGAGUCCAAUUAAAUUUAAUGCACUCAAGGUCAAAUUUAGAAUUGUUACCAGUGGUGAUACAUCGCUAAUAACAUUAAGAGCAAUGCAUAAACAAACAUCCACAACAGGUGCACAAUAAGCACUAAAGCAUUAAAGGUGAAAAAGUUGUAAAAAAAAAUAAAUUUUGAACGUAUUUGAUAAGAAAAAAAAGUUAAAGAAAAGAAAAUGAGAAAGAGAUGUCAACUAACUUAAAAUUAUGCAAAUUUUUAAAUAUUAUAUUUUUUAAUUUUUCAACUUUAUCAAAAAAAAAGAUAGAAAUAAAAAUUUAUAUUUUUUUAUUUAUUUUAUAUUUCUAUCCUUUUCAAUUAUUCAUUUUUCUGAUUUUUUUCCAAGUGAAAUUUACUACAUGUAUGCUUUGAUUUAGUACGAAUCAUAUUAAAAUAUAUAGAUAAAAUUUUAAAUAUAUAUUAUAACAUAUAGAAAUUAUUUGUACCAAUUAUAAAACACUACAUACCAAUUGAAAUCGGUUUGUCCAACACGACAACAACUACCAUUAAAUUAGAUUAACAUUGAAUCGCUCGUAAGCAUUAAAAAAACUGGAAAUAAGUAGUUAAAUCAAUUAAAAACCACCUAAAAGGGUUUUAUAUAAUGUUUUGGGUUAUUAUAUUAUUUUUUAUUUGUUUGGCCCAAUUUUAUGUUUAUUUGUAGCCCAAAUACACUGAUUUUUGCCAAAUACAACGAACUUUCUUGAGCUUCUGUCAACUCAAGCUGUUGAGCAAAGAUCUAACGACCCUGGCACAACAGGUGCACAAUAAGCACUAAAGCAUUAAACUCCUAUGGCACUAGGAGAACAUCAAGAUUAGGCAAGCACAAAAACAGCAAACAUCAUACUUAGAAAUAAAAACAGAAAGAUUAAAUUCCAAAGAAUUGCAGCAUAUUUUAACCUACUAACAAAUAUAAGUUGCCUUCCUUGCACACAAAUUUUCAUCAUACUUUUACAUCAUCCAAGACUUUGAAUAACUUAGAAGGUCAGAAUAAGUUCAUAUCACAGAUUAUACCAUCAGAAGGUAAAAACUGGAAAGUGUGAACUCAUUUAUAUCAGCAGCAAAUACUAAACUCAGCUGGUUACAAUUUGAGAUUAAGGCUUUUUGAACAUGCUUACCAUAAUUGCAAAUGAUACUGCUUCAAAAUCAAACAGAAAAUUGCAUAGAAAUUUUCAUGCUUUAUGCUAAUGCAAGCUUCAAAGACCAUAUAAGUAAAAAUAUAUCAAUAUAUCACAUAGAUUCAUUUCAGAAUAAAGUUGAUGGGAAUGUACAAGGCAGAAACCAAAUUGCCAAGAUUAGUAAAAAUCUUUAUUCAAUUUCUCUGUAUUCUACUAUGUCCAUCUCGAUACAACAACAAAUCAUAUAUAUAUUAAGUCAUUUAAGUAGCAAAACAAAAACGAGAACAUAUACGAAAGAUGAACAAAAAAGCAAGUCUUUAUGGUACACAAGAAGAAAUAAUCCAAAAAAGCGUACCCUUUAUCUUUCCCUUCUUCCCCUUCUUCCCCUUUCUCUUUUAUUCAGUAUCCGAAAGUAAAUAUGAUGAUGAAGUAGCAGGUGAAGCUGCUGCAGAAGAUUGUGAAUUCCUCCACCAGUAAUUUCUCUAACCCAGGUUUCAAUUCCCUGUUACUAAAAUCGAAAAGCAUCGAACCAAUAAAAUGAGAACCGAGAAGAAGAUGGGUGAAAUAGCUGAGUGAGGGUUUCGGCUUACCGAUUAGUUGCAGCAGAGGAGUGCGACAGUGACGCAACAGAUGGUCGAGUCGACGGCGAUGCAAUAGAUGGUCGGGUCCGGCGAUGGAGAGUUGGGUUGGGUUUGGAUUUGCUGAAAAUUUAGGGUUAGUGGAAAAAUUUUAGGGGAAAACACUUAAGCUUUUCGGGUAUGCUUUGGGGAUAAAAGGGUGGAAAAAAACGAUGUCGUUUAUGUGAAUUUAGGGGAAAACUAAUUUGGUGUUUUGGGGGAAAAGCAUAAGGCUGCCAGGCAUGAAAGAAAUGAAAUUUAACAAAUUAAAACGACGCCAUUUCGGCAAAAAAAUUUUGACCGUUUGCGGCGCUUUAGAAACGCGCCCGCUGCGCUUUAGAAACAUGCCGCUAAAAGCUAUCUAUUGCGGCGUUUCUAAAAAAGCGCCGCUAAUCUCCAACAAAAACGACGCCGUUUUCUUUAAGCACUAAUGUUCUUUAAGCGCUAAUUCCCUAUAUAUUCAACUAAAACGACGUUGUUUCCAUAAACUUUAAUUCUUUUUGCGGCGUUUUUUUAUAAAUGCCACUAAUCCCCUAUCCAACUAAAAUGACGCCGUUCUGUUAAACUAUAAACUUUUUCUUUAAACUAUACUGUUUUUUGCGGCGUUUUUUUGAAAAACGUCACUAAUCUCUUAAUUUUUAUAUUUUAUUUUUAUUUGUUAUAAUUUGGUAGCCAAAAUAAUUAACUUAUGAUAGUCAAUAUUUAAUAAUAUAUCUAUAUUGCAUGAUAACUUUGAAAUUUUAAGUUUAAAUUUCACUUAUAUAAAUUAAGUGUAGAGGAAUUAAUUUGAAUUGAAUUCUUCAUUCAAUUAAUUCUUUAGAUUAAUGAUUUUAAUUAUUAAUACUAAUGAUGAUAAAUGUUAAUAUGAUGAUAAUUAGUUAUAAUUUAAUCCUAAUAUUAUGAAUUAAAGUUUAAAAGAUUUAUCUCUUGCUGAUAUAUGGUACAUACUAAUCUUCUUCUUCUUUUUACAUUUUACGGAAGUAGAUAAUUUUUAGUUUUUAUCUUUUAAAUAUGCUUAAUAUUUAAUCCAUAUAUUUUAGUUUCUAAUAUAAUUUGGGUUCUAUAUGUUUAUAAUGUUAUUAAGUAGAUAUAGAUACCUAUCCAUAUCAAAUUUUGUUACUUUUUUUAUUUAUUUAUCAAUGUUUUUUUUUUUAAAUUCUAAUAAUUAUCAAAAUUUCAAAUGGUCUAGAUUAAAUAUUUUUAAUUAUAUAAAAGAAUUAAUUGAUUGUAUAAAAUUUCAUCAUUUAACAAAUUUCACGUAAACCUUAAAUCCUAAACCAUUUAAUAUAUAUAAAGUUUAUCUAUUAUCUCUGAAAUAAUCUAAACUAUAAUCAUAUAUAAUUUUAAUAUAUUAAGAUUAAUAUUAUCUCUUUUACAAUUAUAUAAGAAAUCGUUUAAUAUAUAAAUUAAAAAAUGAUAAUUAAUCAAAACCCUAAACCUCUAACCCCUGAUUGGUCUUUAAACCUUAAACCUAAACUCAAAACCCUAAAUCACAAUACAUAUACCUUAAACUCUAACCCUUAAACUAUAAACUCUUAACCCUUAACCAUUAACCCUUAACCCCUAAUCCUUAUCCCUUAACCCAUAAUUCUUAACUCCUAACCCCUAAAUUUUAAACUCCAUCUAUUAAACCCUAAAGUACCCUAAACUACAUAAUUCAUAACCCUUAAAAUAGUAACUCCUAAACCUUAAACACUAAACCAUAUACCCCAAAUCAUAAACACUAAACUAUAAUGAUAAUUAAUUCAAUAUUUUAAAAUUAAUAUUAUCUCUUUUAAAAUUAUAUAAGAAAAUAUUUAAUAUAUAAAUAAAAAAACAAUUAGUCAUAUACCAAUAAACUUUAAAUUAAUAGUAUUUUAAUAAAUAAUUUCCUAUGUUUUUACUUUUAAAAUUAUUCUACGUGUCAUUAUUUUUUUUAAGAAUUUAAAUAUUCAAUUAAAAAUAGAUUAUACUUUUAGCAGCGCUUCUUAAAAAAGGCGCUAAUGCUGACUUAUAGAGGCGUUUUUCAAAAAAACGCCGCAAAAGAUCGAUCUAUAGCGGCAUUUUGCAAGAAGGCGCCGCUAAAGCAACUAAAGCUAAAAAAACGACGCUGUUGUGUUUAGUUUUUUUGCGGCGUUUUUAAGAAGCGCCGCUAAAGCCACUAAACCUCAACAAAAAACGACGACGUUGUGUUCAUUGUUUUGCGGCGUUUUCUUUAAAGCACCGCUAACGGUCAACCUAUAGCGGCGUUUUUAGAAAAAAACGCCGCUAAUGCUCAUUUUUUAGUGGGUUUUUGUAGAAACGCCGCUAAAAACCUGUUUUGCUGUAGUGAAGGAUUAAGGAGGUUUUUGUUUAAAAUAGACAACCCCUUUACAUCCAAGAUAACCCUAAAAAAUCAAGCUUUUGUCCUUAAGUUGAUUUUAUCUACAAAAAUAGAAAAAUUAAAAAAAAACCUUAGAUCUCAAUUUUGAAAACAUCUGCCUUUUGAAGAAAAUCCUUUAAUCUAAGAUUGCUUUCAAACCGCUGUCAAUUAUUGAAAACAAAAAACAAACCUAAAAAUAAAAAAAGCUAAAUAAAAAAAACAAAUGAUUAACAGAAAGAGAUUCAGGUAAGUGGGGAUUAACAGAGAAAAGAAUCAAAGACUCAUAUUUUUUAGUUUUCAAGUUCUUAAACAGUUUAAGAAAAAAAAACUCAAAAACUCAAAUCAAACUUAAGUAUCAAAGAUCCAUACUGUUCAGUUUCCAAGAUGCUUGAAUCCUCCCCUAUGACAAUUGAUGCUUAUCUAGAGACGACUUCAAGCGUUUUGAGCUUUAUUUCCCCUCAACUCGAAAAAAAGAUGAAAAGUGAAAGUUUGGAAGAAAAUGGUGAAAGAAUAACAUCCCCUGGUUUUUGUUAAAUAUAAGCUUGUAAAUUUGUGAUUUUUUUUAUGGGUACACUGGGAAGAAAAAAAAUUUUAAGCUAUUCUUUGUAUUUGUUGAAUAGUCAUUCCAUAGGUUAAGUGCUGAAUGACCAUUCAGCGUUUUUAAGGAAUACUGUUGGAAUGAAGAUUAGUAUUUUGUAAACCAAACAAUAGAAUAGCUACCUUACUCGAAAUAGUCUCUGAAUAAAAUCACAAUUCCAUCCAAGCAAACAUAGUGUUAGUGUUUACUACUUAAUUCUCAGGGGAUUUACAGGUGAGUCUUCUAGUUUUUAGAUACAAAAUUGAUAUUCCAUACUUGGGGAGUAGUAGAGUGCGAUUCGCUUAUUGUAUUCUUUGUGUUUUUGUUUGCACAGUUUUUCACAGUGCCAAACCGUAAUGACCAAUUCCAUCAAGCACUUCCAUUAACUAUUGUAUUAUUCAGUAAGCAAUUAUACGUAGCAAUACCUUACAUAUAUUUGUUGAAAUAUAGAUUUUCAGGUCAACAAUUUCAUAACAAGGUUAACAAUGUUAUCUAAUUGGAUCAAUUUCUCGAUAUUCAUAAAAUACAAAGACGCUAAUUAUGAGUUGGGCGCUUUAACCAUUUAGCCAUAGAUGUUUAGCGGGGAUCCUCGUAUAUAGUGAAUAACCAAAUUCCAAUUAAAAUGAAAUCUUUAGGAUAAAUCAAUGCAAUUUAGGAGGAAUCAAUAAAAGGACAUCAAUUCAAAUCCUAGAUUUUCAAAUUGAGAGAGAUAAUAAAUUAAAGUAGAGAGAUUAAUUUUUCUUUGCUUUUAGCUUUAGUAUGGAAGAUUCAAAAUUAAAUAAUCAAAAGAAAUUUAAGUUUUGUAGACAAUUAUUAAAUAUGAGUUAUUGAGUUGAUUUCAUUAAGAACAAUAUGUAAACAUAAAAUAAAAUUUUAAAUUUUAAAAGGAGAUUAAUUUAAUUAAUUUUAAUAAUAUAGUAACAAAUCGAUUAAUAUUAUCAAGGGAUACAAAUUUUUCAACAAUUAAAUUUAAUUGAUUUUUAUGUUUUGAAAUUUAAAUUUCAAUAUUAAAAAAGAAGAAAUUUAGAAUUUUCGGCAAUGUGAUAAACAAGUACAAUUAGACACGUUUUCAAUACAUUUUUUAGUUUCUACUAUUUUUUCAGUUUAAUCCUUAAUCUUUUUACCCCAAUCAAUACCUUAAAAUAUGAUUUUUUUUUCUGUGACCAAAAUGAAAGCGACCUAAAAGUUGGGUGACCAAAAUAAAAUUGAGAACAUGAUAUAGCAUGUACAGUUAGCGCCAUUAGAGAUUUAACGGUUAGGUAACUAAAAUGAAAAUGCCUUAAAAGUUGAAUGACGAAAUUACAAAGAUUUCAUUUUCAAUAACCAAAAUAAAAACGCCUUAAAAAUUGAAUGACCAACUAAAUAGUUUACCCUAUAAUUUAAUGCAAAGUGAUUUCUAGUUUUAAGUGUACCUAAAUUUUAAUUAAAUCAUGUUUUGUGCUUAGUAAAUAUUUGAAGAUAAUAACUUGGAAUUCGAAUACCUAAAAUAUAAAACUCUUUAAACUAAAUAAAACCAAAUAAGGUAUCGUGUAUUAAGAAGCAUUAAUAUAAUGUUUUAACCGGCCUUGCAAUUGGAUGUAAUUUUUCAAAAUUUGAUUCUUCUACUUAACAAAAAUUAAAAAUUUAUUAGUAAACACAUAAUUUUUUUAUAUAUAAAUUAUUGAAUUGUUAUUAAAAAAAAUGUUGAAUUAUUGAUUUUUGUACAUUUGUUAUAUUGAGGCAAAGUGUGUUGCAAUGAGUUGAGUGGCACUCAACAAUAUCCGUUGCAAUCUACCACUCACAUGGGUAAGUUACUUUUCGUAUUUGAGUUGGCAAUUUAAUGAAGUAAAAUCUUUAAACAAGUUAUUUUGUUGAUAUUUUUAAGAUGCUAUAGUCCAUCUAUGGAAACCAAUCCGUGACAGUUAAAUAUUGGAUUGGAUUGGAUUGAAUUCGAGUGAAUCAAGACAACCCUUGUCUCAUGGAGAAUUGAUUGAGAUUGUGAUGUUGGUUUUGGAAGCUCAUAUAUUCAUCAGAUUAUGCUUUUAUUGAGUAUGUUGUAAUAGUUAUUUUCAAUGAGUUUAUUUGCAUUCAUUCAAUUAGUAUGUUAGCAAGUUGAGAUUGAUAUAUGUUGAGAGGCUUGUCUAGGUCAUGUAUGUGAAAAGAUUGAGAACACUAAAUUUGUUCAUUGAGGAAUUGUUUUGUGGGAGAGCGCAAAUUGAAUUGUAAACUUUUAGUGUUUAUUGCUUAAAUUAAAUUCUCAGUGUGAGCAUUUUAAGUUGAGAUCUCUAUACAUUAGGAGUAAUAGAGUGUGAUUCACUUGUAUUGUGGAAUAAGUAUAAUGGAAUAAUUCACUAAGUUAAACUCUACAGACGUAAGGACUGCAUAAAGAAACCUUGAUAUUCUUUGUGUUUUUGUUUGCAUAAUUUUUCGCAGUGUCAAGUCAUAAUAACUAAUUCCAUCAACUAUUGUGUUAUUAAAUAAACAAUUGUAGGUAACACAACACCUUACAUAUAUUUGUUGAAAUAUAGAUUUUCAGGUAAACAAUUUCAUAAUAAGGUUAAUAAUAGUAUCUAAUUAGAUCAAUUUCUGGAUCUUCAUAAAACAGAAAGACGGAUAAAUUAGAGUAGAGAGAUUUUUAUUUUUUUUUUAAAUUAUGAUCACACCUUUAUGAUAUUAAAUUAUAUAUAAUAUUGGUGAUUUCUUGAAUAUUAAGUAAUGGUGGUCUUCAUGUGUCCAUUUAGUGAUAGAGAGCUUAGUUUCCCUUCAUCUUGAUCUGGAAAAUAUAAAAUUGGAGAAAAUAUGGAACAAAUCUUCCUUUAAACUAAUAAGAAAAGGGUGAGAGAAUCUCGAUAACAAUAUGUAAUCAUCUAUUUCUCGUGCUUUAAUGAUACUUGAUCACAGUAACUACAUAGCUAGCUGUAUUUUAAAUGUUUUAUUAAGAUCUCAAAUCUUUGACUUUUCCUUUUCUUUUCUUUUGUUUUAUUAUUAUAAGAAUCGUGAUUGGCUUCUAAACUUUAAAUGUUCCAAUUAUAUUUUAACAUUAAAUAUCAGGCUAGAUCUAAGAUGUGAUUAAUUCAUACAUGAUUAAAAGAUGUACCAACCCAAAUCCAAGUUGGCAAGUCAGGUAAAGAUGACAGUUGAACCUAAUUAGAACGAUGCUCUAGUCUGAUAUUCAAUUGGACUUAAUGAUCUAAAAUUUGGGGUCAAUUUAAAUUUUGACUCAUAGUUUGAGGACAAAAUAGUUGAAUUAACCCUAUAAAUAAUUUCAAGCACUAAAAUAUAUGGCUUAAAUACUUGGUGCUUCCUUUAAAGCUAGGUUUCCACCAUUGUUGUAAGGCACACCAAGGAAGAAAGAGAGAAAAUAUGGCACCCAUUUCAUUACCCAACAAGCCCCAUGCAGUAUGCAUCCCCUACCCAGCACAAGGUCACGUAAAUCCGAUGCUCAAAGUGGCCAAACUCCUCCAUUUCAAAGGCUUCCACAUCACUUUUGUCAACACCGAGUACAACCACAAACGCUUGCUCAAAUCCAGGGGCCCCCACGCCCUCAAUGGCUUGCCUGACUUCCGGUUCGGGACAAUCCCCGACGGCCUUCCUCCGCCGGACAUCGACGCCACGCAAGACAUCCCCGCGCUUUGUGACUCCACUAGCAAGCAUUGUUUGGCUCCCUUUCGCCGACUCCUUGUUGAGCUAAAAGCUACUUCCGGUGUCCCGCCGGUCACUUGUAUCGUCGCCGAUGGGUGCAUGUCGUUCACUCUCGAGGCGGCUAAAGAGUUAGGGAUUCCCAGUGUGUUGUUUUGGACACCCAGUGCUAGUGGUUUCUUGGCUUAUUGCCAUUACCGACGGCUUAUUGAUGAGCGUUAUACACCAUUGAAAGGUACAAAACUGUCUGGUUUUUCUUUCAAACUCUUUUGGUUAAAUUUGACUUUUGUCCCUGCAUUAUGCUAUAAAUUUGAGAUUUAACCCUUAUAUUUUAAUUUCACAUAUUUAAUUCUCUUAUUUUAAUAUUGUUAUUAAUUAGUUCUUUAAUCUUGUUAUUAGUUAGCCCAUAUUGGUAAUACAAUUAAAUAUUUACUAGAUUAAAAAAUAUUGUUUCUUUUAUUUUAAAAUUAUAUUUAGAAAUAAGGUUUAUAGAUUAAAUUUAUUUUUUAAAAUAAAAGAAACAAUAAUUUAACAAUGGUUAUUUGAAUUAUUAUAAAAGAUGAAAAUUAUUAAAGUAGGUUCUAAUUUUAUCAAAAAAAAUCUAAUAUAAUUGUGCAUAUUAAAUUUAAAUUAAUUUUUAAAUUUAAUAAUAAUGUGAUUGAUGCAAUAAUAAUUAAAAACAUGAUAAGUAGUUCAAUAUUAGUUUAAAAUAUAAAAUAUGUAAUUAAAUUUGAAAAAUAAAUAAGAUGGGAAAACAAGAAGGGGCUAAUGUUGAAUAUGCCCAUCCUUUUGUUGAGUGACUUUGGCCGUUUGUCUGCAACCACCACAAACCCCCAAAAAAUAAUUUUUUAAUUAGAUAAAGAGUGUCCGCCACUAACACUCCAAAAAAAAAAAUACAUGAGUACUAGUCAUCUAAUAUCCAAAAUCCUAAAAAUUAGUGGUGCCAGCCAUUUAGAAAAAAUACUGGUGCCAGCUAUCUAAUUUUUAUAACCCAAUUUUAUUAUUCGUUUCAGGUUAUUUGGGUGAAUAUUCUUAAAUUAAGGUUAUUUUUAUAAAUAUUAUUUUUUUAGGUCAGAUGGUAAAAUAACCUCACUUUUAACAAUUAAAAUUGUAGAAAGUAAAACUUUUCUAAAAAUGCAUCCUUAAGCAUUCAUCUUUAAAAGUAAAUCUCGAAUAUUAGCAUGGUAAAAGGACUGAAAUCCUAAUUUGACCCCUAACAAUUUUUUCCUCAUUGGGCAGAUGAAUCCUAUAUGACAAACGGGUAUUUGGAUACAGUCAUCGACUGGAUUCCGGGCAUGAAAAACAUCCGCAUAAGAGACCUUCCAAGCUUUGUUCGAACAACCAAUCCAGACGAUAUAAUGUUGAAUUUCCUUGCGACGGAGGGCGACAGAGCUUCCAAAGCUUCCGCCAUAAUCGUAAACACCUUCGAUGAAUUGGAACAUGAUGUCGUCAAAGCUCUCUCCUCCAUCUUCCCCAAAUUUUACACCAUUGGACCCCUUCACUUGCUCCUCAACCAUAUCCCACCGUCGUCGCCUUUAAGCUCCAUGGGGUCCAACCUGUGGAAAGAAG
rnacentral:lncRNA from 1 species